rnacentral:lncRNA from 1 species
GAGCAGAUCCAAGAGGAAAGAGAUGUUUUAACUUUUUGCAAUAUUUAACAGAAAUUAUGGUCAAAUUAGGAAAGCUUAUAGGUUGGAGAUCAUCAUCUGAUGAUGAACAAACUUGAUCCUCAGCAAUGAUUUGGUCCAAUUCAUCACAAUUUUGUAUUUCUAGGUUGACCAACCGUGAUAAACUUCGAGCAAUUGUAGGUGAAAAUAUGUAUCUUAGCCUCUUGCAAUCAAUCACCUCCAGAAUUGUAAGGUUUUCAAGAGUUACAACUUGAGCGACAUCCUUCCAUAUAAUCUGCUCUUCAGAUAAGUCCUCCAGGUGGAGUUCCUUUAUACGCCCAUGAACUUGGAAUACUUCUUCAUGACUCCCAACUGCUAUAUAUUCUUGAUUGCAGUUGGCUGAAAUACGCAAUUGAAAGCUAUUUACCAACUCAGAGAGAUAUAAUUCCUGCAAAUACAGACACCACCAAAUGUCACUAAAUACGUUCCUUUUCUAUUAGAUUGGGAAUAGAUGAGCAAAUAGUACUCAUAAUUUUUUAGAUGCCAAUUCACAAGAAAUCCUUACAUUUUUAAUGAUAGGACAUAUAUAUGUUUCAAAAUUUAAAUCCAAAAUUUUCAUGAAAUGGUCUGAAAGUGGAAUCCAAAGACAUCUAACCUCUUUCAAGUUUUUCUCUGUUAAUUUUUAACAUAAAACCAUUUAUGGCUUUCCUUUUCUUGUGUUUUUUUCUUUGUCAUUUUUUCUUUAAGCAUGUUGAUUUGAAAAGUAUAGAUAAAGUGGUAAAGUGUUAAUUUUUUUUAAUUUACCUAAAUUACAUAAAAAAAAAAAACAUAAAAGAAAUGAACCCCCUGGAAAGCCUAACUUUCUCAAUCUGUUUCUCUUGUCUGCAACAGCAAGUAGAAACACUUUGAAUAAAAAAAAAAAAGGGAACUCAUGGCCAAGAAGAAAAAGAAAACUUAAAUUGAAGAAGAAAGAGAAAAUUCGAAUCAGAGAAAGCAAGAGAAACUAGAAUCGAAGAAGAAAAAGGAAGCUCGAACAAGAAAAAAAGCAAGAUUUGUCGUCUUGAAGAAAAUAUAUGAUGAACCUCAAUUCAGAAACAAGGACAAGGAAAACCCAAAGAUCCCCACAAACAAAUUAAAAUUUGUUUUUCAAAAUAAAUAGUAUAAAAUUUUUGUUCUGCAAUUUUAAAAAAUAAUUGGAUUAGUUUGUGAGUGUUGAAAAAAAGAUUUAGCUCAAAGGCAAAAUCCAAAACCAUAAUUGAAGGAAAAGUGUAUAGAGAAAUACCUCUAGCUGAAUUUGCUCAUUAACUUCUUUUUGAAUAGUGAAAUUUCUCAAUUUAGGACAGUUGCAAACUUUCAACUUCUCCAAGGAUGGUGAUGAGAUGAGAAAGUUUUCUGAACUCAAAUUUAUCAAGUUUACAAGUUGAAAAUCUUGUAGGCAAGGGAGUCCAAUGGCACAAUGAGCUGGCCCUUUCCAUAUGCUCUCUAAUGCUGGUAAUAACCGUAGCUUCAACCUUCUUAAAUUUGAGAGUGGUACUGCCUGAUUUACCUCACAUAAAAAAAAAUAUAAAAUUUAUUAAUUAAUAAAUAAUGAAAAUGAAUUCUUUAUACUUGAUCUUAAUUACUGAGAAGAAAUAUAUUUUGUUAAAAAAAAGUAGAAAGAAGUAUUAAAAGUUAAUAAUUUAGAAAGAUUAGAUAGUAAUUAUUUAUAUAUUUGAUAAUUAAAAAAAAUCAUUAGAAAAACAAUAUACGAGACCAUUAUUAAAGGAAAAAUGAAGAGAUAAGAGGUACCUCUAGCUCAGUCAUUUCUUUAUCAAAAGCAAAGACUUGCUUUAAUUUUUCGCAUUCAGAUAUCUCACACUUCUCUAGAUGCAACAGACUUUGAGCAAGGCAAGGUGAAAAGAUAGAUUUCAAUUUAUCACAACCAUAAACUAUUACUUCCUUUAGACUUUGUAGGCUUACAUGAUGAGUUGGCUCUUUCCAUAAACUCUUCAAUGUUGGCAAUGACGUAAGCUCCAAAUAAGUUAAAUUUGACAAUGGUUGUACCUGAUUUUCCUGACAUAAAGGAAAAUAUAUAAUUUUUUAAUUAAUAAAUAUUGAAAUAUGAAUUCAUUGUACUUAAAUAUUGAGAAGGCAUAUAUUUUAAAAAAAUUAUAAAUAAUAUGUAUUUAAAAGUUAAUAAUUUAGAAAGAUUAGAUAGUAAUUAUUUAAAUAUUAAAUAAUUCAAUAAAAUGAAAGAUAAUUAGACAAAGAAUAUAUGAGAGCAUUAUUAAAGGAAAAAUGGAGAGAUAAGAGGUACCUCUAGGUCUACCAUUUCUUUGUCAAAAGCAAAGACUUGCUUUAAUUUUUCGCAUUCAGAUAUAUUAAGUGUUUCUAGAUGCAACAGACUUUGAGCAAGGCAAGGUGAGAAGAUAGAUUUCAGUUUAUCACAACCAUGAAUUGUUACUUCCUUCAGACUUUGUAACCUUACAUGAUGAGUUGGCUCUUUCCAUAUAUUCUCUAAUGCUGGCAAUGACGUCAGCUCCAAACUUCUUAAACUGGAGAUUGUGCGCGUCGGACUUUCUUCCUUUCCAAAAAGCCAAUUCAUUUGAAACACUGAUUGCAACUGCUUACAAUCGACAAUGUGCAAUGUUUCUAACCUUUUUAAGAAGCUAAUCGAUGAUUGACCAUGGCACAACUCUUUCAAAGAAGUCAUGAAUGUAAUGUCUAACUUCACCAAAUUAGAGAAUGCAGUGGUUGGACUUUGUUCUCGUGUUGUAUCGAACAAGCAUUCUAGAUUUUCACAAUAUACAAGCUCAAGAGAAGUUAAUUCCUUUAGUCCGCGCUGAUCUACAUUUGGGACAAUAUUUUUGUGUUCCAUGGUGACCUUGGACAAAGUAAGCUUCUCCACAUUGCAAAAUAGCUCCUUGAAUGCAUUUAAUGAGGAUGAGAAAUCCUUAAUUCUCAAGGUUCUCAAGCUCAGCCCCUCCAAAACUUCGAUACCUUCAUAAUAUUCACUUACAGCUAUAUUGUAGCUUUGUAGUUUAGGGAACACAAAGUUUUCUUGAGAACAUUGAUUAGUAGAAACUGUCAGUGCUAAUCCAGUCAAACCAGUCAAUGAAUUCAGCUCCAAUAAGUUAGCAUUGUUAUCACUUGUCAUGUGUAGCUCUUGGAGUGAGGUCAACCUGUUACAAACAAACACAAAAUGUAAUUAAUGCAAUAAUAGCACUUUCAACCGAAUGAUAAAAAUAGCAAGGUAAUGAAAUGAAUAAGAUAACAUAAACUUUUUUAUUUCUUCAUUCUUAAAGCUACUUUUGUACUACGGGUUGCAAUGUUUCAUAAUAAUAGCAGUGACCAAAAGCUCAUGCUAGAUAUAUAUAUGUUUGUGAUAGUCAAAUCAAAUAAAGUAAAUAAUAGAGAAAAAAGAUAAAAUAAAUUAUAUAAAAUUAAAUAACUGAAAACAAUAAGAUAAACAGUUUUACCUUGGUAGCAAGUUAGGGGGGAAAUAACAGUAUGGCCCUUCAUCGUAAGAAAAAUAUAGUGAUUUUAGUUUAUGCAAUCCCACUAAUUCUUCUGGUAGCUCAUAAAUAUUAGUCUCCAGCAAUGCAAAAAUCUCAAGGUUUUCCAGAUUCCUCAAUGAUGAGAUGUUCUCAAGCUCACAAUUUAUAAUGCACAGAGUUCGAAGGUUUGUCAAGAAUUGAAGUGCUUUGAGUGCGAGUACCACAUCUUGAAGAAGUAAAACUUGGAGGGUUGUCAUUCUUUCAAAAAAUGCACACGAAACUCUCAGUGAAUUGUUUCCUGUGAGAAACAAAGUCUUGAGUUUUGAAAAUUUCACUUUGUUAGGAAGAUGAUUGAUCUCAAUGUUCCAUAAGGAGAUUGCCGUAUAACAUCCAAACCUUUCACUCAUAGGCCAUUCCGUCAACCAAUCUUUUACCAUGAAUAUGUUUUCCCCUCUCGAUGUUAUCCAAUGAGCAAAAUCACGAACCACAUCAUGCAUUUUUAUAUGUUCUUUAUCAUUAGCUUCCAAUAAUAAACCAGACUUUUGGAGUUUUGACAGUGCUAGAUGAAUUUCCCUCCUUAAGUCUUCCAUGAAGUAAUUAUUAUUAAACAAUCCCUGACCAAUUCCACAUAUAGUCAACAAUUCAAUACUAAUCUCAUAAUCUUCCGGAAAAAGGGCACACAACAAGAAACAUUGCUUGAUAUUAUCUUGAUCCAAAUAAUCAUAACUAAGCUCAAGGCAUGUAUAAAUACCUCCACAAACAUGUUGAUUAUCCAAAUGCCUUGAGCUCUUGAGUCGUUUAUUUGCUGCUAUCCACGCAUCUAGACUUUCACCUUUUAGAGCCUUUGCCACAGUUACAAUUGCAAGAGGCAAACAGCCACAUUCAGGAGCAACCUCCUUCGCUACAUUCAAGGUGGGAGAGUCAUCUUUCAGACCAGCUUUGUCUUUGAAUAAAACCCAUGCUUCAUGUUCAGAUAAAAUGUUCAGCUUAAAUUCCUCUUCACAAUCCAUUUUACAACAAACUUGUUGAUCACGUGUAGUUAAAAGAAUUUUGCAACCCUCGUGUUCACCACCGAAUGGAAUUCCUAUAAUUUGCAAUUCAAGUUCUUUCCAAACAUCAUCGAGAAUUAUGAGAAUCUUCUUCUCACUUUUUAAUCUCCGCCAUAACUCUUCUGCUUUUCCUUUUUCUGUACUUGCUUUAAAGUUAAAAUGUAAGAUUUCGGCAAUUCUGUCUUGAAUUUUGUUGAAGUUCGGAGUUUGGGACACUGUAACAAUCACAACUUUAUCAAAGAGCUUUUGUUCCGUAGCUUGCUUCCCCACUACUUCCGCCAAAGUUGUUUUACCCACUCCUGGCAUUCCAUGCAAUCCAAUCAUGUUCACACCAUCACUUUUUAAAGCCUCCAUAAUCCCACUGAAAGCUAACAUUGAAGAUUCGGAACGCAUGAAAUCCUUGGGUACUAUGAACUCUAUUCCUUGAAGAGGAGGACGCUGGCCGACUCGUGAAAAGUUACAAGUCUCUAAAAGCUUAGAGAUAUCAAGUGUCUUCUUCUCUACUUCCUUACUUAAAGAGGAUCUCCAGCUCAUACCAGACAGCCAUUUGGAACGCUUGUUACUUUCUAUUUUAUCUGACAAAUUCUGCACAUCUUUCAGUUCUUGUCUUGCCUUCGUUAGCCAUUCCUCAACGUCAUGAUUAAUUACCUCAGUUUGCCUUUCGGCUUCAUUCACGUCAUUCUGUACCUUAUCGAUUGCAAGUAUAAGUUGUUCCCUCUUUGCAUUGAAAUCUUCAAUAAUUUCAUCAAAACCGAAAAUAGGUUUUCCCAAUUUCCCUGCCAAUUUUUUCAGAGCAUUUGUAGUGAUAUUGGCAGCGACAUUGGAAAACACAGAGGUUGCAAAUUCAGCAGGACUGGUUUCCUUAGUAUCCAUUCACUGAUUAUCUGAGGUUGAAGAACAGGUUUGUUUGAGCAAAAGUAGUAACAGAGAGACAAAAGAAAUUAUUAAAAAUUUCAUUUUGUAAUAUAUAAAAGUAAAAAAAAAAUCAAAAAAAGAAAGAAAAUUGCAAAAAUCAACUUCUACAAAGCUAUAUUGGAAGCUAUGUUCUUUAGUUAUUAAAUAUUAAUGCAUUACAAAAUUGACUAAUAAUGACAAAAUUUCAUAGUUGAAAAUUUGCAGUGGAUUUGGUUGACUAAUAACUACUACUAAUUAUUAAGAAACUGUUUCCCCUAAACCCAAGAGAUCAGCUCACAGAAAAAUAAAAUAAAAUGCAAAUAUCUGUCAAGCUAAGAUGAAAAGAAUAGCUUAAUUUGAAAAUAGAAAAUAUCAGCCAAAGCAUCUGAACUCGAAAAUAUAUACUCAACUGUAAAACCAAGAAGAGGAUGAAGAUUUACAUACCAAGGAAAUAUAUGUGAACUUUGAGGAGCCAAGACAGAGCUUCAUAUAUUUCAGACACUAACAAAGUCGGUGAAGGUUUUUUUUUUCUUUUUUUUUUUGACAAAUAAAUUAUUUAUACUCAUAAGGACAUAUUUACGAAAUAAUAGUGACUAAAUUUCAUAGUUGAAAUUUGUCAGUGGAUUUGCUUAACUACUAGUAGGAAUCAGUUUUCUUGUGGAUUCCAAAUAGUAAAGUACCGAAAAAUCAAAUAUCUACUCAAAUGUAAAAUCAAGACAACUAAACCGCCAAAGAGACAGAUGAAAAUUUACAUACCAAGGAAAUCUAUAGAUGAACUCAGGGGAGCCAAGACGGGCUUCUGUUUUGAUCCAGGCAAUCUCACAAGGUCGUUGAAGUUUUUUUCUUUGUUUUUUUAUUUUUUUUUGUGUUCAAAGAAAACUGAAGUUGAAAUAAACUUUGCACUGCAAUGAUGAGAAGGCCAAGGAAUUAAUAAAUAACAGACUUACACUUGUCUUCUUUUUAAUGCGUAUAGAUAAUUCUGCUUCUGGAAGGUACUGAAAUCCUUUCUUGAAACUUACCACUCUGUUCUCACUACUUGAAUGUGAAAGGGUAAGAGACAAAUACAAGUUUCUAGCUCUCUGCUUCACACAAAUGCCAUGAGUGGAUUGUAACUGUAGACGAUCAAAACUGUUAAUUUGGCCACACAAAAUAAUUCAGUGCCAAUUUUGCAUGUAAAGAUUGCAGAUGUAUUCUCAAAUGCAUAAACCAUAGAAGAAAAUGAUGCACAUAUAUACCAAGGAAACAUGAAGUUUGAGGACCCAAGGCCAAGCUUUUCUCUAUUGAUCAAAGAAAACUCAAGUAGAAAUCAAGUUUGCACUAUAAUAACCAAAAGCCCACUAGCAGAGGGAAUUAAUAAACAACAAAUAUCUGUCAAUCUAAGAUCAAAAGAACAACUUAAUUUGAAAAUAGAAAACAUGUGUCAAAGCAUCUAAACUUGCAAAUAUCUAUACUCAAAUGUAAAACCACAGAAGAAGAGGAUGAACAUUUACAUACCAAAGGAGUAAUACAUGAACUUUAAGGGGCCAUGACAGAGCUUCUAUUUUGAUCCAGCCAAAAUAUAUUACAGAAACUGACAAAGUCGGUGAAGGGUUUUUUUUUUCUUUUUUUGAGUUCAAAGAAAACUGAAGUUGAUAUAAUAAACUUUGCACUGCAAUGAUCGGAAGGCCAGGAAAUUAAAACAACAAAAAGACUUUCACUUAUAAUUCUGUUUCUGAUAACAAAAACAGUAGUUGAACAUAGAAAGUAGAAACUCUUAAGGCAAAGACUUGUUUUCUUUGGAGUCGUGGAGAUACUCUGCUGGUUGGCUUUCCAGGAAGUGUUAUUGGAACAGACCACCUUCAACUUGCAUAUUGAUGUUAUUGGAACAAAGUGGAAACUUUAAAAAACGGGUGAGCAUUAUGGUAAGUCUAACCUUAUUGUAUGGUCAAUAAAUAUAAUUAAAAAAAAUAAUAAAAAUUUGUUUGAUAGUUUAACAAGUAAACUAUAUACUUAAUUUUUAAGCAUAUCCAUUUUAUUUUAUGUUAAUAACAUAGAUCAUUUUUAAAUUUAUUUAUUUUUUAAAUAUCAUUUAAUUUUAAUUUUAUUUUUAUCUUAAAAUAUAUGAAUAUUUUUAUUUUUAAUAAUAACAUUAUUUCUAAAUAAUUUAAUUCAAUCAAAAUUUUUUUUUUUCUCAAUUAAGCUUGUUAUCAUGGUAGGUUACGUUAAAUCUUACAUAGUUACAUCAAUAUUUAAACAAUUUUUGUUCCACUUUUAUGAUUUUUUAUGUUAAUUCUUAUAUAUUUGCGUUAAGAUUUUUUAAUUGUUAAUUUUUACUAUAAUUAUUUUUAUCCUUAUUAUUAUUCAUUUAUAAAUUAAAAUUUAAAUAUUUAAUUUUUAUAAAUAUUAUAUUUAUUUUAACUUAAUUGAUUUAUUUUGUUAAAUUUUAUAUAUUUAUAUUAAUAUUUUAAUAACAAUUAUUCCACUUGCAUAAUUUUUUACUUUAAUUUUUAUAGAUUUACGUCAUACCUUUUCCUUUUUUUUUUAAUUGAACAUAUUGUCUCCUAUGAUUUCAAUAUAUUGAAUCUGUAUAAAUCACUAGUUGCAAACAAAAAAAAAAAAAGAUCUCCAAGCUUUCUUUUUUCUUUUUUCCUUUUCCUAAAUUUGGAACAAUAGAGAGUCGACUCCUAAUUCUUUGAACAACAGCUACAUAGAUCAAUUACUGAGUGUCUAAGUCAAAUGCUUGGGUGCAUCCACAAACUUCUGUUGAAUUACUUUAAUAAAACUUAAGUUAAUUUCUCUAAAAAUUUACCAUGAUUCAAACGUAAGUUCACACCUUCUAUUUAUAUUAAUUUCUUUAAUAUAACCUUUUAUUACGUAAGUUCAGACUUUCACUUAUCUUCUUUGGAAUGCAUGCAGAUUAUAAUUCUGCUUCUGAUAACAAAAACUGUAAUUGAAUAUAGAAAGUAGAAACUCUAAGGCAAAUUAAGACUUCUUUUCUUUUGAAUCUCUUUUUCUUUUUAUUGUUACUAAUUUUUCUUAUUCAUAUCCUUAGUGAAUGACAAGGGCCCCAACAUCUUAUGCCUUAUCAUUGACCAAUUCUCUCACAAAAAGACUGGAAAAAAAAAAGUAAAGAAUGGAGUCAUGAAAACUCUCUGCUAAGGACACUGGUUUUUUUUUUUCUUAUAAUUGGGGAGGGGGGAUUCGAACUUUACUUUUUAAGUAGGGAGAUUACACACCAACUAAUAAAUCAAAUGUUCGGGUGCAGCUGAGGACCUUGGUUACCUUCCAGGAAGUUUUAUGAAAACUAGAGGAUGGGCUUGCGAGGAUGUCAAUGUAUAGAAAAUUUUUGAAAUUCUGCUUCAAAUUCAUUGAAUGAAUAUAUUAAAAUGAAAAGCCAUAAACUUAUAUGUAUUAUAUGUGUGAAACUGAUGGCUUUUCCGUCACAUUUAACAAUAAAUUGAAGUGGAUCAAACCUUAAGCAGCUGAUUUUUGAAAAAGCAUUUGGUUAAUUCUCACUCAAAGACAAAAUAUUGAUGAAAGUCUAAUUAAUGCAAAAUUGACUUCAUCAGAAAAUCAUGCCUCCUCGUGGUUAAUUAAUGUAUCUGUCUGAUUAUUUCAUUGGGAGGGUAAAAUAAAAUGAAUGCCUCUUCUCCCGUCCUUCUCCUCUUCCCUAAAGAACAUGUGACAGUGGGUCCGCACUUUGAAUAUUGUGUGUAAUAGGGAAGAAAGAGGUUUGGUCAGUCGUCACCUAAUUCAUUAUCUCUGCUCUAAAGUUAACAAAGAAAUAUUAAUUUGGAAUUAGGACUCUUCUUAGCUCUUGCUUUCGAAAGAAUUAAGUCUAACACGAAAAUCUUAUUUAUCAAAGUAAAAGGGAGAUUCUUGGAAUUUUCCCAGAUAUUUUUGAUUCAUGGUGGAAUAUUUACGCCACAAAAUUUUUGAUUCUUGGAAUUUACUUUUAUUCUAAGGAUAAUUAAGUUCAUACCUUUCAUUUUUUCUUUGUGUAUAUAUGCAAAUGAGACACAAAAUUAUUGGUGGAAUUUUGAAUUAUUGAUGCCUUUCUUUUUGUCGUUUUUCAUUUAUUUUUCAGUAUUAAUAUCUGAUCUACUUGGUUAGUUUACAUGAAAAACACUUGACUCUCCUUUUAAAUAGAAACUACUAUUAUUAUCUCGUAAGUGUCUUUAAGAGUUAUCACUUUACCCUAAUUUAUAUUUCUGUAGCAAUUAAGCAUUACUUGGUAAAUUAUCUUCUAGAAAUGGGUAACGACCUACAUUUAGAAGCAUUUUGUGAACUUUUGCGGUGCUAAAUCAUCAUGGACAAAUUUUAGUGAACAAAAGAUUCUUCCCGCAGCAGCUUUCUAAUAAAUUCUUAUACAUGAUGUAAUCAUGAGUGUUGUUUCUUGAGCCGGAAAUGACUUUAUUUAUAGGGAUGAAUAGAAUAUAACAUAUCCAACUUUGAUAUUCAAAUAAUAGAACAAAGUCAAGACAAGAUAAGUGUUUUGCUUAAGAAAAAGAAGAAUAAAGGAAAGGAAGACAGAUAGGCCAAUUUGGAUUUAGUUGACUUAUAGUUACGAUGACUUGCACUCAAUCCUAUAGAUGGGCCAAAGAAAUUGAAUUACUUCAAUGAAGCAUAGAUUUCCCCUAAAUAAAAUUUACUUUUAUUCUAAGGAUAAUUAAGUUCAGACCUUUCAUUUUUUCUUUGUGUAUAUACGCAAAUGAGACACGAAAUCAUUGGUGGAAUUUGAAUUAUUGAUGCCUUUCUUUUUGUCAUUUUUAAUUUUUUUUUCAGCAUUAGUUUCUGACCUACUUGAUUGGUUUACACAGAAAACACUUGACUUUCCUUUUAAAUAGAAACUACUAUUAUUAUCUUGUAAAUGUCCUUAAGAGUUAUCACUUUUCCCCUGUUUAUAUUUCUUUAGCAAUUAAGCAUUACUUGGUAAAUUUUCUUCUAGAAAUGAGUAAGGACCUACAUUUAGAUGCAUUUUGUGAACUUGUUGUGGGGCUAAAUCAUCGUGGACAAAUUUUAGUGAACGAAAGAUUCUUCCUGCAGCAGCUUUCUAACAUAUUCUUAUACACGGUGUAAUGAUGAGUGUUGUUUCAUGGGCUGGUAAUCGCUUUAUUUAUGGGAAUGGAUAGAAAAAGAUAUGCGUUUUGCUUAAGAAAAAGAAGAAUAAAGGAAAGGCAGACAGAUAGGCCAAUUUGAAUUUGGUUGACUUAUAGUUAUGAUGACUUAUACUCGAUCCGAUAGAUGGGCCAAAGAAAAAAAGGGAGAAAAGGAUGGAGUUCAUGGAAAUGCUCUCGUAAGGACCCUGGUUGGCUUUCCAGGAAGUGUUAUGGCAAGAGGAUGGGACUUGCGAGGAUGUAAAUGUAUAGGAAAUUUUCCAACUGACCACAAUUGUUGAAAGUCUGCUUCAAAUCUCUGAGUGUUCUUUUUCUUUUUUUGUGCUCCUACGAAUUUAGAAGAAAAUCGAUACAUUAUUAUGAAGACUUCCUUGUUUAAUGUAGUCAUCAGUUUCACAAUUAGUUCAAUCUUUUUUACUGAAGCAUAUUUAUAGUAUAUUGUCCUUGUUUAAUAUACUUGUAUAAGGAUUAGUAUAAUUUAUGAAGGGAGCCUUGUGAUGAAUGGUGGUAGUUUAUCUGACCGCCUUCUGAUGCAUCUUUCUUUAUCAUGAAGGGAGCCUUCACAACCAAAUAAAGUGGGACAAAAAGAACAAGCAUUAUUAAUUUUAUGUUAACAAGUAGUAUAGCAUAUAACAAAUAAACAAAAAUCAGUGAUAGUACAGAGCACUGUUAUUUCUCUUCGUCCCCAAAUAGUUUCUCUAGUUCAGAAGCAACUUCUGCUGUGAUUAUUUAUAGUUUUGGCAGAGCAACACUAACUGGAAAGAGACUUUUCAGUUUAUUGCAGCCUCCAAUUCUGGUUUUAUUCAGUGCACAUAAACAUAGAGGUUGGAAUGAAUCCUUUGAUGAUGAUGAUCCAAUUCCAAGUGCAUGUAGAAAUGAUCCAAUCCCAUUUUAUAGUUCUUUUUACUAGAAUUUUCUUUUGAUAUAGAGUAAUCACUUAAUUUUUUAAAAUUCUUUUGGUGAACUUGUUGCAUGGCUAUACUACCAUGCCUAGAUCUUGUAGGUAGGAGUAGCAAUCAAACUUUUCAGUAUUUCAAUAAAUCACUCGAAAACUUCUCAAAAUAAAAAUCUGCCUGGUUUUAAUUUUUCAUGUCUUAAUUCCUACCUAACAUAUUUACACAACUUAUUCACCAAAAAUUUAAAAUACAAAAAAUAAGGAUAAGAAACAGAGAAAUUUCACUCUUGUUUUUCUACUUAUUGCACAUAUAGAGAGCAACAUAACAUUGAUUGGGUAAAUUAUUGAAUUCGAUUGAAAACUCCAUUAAGCAAACAUCUUUAACAGGUCAAAAAUUAUUUUUAAAAUUUUUGAUUUUGUAUAAUAUUUUAAAAAAUAAUGAUCAAAAUUGAGUUUAUUUUUAAUGAAAAAUAUCCAAUAGAUACAAACAAAAUGGGAUGGAGAUAGCAUGUAUUUGUAAUAAUAUUCGGUUCCGUUGAUGAAUAUUUUUGCUUUCUUUUCUUUUCUCUUUUUUGCAAAAAAAGAAUAGAAAGGAAAAGGAAAAAUAAAAAAAUAAAUAGCAAAAAAGAAGAGAUAAAAGUAUCAAACUGGUACGGAAUUUUAAAAAAUAGUCAUGUAAUAUGGAUAAUUAUGGAAAUAAAAUGUAUGCUAUGGUAAGAAAAGGAAAUUAAAUUGAACUUACUAAUUCUCUUGCUUUUGAGCCUUUUUUGUCUUUUGAUAGGGUUAGCUUUUUAGUCUCAUGGUUUAUGAUGCUACCAAUUUUUUUGAGUAGCAGAUCCGAUUUGGAAAUUGUACAGGAUCUCUUCACCCUCACCAGCAGUUUAUAUUAUGAGAGUCUUUUGCAAAUUAACUUGAGACUUGAAAUGACAUGUCAGGUGUUAAGAUAAAUAAAAUCCACUUUUCAAAAAAAAAAAAUCUAAUUCUAAGUGCAUGUAGAAAUGGUCCAAUCUCUUUUUAAAAUUCUUAUUGUAAGCAUUACUUGGUAAAAUUUUUUUCUAUCAAUGAGUAUUUACUUUAUUUUAAAUGCUUUUUAUGAACCUAUUGCCUGGCUAUACUACCAUGGUCAGAUCUUAUAAGUUGGAGUAACCAUCAAACUCUCAAUAUUUCAAUAAAUCACUUGAAACUUUUAUAAAAUAAAAAUCUACCUGCCUUGUAUAGGGAAAUUAAAGUUUAAUUUUCCAUGUCUUGAUUGCUGCAUAACAUAUUUGCAUAACCCUAAAUACAAAAAUAAAGAUAAGAAACAGAAGAAUUUCAAACUUGUUCUUCUGCUUAUUAUACAUAUAAAGAGUAACAUAACAUUGAUUGGGUAAAUUAAUGAAAGCAAGUGAUCCCUUCGCUUGACAACUCUAUGAAACCAACAUCCUGACCGACGAAAAGCACAAUAAUUUCAAGUAACUGUUUUUCUCUUCUUUUUUAUGUAAAUAAUAAAAGUUAGCACAAGUAAAUCACCAAAACUUGAUUAAGACUAGGCAAAUAGGUGAAAAAAAUGAAAAUGGAAAGCAACCUUUGCUUUACCAGUGUUUACUCAUUGAUGUUUAAAAAUACCUUUGCAACUUCCCCUGCAAUCAUCUCACCAUUCUUCCAUGUAAGGUGGCAGCUGAUAAUUAAUCCAACUUUCUCGGUACCAUUCUACGGUCUUGGUGUGGACUACAUUUUGAGCAGCGGCGGACCCUUCAGUGACGUCUUGCUUAACUAGUAGCGAUGCCUUUUUAAACAAUUGAAAAAGUGAAAUAUAAAAUAAAAGUAUUACUGCAGAAGGUAGGAAGGAACCAAAGUCAGCGUACCAGUUGGAACCCCAACCUGCCCCAGCGAAGCUUACGCCAGGUGGUUUGCCGACAGGGGUUACCAGCCCACCAUCACGGGGUACUCAGAGUGAAUCGUCAGGUGGACCGGGUUGCCCACUUAAUCAGAGCACAGGAGCCUGCAAAAACAAUAACCCACAAGGCAUGUCAAACUUGCCAUGGAAGUAAAACCUGCUUACAUUUUGUAGUCUUCAGCUAAUUGCGUGGUAGGCACGGGCUCUUGUGUUGUGUUAGUAUUCAUCAUAAGCAGGCAGGCUUCAGUUUGUAAUUUAAGCAUUGUGUAAGUGAAGUAGAAUUAUGCGUUAUCUUGUACUUUGUGACCCCGUUGCUAGAUAGCUAGAAAGGGCUACUUGGGCAGACGGCUGAGGGGAUGCUCUUUGCACUUGUAAGGUGAUGUUAGAAGUUUGAGAAAAGGGCCAUGCUCUUUGGUGUUUUAGACUGAGAUGGUGAGUUAGUUUGACUUCCUUGUCUUUGUUGUAGUUGCUUCUUUUGUUGCCCAUCAGAGUUAACUAGUGUAAUUUAUCUGUUUCUCCAUUCAUCAUUAUCAAGUUGAUAUUGAUGCUAGUUGAGCUCAGCUGGGUGUUUACUUAUAUGCGGACGAUGGGUGACGAUGCUUUCAAUGUUGAAUGCUAAUUUGCCACUAUUGAUCUCUCCACUCAGCUUUCGUAUGCAUUUCUGUAAGAGACAUCAUUAUUCCUAUAUCUGAUUGCCAUCCAACAUAAAAAAAAAAAAAAUCUCAUGUUAUGAGGGCAAAAGAAAAAAAUAUACAUAUUAUGAUUUAUAAGCAUUUUAAGCCAAAAUUCAUUCAAGUUGGAUUUAGAAAAUUUUUUUCUUUUAUUAAUUUUCGAUGAUUUAGAAAAGAGAGGUUUAGUAAUUUUCAAUAUUUGUGAAUUUUGGAAAGAUAAUGUUAAAAAAAUCAUUAGUAAAAUUAUGUUGCAAUUAGCUUUUACAUUUGUUUAAGAUAAUAAAUGCAUGCUGCCAAUAUAAAUGUUUUGUUAGGAAGUAACAGAAAAAAAUUAAGAAAAUACUUUGUGCUUUCCAUCAAUUUGUCAGCCUUGUCCAUCAAGUCCAAAACGGAAGCAAUGAGGGUGCGCAACUAGAGAACGGGGAAUGGACAGUGUGGGUUUCAAGAAGAGUUGUGUUCAUUGAAAUGAUAGAAAUUUUUGUAAGCGUAAGUAAAAUGAUAUAAGUGAAAACUUAAGCUCUCCAAGGUACAAUCGGCAUACCUUAUAAGACAUUGGAGGCUUGCAACUUGGAUGGGACUACUCAUAAAUCCCAAAGAAAGUACACAUAGCAGUCUAUGCAUCUAAUUACUCAUAAAUCAAAGGGAUUACUUUAAUAUUCGUUUGAUUUGGUUACAAAGGUCAAUUAACUUAUGACUUGACACGUAAAAAGUCGAAAGCUAACUUUUUCUAUUUUCAAAAAUUUAGAUUAGUUCAUAUCUUUUUAUUAUAUCUAAUUAAAUCUCUGAAUUGUUAUUUUUCACUAUAUAUUAAAAUAAUUUUAGAUGAAAUUCAUGGAUGACUAUUAAUCCCUUAACAUUUAUAAGGCAUGUGAAAAAUAUGAUGUCAUAAUAAAAUACUGGUUAUAUUUACUAAUUAGAUCAGUAAACUAUAUUUAUUUUACCAUGUCAUGUGUCCAUCAUUGCCGCAUCAUAUUUUCCACUUGUCCUACAAAUGCCAACAUUGUCACAUAAUAUUUCUCAUGUAUCCUAUAAAUGCCAACAUGACAAGGGAUUAAUGCGUCCAUGGAUUCUAUAUAUCCAAAUAAGGGAGAGUGUUUGGAUAGUGAAAUAUUAUAUUUUAGAGCUUAAUUAAACAGCUUUAAAAGUCUCUUGCGACAUAUAAUGUGAAACAUCCGCGGCCAAAUCCCCAACAAAGAUUGUGUAAUCAAGACCCUCAUCUUGCCUCUUUUCCCCGUAUCCAAGUGCCGCCCAAUUCAAUCUAAAAUUCUAUAAACAGAGGGAAGAGAAUCCAUAAUAAAUAAUAAAUAAUUUACAACCGUCAGAGCUAUAAUUUCUUACUCUAUCUCUUCAAAGUAAGAAAGUAACUCGAACAUCCUCAAAAAUUGUAUGAAAUUCCAACUACGUGAUGUCAAAGUUAUCAGUUUUAUAUCUCCUAUUUGACAUUUGCAUUGUAAUUUUGAAAGAAGUAUUAAAUAAAUGUAUAUAUCCAUUAGAUUUGUGUCAUUUUUUUUUAUGUUAAACUUGUAAUUUUUACAUCCAAAUGUUGAUAUCGUUUUUCCAAAAGUUACAUUUUUCUUAUUUAAAAGCCAUAAAUAAACAUAUAUAUAUAUAUAUCCAUUAGAUUUGUGCUAUUUUUUUCAUAUUAAACUUGUGAUUUUAACAUUCAAAUAUUGAUAUUGCUUUUUCAAAAAUUAUAUUUCUCUUGCUUAAAAGCCAUAAAAGCAUAUUGAGUUCGGCUAAGUUAAGGCCUAUACAUAUCAAGAAGAAGUGGGCUUUACCCCUGUAACAUGGCUAAUUUGAUGGAAAAAAAAAAAAAAGCUCAUUUUCAGAGCUACUAGUAAGUCCAAAUUUUUGUUUAAAAAAAAUCAUCCAUACGGUUGUAAAAUUAUAUCUUAAUUUCACCAUUUUACCAUAUUUGUAACAAUUUUGUAAUGUCAUGUCAAUAUUUAUUAUAAUUUAUUAAUAUAUCAUAUUGAUGUUAUCUGAUUUAAAAUAAUAAAUAAUAUUUCAAUUAUUAAUACUAAAAAUUUAUUUAAAUAUAAAUUAAAAUAAAUAAAAAUUUAUUUAAAAUUGUAAUACUAUAUAUGUCUAAAAUAUUAAAAAAAUAAACUAAAAUCUUAAAUUUCAAUCUUUUACAAUAAUUUAUCUUAAAACUAAAUUAAUAUAAAUUAUUAUUUUCUAGAGGUUUUUCUUUCUUGCAGAUUUUUUUUUGUUUUGCUGUUGACUUUGAUAAUUAUGAUUAGGAAGACGACAUUAACUUCUUCUUUUUUGUUUUUUUUUAUUAAGUAAUAUUAUUCUGUUUUUAAUAAGAUAUAUAUGAAUCAUUAUUGUUUAUGGAAUUAAUGAAAAAGAAAUUUUUUUGGCCUUCCCACUUUAUGGGUUGUGGGUCCCGCGCCCGUACGAGUGCGUUCAAACAAGCAUCGGCAGGGGCGUCAAAUAACCUGACGGUAUUCGCCCCCACCCCAAAUAAAAAUAAAAAAUAUAAAUAUAAAGUAAAUAAACAGCCCGAGACCCAGAGAAGUUACGGACCCGAAGCCUGAGAGGAGUCGAAAAAGGAAAAAGAAAUUGGUUAGUCUCCGUCGUUCCCUUCCAAACCUUAAAAAGUACAACUUUCCUGGCCUGCUCCGGAACUCUCUCGAACUUUCUCUAAUCUACCUAUUAUACCCUCCCACACUUUAUACUCCUAAGUUCUGUCUAUUAUGGCUGUACCUCUUGCAUUGUGAACAUCUCCAUGCUCGACUACCUUCACCAGCUGAUGGAAUCCUUUUCCUUCUAGGUCUUCCCGCUUGGCUUCACCAAGGUGGGGGCAAGACGAUAAUUUAUUUCACAUGAGGGGGGAUGUCCCACUCACUAGGAUGCCCUACAGGCCUAAUGGAUCAUGAAUAACCCUCCACCAAAACGGUUGUCUUAUAGUAGUCAAUGCAGAAUUCAAUGGCUUCACGAUUGCAUUUACUGAAAAAUACAAUAAACUCAAUCGUCAAGCACAAUGUAAAUGCUAUGUCAAUUACUGUUCAAAUAAGAAAUAAAGAUAUUCUGAUCUUAUUGCUGCAAUGGCAUGGCUGCAUGGCAUUAAAUCUGUUUAGAACUCACAAGAUGAACAUGUCUUCCUAAACAGGUUUAUAAGUCUGUCCAUCUUCCCGUCUUUAACUUCAAACUCCACUCGAUUGAUAGGCUUAACUAGAAAGCGAUGUGCAUCAUUGAACCGUUUGCUCAACUACCUGGCAACCCAAAGGCUGAAGGGCGUGGUCACCUUGACGGCUUCCUCGUACCUGUCAUGGAACCAAUGCUGGAACAUAUCUCUGAUGAACUCGAUCAAAACAGUGAUUGGCAUUUGUCUUGUAUGCUUCAAGCAUGAGUUAACACAUUUCGCAAUGUUGGAUGUCAUCAUUUGGUAUCGCCUUGCCGGUGAACAUGCACGUGCCCAUUUCUCAGGCCCUAUUCUCAUAAGGUCAGCGUGGGCUCCCGAGUGAAUCUGCUGUAGCUGGUUCAUAUGUCUAUUGAAAUCAGCCACUUUAUAGCAAUCUCGAACAAGGGUAAAAAGCAUACAAACAUCGUCGCGCUUGAACUUGUUUUUAAAGUUUUUUUCAAGUGGUAACCACAUAAACCAUGGUGCGCUUCUGGGUAUGCAUUUUGGAUUGCUUUCUUAAUGUCGAGAUGCUGAUAAAAAAUGAACAUAGUGUUUUCAGGACAACCAACCGCAUCACGCAGCUUGCUAAGACACCACGUCCACGAGUCUUCGUCUUUAACAUGGCCGAUGCCAAACGCAACUGGAAAUACGCACUUGUUCGCAUCUUUGCUUACAGCGACAAACAGAACACCCUUGAACUUGCCUUUCAGAUGUGUCGCAUCAAUUGCAACCGUAAGAAGCAUUACAUCCCUAAACCCCCGAAUACAAGCCCCGUAUGACCAGAAACAAUAUUUGAAUCUUUCUUCCUCAUUAGUAGCUACUACAGUCACUGUGCCAGGAUUUUCUUGUUUCAACAUAUAAAAAUAUGAGAGUAGUAGUUGAAAUGACUCCUCCGGUGGACCAAAAACAAGCCUCUCCGCAUACUCCUUCGCUUGCUAAGCCUUACCAUACAAGCAUUCCAAUCCCCACUGAACCCUCAUCUCACAAAUUAUGUCCUUAGGUCUCAAUGCUACUCCAUUAGCUCGAAGCUUGUGUGACAUAAGUUCACCAAUCAUCUUUGCACUCGUAGUUGAAAACCGCCCUUGCAAACCAUCAACGGUACAGGUGUGUACUUUGUGGAAUGUCCGAACUUGCCAAUAUUCUCCUAUAUCAGGUAACUUCGUUGCACGCACACUGAACUUGCAUGCCUUGUCCUUGCAACCAACCUCAUAACGAGCUUUACAUGACAUUUUUACUCUUAUCGCAAACUUCUCUUUUAUAACCAACAUGUUCAAAGCUCGUUUCAACUCAGCCUUUGAUGAAAACAUUUUUCCUUUGUAUAAGCGAUCUUCAGCACAUGUCGACUCCUUAGUGGUAAUUGUUUGGAAGGAGAACCUUUCUGCACCUGCAAUUACCCACGUACAAGAUAUCCCUGUAUUUUCCCUUUCUUGAUCACUGUCAUCGAGCAAUGCAUUAAGGGAACAAAUCCCGUUCUCACCAGUGAUGGGGUUAUUGUAUAUGGGGUCAUCACGCUAAACAUCUAGGACAUCAACACCUCCAACAGGUUCCGUUUUGCCUUCAACAUUAUUACGAAUUGGAAUGUCACUGUCACAAAGGCAGUCAUCGUCUGAAUUGUCAUCUUGCCAUUGUUCAAGCCCAUCAUUUGAAGUGUCAUCAAAUCUAUCUUCACCAGCAGUGAACAAAUCCUCAUUUCCCUCAUCAAAUGCAGUAUUAUCCUCUAGUGUCGUAGUGUCACCCUCCAACCUCACAUUGUUGUCCUUAAGUGUCGUAUUCUCAUUUAACAAUGGCAUUAUGCACUCUACAGUUUCACUUGAUCGUUGCAUUUGUUAGAGAAAAACAAGAAAUUGGUUUGAUGCACAUCCUGAUCGAAAUUGUGUAGCCAACUAUUCUGUGAAUGUCGUUUGUCUACCGGGCUGCAAAAGCUCUUGUGCAUACCUCAAUUGCCAUUGUUAUGGGUUCCGAAUCGAAUGCUGUGGUAUAUGUGAAGCAUUUUAAAUCUCAUUUUGAUUGAUCUGAUUACCAUGUUGUCCAACUUCUUCAUGUGACAUAACAUUUGUUCGGCGUCCCUUAAUGCUGACAUACACAGUCGAAACAUUCCUCUGUUCUAGCAGAAUUAAUGCAACAUCCUCAUCGUCCUUAAUAAUUGGCCGUGAUAGCUCUCCAGGCAUAUUGAUCAAUGCAUGUAACUCAAUCUUGUCAAUUUCUGAGUUUACCCCAAUAAAAUCUUCAACCAGCUUCAUCAAGCCCGCAAACGACAAAUCACUCCUAACCUCCCGCAUUCGUGACUCACCACCCUUGUAAAUGCCAUCCACCCACUGACCACCAUGUCUUAUCACAAGUCGCACAAUUGGAACCCCACUGAAAUUUUGAAAAAAAAAUAUUGUUAAUCAUUUUACACAAUACACGUCGUGAUAAAAAAUUUAUCAGUCGUGUUGUUACACGCCAUGCAUAUAACGUAAAAUAUUGUAACACAUCAUGCAUAUCAAAUCAAAUGUCGUGACACGUCAUGCAUCACUAUCGUGACAUGCCAAUCACAGUAAUUACUGACUCGUUACACCAACAACCAUGACACUGUAAAAACCCAAAAAACCAGUUUAUCCACAACACGCCAGGAACAACCGUGACACACCCAAAACCCAAAAAACCAGUUAACCCACGACACGCCAGGAAUAGCUGUGACAUGCCAAAAACCCAUAAAUUCAGUUGUCAUGCCAAGAACAAUUGUGACACGCAAAAAAUCCAUAAAUUCAGUUAACCCACGACACGCCAGGAACAACCGUGACAUGUUAAAAACCCAUAAAUUCAAUUAACCCACGACACGCCAGGAACAGCCGUGACACGCUAACAACCAAAAAAACUAGUUAACCCACAACACGCUAGGAAUAACCGUGACACGCUAAAAUAACGCUAACACAUGUUAUAGAUGCAUGGCGUGUAACAACUCUGGGCAAUGUUUCUAAUCUAACUUCUAAUUUACACCAAAUGUUUCAGAAAUUUAAGUGUGUUGCAAAAAUAAACCCAAUAACAGGUACCUUGAUGUCAUCUCUGCUAUAGGGUCCGUUAAUCUACGAUAAUGUGGCCAGAUGCCUAGAGAUAGACCAUAGCCGAUGACGAUGGUGCUCAAUAGAGAGUUCACAGAGCUUAUACAGUUCAGAGAUCUAAGAGAGUUGACGACGAUGGUGCUCAACAGAGACUUGCCAGAGUUGAGACAGUUCAAAGAGUUGAGAGAGAAAGAUGACCGAGCCUAAACAGCUGCGCGCAUUUAUUUUUAUUUUUUUCUAUUUUCUCUUUGGCAUGAGGCAUAUAGCUCAAACAAAUGAGCAUUUAUUUGAAACGAUGUUUUUAAGGGUAUUUUGGUCUACUCAUGCUUAUUUUUUGCUAGAAACAGAUAAUUUUAUAUGGAUAGUUAUUUCUAAAAUCACCUUAUCACAAGGUCCUUUUCUUACAAUUUUCUCUUUUUUUUUUUGCUAUCAUUUCUUGUCUUCUUUUUGCCUCAAAUGUUUUUUUUUUAAGUUCUCAUUAAUUAAGAAGAUACAGAUUACUACUUCCAAAAAAAAAAAAGAAGAUAAAGAUUACAAAUGGGACAUAGACAUCAUUGCUAUCAAAGCUUUUGAAUGAUUGAUAAAUGUCUUUUAGAUUUUUGUCAUUUUGCAAUCAUUUUUACCUUGGGAUCCAUUUAUUUCUGACUUUCUUGCUUGGUAGGUUUAAUGGCUUUCAUGGAAAAAUACUUGCCCUAUUUUUUUUUUUUUGGAUUAAAUUCUGUGUUUUAAGGGAUUGAAGCUUUACACUUCGUUUAACACAAGGAAAAAUGGCGAAAUACAUCAAACGAUUCAUAUAGUGCAAGGAUCAUGUUUUGCUUGAAGAGAAGUAGAAGGUCAAGGCACAUCUCUACUUUUUGAGCUAUCAUUUACAGAUCCUUAGGAACGUUUCCUCCAUGGCUGGUGAUCUAACACAAGAAAGAAGAUCAUCUAAGCCUAAAUUGUUCUAAUCAAAGCUAUUUCGAUUCAUUGAUCCCUCGAUUAUUGUUCUUUAUUUUUUUCAUUUUUCAAUCAAUUUUAUCUUGAGUUGAUGGCUUCCAAUUAUGUUGCCCCUUUUCGUAAUUUUCUGAACUACUUUGUUGGUUUAAUGGAUUUCAUGUAAAAACACUUGCACUAUUUAUUUCAAUUUUGGGUUUAACUUUUGUGAUCAAAUUAUGCCCCCAAUGGAUGUAAAAUUUAAUGAAAAAAUAAAUAAAUAAGGUUCAAGAUUCAAUUUCAUGUAUUGAAAGAAGUACAAAUAAAAAUAUAUAUAUUGAAAGAUGUAACUAAUUUAGAUUAUUUAAGGUGAAUAUUCUGGUUCGGCCAAAGAAAAAAAAGGCCUUAUUCUGUAAAUGUUUUAUAGUAGUUGUCUCUAAAUUUUCUAUUGUUCUUUGUAAGGGACUACAAUUAUUUGAUAGUUCUAUGAAUCUAGAUUUGUCAUAUAAAUUAAGGCAGAAUUCCCCCUACCCCUUAAAUUAAAUCCCUCAGCCAAAAGAAAAAAAAUCCAAAAGUUAAACUCUACAAAAUCUAUUUGUCAUUGGAAAAAAAGGAAAGCCCAAGAAAUGAUUUCUUGGGCUGGAAAUGGCUUUAUUUACGUGGAUGAAUAAAACACAACCCUUUCAACGUUCAUAUUCAAACGUUGUACAAUUAAUGGAAUACGUAUUUUGUUUAAAUAAAAAAAAGAAGAUUAAAAGAAAGGAAGGCAGAUACACCAAUUUGGAUUUGAAUGAUUUAUAAUUAUGAUGAUUUUCAUAUUCAUAUUCACUUUUGUUAAUAAAAAAGUUUUUGAAAAAGAAUUUUUAUAGACAGUUGAAAUUUGGUGUUAAUAAGCAUAGGAAAAAUAAAAAAAAUAAGUAAUUAAAUAGACUUGAUUUUUUAUCAUCUCGGUCCAUCUCAUUAUCUUUGUUCUUUAUUGAUUUUUUUAUUAAAUAAACUCGACUUUGAUCAUUAUUUUUAAUCACAUCAUAAAGUUAUAAAAUUUUUGAAAAUAAGAUUUGUAAAUUUUGAAUUUUAAACUUUCAAAAUAUAUUUUUUGAAUUUUGAAUUAUAUAUAAUAUUUUAAAAAUAAUGAUAAAAAUUGAGUUCAUUAAUUUGACGAAAAAAAUCAAACAGAUAUAAAUAAAACGAGAUGGGGAUAGCAUGUAUUUGUAAUAAAAUUAGGCUCCCGUUGAUGAGUACUUUUACUUCCUUUUCCUUUUUCUAUUGCAAAAAAUGAAUAAAAAGGAAAAGGCAAAAUAAAUAUAUAAAAAAAGAUAAAAGUAUUAAACUGGCACGGAAUCUAAGUGCAUGUAGAAAUAAUCGAAUCCCUUCUUAUAAUUCUUAUUAUAAGCAUUACCUGGUAAAAUUUUCUUCCAUCAAUGAGAAAUUACUUCAUUUUAAAUGCUUUAUGUGAACUUGCUGCCAAGCUAUGCUACCAUGGCCAGAUCUUAUAGGUUGAAGUAACAAUCAAACUCUCAAUAUGUCAAUAAAUCACUUGGAACCUUCAUAAUAAAAGUGUACUUGGCUUGUAUAGGAAAAUUAAAGUUUUAUUUCCCAGGUCUUGAUUUAAAAAUCAAAAAUAAAAACAAGAAAUAGAAGAAUUUCAGGCUUGUUCUUUUACUUAUUGUACAUACAAACAGCAACAUAACAUUGAUUGAGUAAAUUAUUGAAAGCAAGUGAUCCCUUCCCUUGACAAGUCCAUGAAGCCAACAUCUUGACCAACGAUAAGCACAAUAAUUUCAACUACCCGUUUUUCUUUUUUUUUAUAUAUAUAUAUAAAUAAUAAAGGUUAGCACAAAUGAACCACCAAAACUUGAUUAGGACUAGGCAAACAAGUGAAAGAAAUGAAAAUGGAAAGUAGCCUUUGUUUUACCUGUGUUUAGUUGACGGCCCCAAAAUACUCCUUGAUAUUUAAACAUGCCUUUGGAACUUCUCCUACAAUCAUCUCAUAGUUCUUCCUUGUAAGGUGGUAGAUGAUCACCCGGACGCUGCCGGCGCCAAUCUAUGGUCUUGGUGUGGACUACAUUCUGAUCAGUGACAGAUUCUUCGGUGGUAUCUUGCUCAACCAGUUGCGGUGUCUUUUUAAUAAUUGAAACAGUAAAAUGUCAAACAAAAGUAUUAAUGUUACAUGUUAUAAGGGUAAAAGAAAAACUAGACAUUAUAAUUUAUAAGCAUUUUAAGUCAAAAAUUUAUUAAAGGUGACGGAAAGUGAUAUUCUAGACCAACAAUCAUUUAAGUAAUUUUUUUUAAAGUAUUUUAAGUAAUUUAAGUAAAGACUUUGAAGAUUAUGUCUUAUAAUAUUAUUAAAGACUUGAAUUGCCUUUGCACACACCAAAUAAAAGCUUCUAUUUAAUGCAGUAAUCAAUAGUAAAAGCUCUUAAUCAUCAUUAACAAUUAUGUUGGGAGGAUUUGGAGAAUGAAGAAGGUAUUUACAGUUUUUGUGAAUAAUAUUCUUGCAAGAGUCCAUUAUUGAAGAUGGCUUCAAAGGAUUUCUUAUCAAUUUGGAAAGGUUGUCAAUACAUUUAUAGGGAGAAAUAAAAGCAAAUAUGGUAAGAGGCAUCCAUUUAUCAUAUUUGGAUCUUUUAAUAAAGCUAGAAGAGCAGGCCAAAAUUUAAAUGGAGCCUGACUUCUUAACCAAAGGCUAGAGGAACCAAAAAGGAAGCUUCUUAUGGACCUAGUACUAACGACAAUGGGAAAGAAACCUGCAGUGGGAUUUUGAGACAAAACUCGACCUUAUUCACUAAGCCAUCUUAUGCUCUGGUAUUGAAGGGUGCUUUUGAAAGUGGUGGAGCUUCAAAUGAAGAGAGAGGAGAUGAUCUUCAAUGUCCUAAAAAGCAUGGAAAACAUGCUUUGUUUGAAGAGAAGUGUUGUGGUAACAACAUAAUGUAAUUCAGAUUCAGCAAAUUUAAUGGCAUUAUUUAAAAUGCAAGGCAUUUCAGGGCUGCUUGAGGAGUUUGUCUAACAAAGAAUUUCUGCUAAACUUUAAGGAUAAGGAGCUGUUUGAAGAGUUCAAAGAUAAAGGUUGGGAUUGGCUUAACAAAUGGUUUACUAAGGUGGAAACAUGGUUAGAGAAUUUUUCAUCAAAACUCCUUAGCAAGUGGUUUAUUGUACAGGGCAUCCUUUAGAUGUGUGAAAUAGGCAUAUUGUAAUUUAUAAGCAUUUUAGGCCAAAUUCAUUAAAAGUGAUAUUCUAGACUAAGUUUUGGUUGUAGUGUCACACACAAUCAUUUAAGUAAGUUAAGUAAAGACUUUGAGGAUUAUGCCUUAAAAUAAAAAAGAUUAAAGUUUUUAGGGUGUAUACCUCUAUUUUGGCGUGCACAUAUUCCUCUGAAUCUAUGAAGAAGCCUGUAGUCAUCUUGGGACAUUCUCUUACUUUCAAAGAAAUCAAAGCCGAUAAUACAAAGUGAUAUCCUCUCGGGCAGAAGUCAAUGAGGCUUGGCAGUUCUUUAAGUGAUAAAUAUUUUAAUUGAUCAAACUUUAUUUCUUUUUCAGUUAUCACUUCUACUUCAUCUUCAAGUUCAAACAGUUGCUCCAAUUUAGAGUUCCCUUUAACUGUUAACUUUUCAAGUUUUGGAAGACAACAAGCAGAUCCAAGGGGAAAGAGACAUCUUAGCCUCUUGCAAUCAAUCACCUUUAGAAUUGUAAGGUUUUUGAGAGUAACAACUUGAGUGACAUCCUUCCAUAUAAUACACACUUCAGAUAAAUCCAACAGGUAGAGUUCCCUUAUAUGCCCAUGAACAUGGAAUACCUCUUCAUGACUCCCAACUGCUAUGUAGUCUUGACUGCAAUUGGCAGAAACACGCAAUUGACAACUAUUUCCCAACUUAGACAGAAGUAAUUCCUGCAAAUAUAGACACCACUAAAUGUCACAAGUACAUUCAUUUUCUAUUAGAAUGGGAAUAGUUGAGCAAAUGCUACUAAUAAUUUUUCAUAAUUUUAUAUGCCACUUCACAAAAAAUCCUUACAAUUUUAACGGCAGCACAUAUAUAUGUUUCAAAAUUUAAAUCCAAAAGUUUCAUGAAAUUGUUUGAAAGUAGAAUCCAAAGACACCUAACCCUUUCAAGUUUUUCUCUGUUAAUUUUGAACUUAAAACCAUUUAUGGUUUUCCUUUUCGUUUGUAUUUUUCUUUGUCAUUUUGUCUUGAACAAUGUUGAUUUGAAAAGUAAACACAAAGUGAUAAAGUGUCAAUUUGUUUUUGUAAUUUUCCUUAAUUAUAUAUAACAACACAAAAGAAAUCCACCCCCCCCGCCCCCCCAAACGGAAAGCCUAAAUCUCUCAAUCUCUUUCUCUUGUCUGAAACUUGAAUUGAAGAAAGUAGAAACACCUUCAAUAAAAAAAAAAGGAACUCAUGGCCAAGAAGAAAAAGAAAACUUAAAUUGCAGAAGAAAGAGAAAAUGGAAUCGAAGAAGGAAAAGGAAGCUCGAACAAGAAAAAAGGAAUUGCUAGGAUGUCAUCGUGAAAAAAAUAUAUGAUGAAUUUGAAGUCAGAAACAAGGACAAGGAAAACCCAAAGAUCCCCAGGUUACCCACAAAUAAUAUUUAUUUUUCAAAAUAGAUAGUAUAAAAUUUUUGAAUUGUAACUUUAAAAUGUAGUUGGAUUAGUUUAUGAGUGUUGAAAAGAUUUGGUUCAAAGGUAAAAUCUAAAACUAUAAUUGAAGGAAAAGUGUAUAAAAGAUACCUUUAGUAGAACCUGCUCGUUAACUUCUUUUUGAAUUGUGAAAUUUGUCAAUUUAGGACAGUUCCAAACACCCAACUUCUCCAAGGAUGGUGAUGAGAUGAGAAAGUUUUCCGAGCAAAAGCAACUCAAAUUUAUCAAGUUUACAAGUAGUAAAUCUUGUAGGGAAGGGAGUGCAAUGGCACAAUCAACUCCAUUCUUUUCUUUUGCCACAUGGAAGACUUGUUGUAACUGAGGAGAAUUGCUUAUCCAAAAUGAUUUCAAUCGUGGAAGAACUUGAGCCAAAGGAAUUUGAAAAAUAUUUUCCAAUAUUGGACAAUGACUUAUUCGUAGAGUUUCCAAUUUUGGCAAAAACGACGAAUGGAGAUGGGUAUUUGUUUCUAUUUCAUCAUCACAGUCCAACUCGGUGAUAAUGUGUUGCAAUCCAUCACAAUGAUCUAUCUGGAGUUGUUCAAGGAGCACCAAGCUUUGAGCAAGGGAUGGUGAAAAGAGAUGUUUCAAUCUAUUGCAGUAACUAAUUUCGACAAACUUCAAGCUUUGGAGGCUGACAAAACAGGUGGACCCUUUCCAUAUCCACUUCAAUUCUGGUAAUAAUUUUAGCUCCAUCAGUGUUAAAUUUGACAACAGCGAUCCUUGAUUUUCUUUCGUAUCAUGAAGAAACUCAUCUAUUUGAAAUACUUCUUGCAACUGGCCACAGUUAAUAACUUUCACUUCCUCUAGAUUUUGUAGCGCGGGAGAUAAAAAAGCCAUUUCCAUGCAAUUCCUUGCUUCCAACGUCUUUAGUUUUUGUAGAAACCCUUUUGGAAACCCACCGUUGCACAACAUUUUCAAACCAGUCAUUUGUUCUAUGAAUAAUUCCACCAAAUUAGAGAAGGCAUUGGAUGAGACAUGGCCUUGUGUUGUAUCAAUCAAGCAUUCCAGCUCCUCACCAUCUUUAAGUGUAAGAAAAGUUAAUUCAUUAAGCCCCUUUGGAUCUACAUUUGGAAUAAGAUUUUUCUGAUUCUUGACUCCAUCCAAGGUAAGAUUUUUGACAUUGUGUAAUAACUCCUUCAAUGCAUGCAAUUGAUCACUCUGAUAAAUUCACAACAAAAUGAAUAUUAGACAAAUAGAAAAUAGCAUAAAAUUUAAAAAUUGACACAAAAGAAAACUGUUUUAUCUUUUCAUUGAAAGCUCAUUAAAGUUGAAAAACACACCAAAGCUUGGAGUAUAAGUAAUAGUGUACAUGCUGAAAUUUAUUGGAUACAUGGAAAUAUGAUUUAGCAAUAAAGUACACGUGGCGUGCAUGCAAGGAAGGAAAAAAAAUAAAAAUUUUUAUUGCCACAUGCUUGUUUGCUUUUUGUUCAUUAAAUGCAUUAAAUUUUUUAUUUUAUCAUGCCACGUAUCUGCUAUUGCCACGUCAUAGUUUAACAUGUCCUAUAAAUGCUAGCGUGGCUAGGAGUUAAAAAUCCAUGGAUUCUAUCCUAAUAAGGAUGCUUGGACAAUGACAAAGAACACUUUAAGAGCUUAAUGAGAUGCAAUUAUAUGCUAAAUUAUCAUGCAGCACUCUCAAUCUUAUAAUAUGAAUGAAUUCUUUUUUUUUUUUAAUGACAAGUACGCUAAGUAAUUAAUGAAGGAAUUGGAGACAAAGUUGCUGAUGAUGAGAGUUUGAAUUUUUCUAAGGAUACAAGUGUGACUUAUCCUAAUUUUUAUAAAAUAAUGCUUUGUAAAAACCUUUCUUGAAUAAGAGUUUUCAUCUUUUUCCUAUUUUGUUAUUCAAAUCCUUUUCCCAUUUCAAGAAAGAUUCAGAAUCAACUAGCUAAUUAUUGUACGAAUGUGCUGUUCUUUCUUUUUAAUUCAUGAGUAUUGACUUUUAAUAUCCGUCAAAAUAAAGAGUAUAAUUUUUGAACAACAAGGAAAAGUGUAUAAAAGAAAUACCUCUACUUGAAUUUUCUCGUUAACUUCUUUUUGAAUGUUGAAAUUUGCCAAUUUAGGACAGUUCCAAACUUCCAACUUCUCCAAAGAUGGUGAUGAGAUGAGAAAGUUUUCUGAGGAAAAGCAACUCAAAUUUAUCAAGUUUACAAGUAGUAAAUCUUGUAGGCAAGGGAGUGCGAUGGCACAAUCAACUCCAUUCUUUUCUUUUGCCCCAUGGAAGACUUGUUGUAACUGAGGAGAAUCGGUUAUCCAAAAUGAUUUCAAUCGCGGAAGAACUUGAGCCAAAGGAAUUUGAAAAAUAUUUUCUAAUAUUGGACAAUGACUUAUUCUUAGAGUUUCCAAUUUUGGCAAGAACGAAAAAUGGAGAUGGGCAUUUGUUUCUAUUCCAUCAUCAUAGACCAACUCGGUGAUAAUGUGUUGCAGUCCAUCACAGUGAUCUAUCUUGAGUUGUUGUAGCAGUACCAAGCUUUGAGCAAGGGAUGGUGAGAAGAGAUGUUUCAAUCUAUUGCAGCAACUAAUUUCUACAAACUUCAAGCUUUGGAGGCUGACAAAACGGGUGGACCCUUUCCAUACCCAAUUCAAUUCUGGUAAUGAGUUUAGCUCCAUAAGUGUUAAAUUUGACAACAGCAGUCCUUGAUUUUCUUUCGUAUCAUGAAGAAACUCAUCUAUUUGAAAUACUUCUUGCAACUGGCUACAAUUAAUAACUUUCACUUCUUUUAGAUUUUGCAGCGCAGGAGAUAAAGAGACCAUUUCCAUGCAAUUCCUUGUUGUCAACUUCUCUAGUUUUUGUAGAAAGCCCUUUGGAAACUGACCGUUGCACAACAUUUUCAAACCAUUCAUUUCUUCUAUUACUAAUUCCACCAAAUUGAAGAAUGUAUUGGUUGAGACAUGGCCUUGUGUUGUAUCAAUCAAGCAUUCGAGCUCCUCGCCACCUUUAAGUGCAAGAAAAUUUAAUUCAUUAAGUCCCUUUUGAUCUACAUUUGGAACGAGAUUUUUUUGAUACAUGACUCCAUUCAAGGUAAGAUAUUUGACAUUCUGUAAUAACUCCUUCACUGCUUGCAAUGGAACGUCCUGAUAAAUUCACAACAAAAUGAAAGAUAUUAGAAAAAUAGAAAGGUAGAUAAUACUCCUUAAAUCAGAAUUGAUUUUUUUUUUCUAUGCAUAAAAUUUAAAAAUUGAGACAAAAGAAAACUGUUUUAUCUUUUCAUUUAAAGCUCAUUAAAGUUGAAAAACAUACCAAAGCUUGGAGUAUAAAUAGUGUAUAGUAUUCUUUUAUGUACAUAUUAAUGUACUAAAAGAAAGAUGUUUUUCUAUGAUCAGAUAAAUAAUCAAUUAAUAAUUAUCAAAAGUAAAAUUGAAACAAACGAAAAUAUAACAGAACUACCAUCAAUAGAGACCGCGACCAAAGUCCUUCGUGAAUAUGGAAACGAGUCAUUGAUCCGCGUGGGAGACCAAUACUGCAAGCUUGGAAUCCCUUCAAAGAUGGCAACAUGACAAAAUAGUUUCUGGGACAAAAGUUCCUGAAGUUUAGUAAGUAUUCAAGUCUUAAAGACUGUAAGCGAGGGAGCAGAAUAUCGUGCCCAUACUCUUCUUUUGCCAUGUUGAAGACAUGCAUUAGUUGAGGGCAAUCAAUUAUCUGAACUGAUUCCAAGUGCGGAAGUCCUUGAGCCAAAGUGAUGGGAAACACAUAUCUCAAGCUUUCGCAACUAGCUAUCACAAGAGAUUUUAAUUUUGGCCAGCACAGAAGAGAGCGAUCCUUGUUUGAAAUUAUCUCAUCACCAUUUUCUGCUUCGGUGAUUAAAUGUUCCAAAGAGUUGCUUCCCUUUAUCCAGAGUUCUUCCAGAUGCACCAAAGUUUGAGCAAGUGUAGCUAAAAAGAGAUACUCCAGUUUAGAACACGAGCAAAUUCUCAUAGUUUUAAGAUUCUGGAGGUUAACAAGAUGGGUGGGUUCUCUCCAUAUGCACCUCAAUUCUGGUAAGGACUCCAGCUCCAAACAAAUUAAAUUUGAGAGUGGGGGUGCCUGAUUUUCCUCACAUAAAACAUAUAUUAUCAAUAAAUAAUUAUUUAAAUAUGAAUUCGUUGUACUUGUUCAAAAAAGUACUUAAAUAUUAAAGGCAUACAUUUUAAAAAAUUUUAAAACGAAGUGUAAAAAGCCACAAUUUAGAAAGAUUACAACUGAUGUUUACUUAUAUAUUUGGUAAUUUAACAUAAAAAAACACAAUUAGAUAAAGAACAAAUAAUAGAAUUAUUAAAGGAAAAAUGGAGAGAUGAGGGGUACCUCCAACUCAGCCAUAUCUUGGGCAAAAGCAAAGACUUGCUCUAAUUUCUUGCAUGCAGAUAUCUUGAGUUGUUCAAGAUGCAACAAACUUUGAGCAAGGCAAGGUGAGAAGAUUGAUUUUAGUUUAUCACAACCAUCAACUUUUACAUCCUUCAGAUUUUGUAGGCUUACAAGAUGAGUUGGCUCUUUCCAUAUACUCUCUAAUGCUGGUAAUGACUGCAGCUCCAAGCUUCUUAAAUUUGAGAUCGACCACAUACAACCAUUCAUUUGAAACACUGAUUGCAACUGUCCACAAUCGCAAAUGAUCAAUGUUUCUAAGUGUUGUAAGAAGCUAUUCGGUAAUUGACCAUGGCAUAACUCUUUCAAAGAAGUCAUUUUACCAAUGUCUAAGUUCACCAAAUUAGAGAAUGCAGUGGCUGGACUCUGUUCUCGUGUUGUAUCGAUCAAGCAUUCCAAAUCAUCGCAAGAUGUAAGCUGAAGAGAAGUUAAUUCAUUUAGUCCCCACUGAUCUACAUUUGGAACAACAGUUUUGUGUUCCAUGAUAUUCUCCAGACUCAGCCUUUCCACAUUGCGAAACAGCUCCUUAAAUGCAUUUAAUGAGGAGGAAUCUCUAAUUCUCAAUAUUCUCGAGAUAAGCUUUCUCGGAAUUUCAAUGUAUCCAUUUACACCUAUAUUGUAGCUUUGUAGUUUAGGAAACACAAAGUUUUCUUGAAAACAUUGAUCAGUAGAAACUGUCAAUGUUAAUGCAGUCAAACGAGACAACGAAUUCAACUCCGAUAAGUUGGCAAUGGUAAAACUUAACAUGUGUAGCUCUUGGAGUGACGUUAACCUGUUACACACAAAUACACAAUAUUAUUAACACAAUAACAGCACUUUCAAGCAGACAAUGAAAUAGCUACUAUUAAACUACAGCUUGCAAUGUUUCAUAAUAAUCGGAGUGACUAAAAGCUCAUGAUAUAUAUACAUAUAUAUAUAUAUAUAUAUGUAUAUAGUAGUCAAAUUGAAAACAACAAAAGGAAAAAUAAAAUAACAUAAAAUUAAAUUUUUUUUUUACUCAGCCAAGAAAAAAAAGAGAUUUAUAUAUAGACAGCUUAAAUGUACAAAAUAAGAAGAAACAAGAACAACCGCUCAAAGCAAAAAACUUAAAAAGAAGCAACUUGAUAGCUUGGCUGGAGGCAAAAUCAACACUUCAUAUGAGAUGACAUGUUACGGGAUUGGUGUCAGUACACAAGAGACCAACAUAUCAAACAGUCUCAUAAAAAUCGACCAAGGCAAAGAUGAAUAUAUUGGCACAAUCAGAUUGCCAGCGGGAAACAAUAAAAUUAAAUACUUAAGUAAAAACAAUUAGAUAAUCAGUUUUAAUGACAUCUAAGUAUUACCUUGAUAUCAAGUUAGGGGGGACAUGUCUGUCUUCAUCUCCAACCCAAAAAAUAUAUAGUGACUUUAGUCUGCGCAACUCCACUAAUUCUUCAGGUAAUUCAUCAAUAUAAGUUCUAAUCAAAGACAAAGACUCAAGAUUUUCUAGAUUUCUCAACGAUGAAAUGUUCUCAACGUCACACCUCAUAAUGCACAGAGUUCGCAGAUUUGUUAGGAAUUGAAGUGCUUCCAUUGAGAAUACAACACGUUGAAGAAAUAAAACUCGGAGGGUUUUCAUUCCUUCAAAAAAUUUACUCGGAACUCUUAGGUAAUCUUCUCCCGUUAAAAACAAAGUCUUGAGUUUUGAAAAUUCUAAUUUAUCGGGAAAAUUAACUAUCUUAAUAUUCCAUAAGGAGAUUGUUGUGUAACAACCAAAAAUUUCACUCUUAGGCCAUUCCGUCAGCUCAUUUUUUACCAUGAACAUAUUUUCCCCUCUUGAUGUUAUCCAAUGAGCAAAAUCACGAACCACAUCAUGCAUUUUUACAUAGAAUUCAUCGUCAGUUUCCAAUAACAAACCAAACUUUUGGAGCUUUGAUAGUGCUAGAUGAAUUUCCCUCCUUAUUUCUUCAAUUAAGUUAAUAUGACAAAACAGUCCCUGACCAAUUCCGAAUUCAGUCAACAACUCAACAUUAAUAUCAUAAUCUUCUGGAAAAAGAGAACACAACAAGAAACAUGACUGAAUAUUUUCUUCCUUCAAAUAAUCAUAACUAAGCUUAAGGCAGCUAUAGAUACCUCCACAAACAUCUUGAUUAUCCAAAUGUCUUGACUCCUUAAGUCGUUGAUUUGCUGCUAUCCACCCAUUUAGACUUUCACGUUUUAGAGCUUUCGCCAUAGUUACAAUUGCAAGAGGCAAACCCUUAGCUUCACGAGCAACCUCCUUGGCUACAUCAUUCAAGGUGGGAGAGGCAUCUUUUAGACCAGCAUUAUCUUUGAAUAAAGCCCAUGCCUCAUCUUCAGACAGAAUGUUCAGUUUAAAUUCUUCUUGACAAUUCAUUUGACUACAGACUUGUCGAAGACGUGUAGUUAGAAGAAUUUUGCAACCAGGGUGUUUGUCACCAGAUGGAAUUCCUAUAUUUCGCAAUUCAAACUGUUCCCAAACAUCAUCGAGAAUAAUGAGAAUCUUCUUCUCGCCUUUUAAUCUCUUGAAUAACUCUUCUGCUUUUCCUUCUUCUGUACUUGCAUUAAAUUUUAAACCCAAGAUUUCAGAAAUUCUAUGUUGAAUUUUGUUGAUGUCUGGAUUUUGAGACACCCCCCUAACAAUCACAACUUUAUCAAAGAGCUUUUCUUCCGUAGCUUGCUUCCCCACUACUUCCGCCAAAGUUGUUUUACCCACUCCUGGCAUUCCGUGCAAUCCAAUCACGUUCACACCAUCACCUUUUAAAGCCUUCAUGAUCCCAUUGAAAGCUAACGUUGAAGAUUCGGAACGCAUGAAAUCCUUGGGUAGUAGGAACUCUAUUCCUUGAAGAGGAGGGCGCUGGCCGACUAGUGGAAAGUUACAGGUCUCUAAAAGUUUAGAGAUACAAAGAUUCUUCUUCGCGACUUUCUUACUUAAGCAAUAUCGCCAACCCCAACUAGGACACCAAUUGAAACACUUGUUACGCUCUAUUUCUUCUUCCAAACUCUGAGCUUCUCCCAAUUCUUUAUCUGCCUUUGUUAGCCACUCCUCAACGCCCUUCUUAAUUACCUCAGUUUGCCUUAAAGCCUCAUCGACAGCAUCUUUCAACUCAUCUCUUUUUGAUUCAAGUUCAUUUCGCCGGUUCUUGAAAUCUUCAACAAUUUCGCCAAAACGGAAAAAGUAACGGAGAUAAGGUGAUGCGUAUUCUGUUGCUAAGUUCCCCGCGGUACCGCUAAUAGCAGCGCAAACACAUUCAAGAAACAUUCUUUGAUGAUCUGAGGCUGAAAAACAAUUUGGAUGAGUAAAAUGUUUUACAGAGAGACAAAAAGUAAUUACGAAAUGUUCACAAAAUAUCUCGCCUUUGCAGCAAUACUUUUAUAAAAUAUGUGAAUCACAAGAGAACAAAUUGUCCGCCGACUAACUUGGAAAUUGAAAAUGCUGCACAAGUAGAAAUUAUUCACUGGUCAUGUGUAUAGUAAUUAGAAAUAUAUCUUACAUGUUAGAGUAAAAUCAUAGUAUUAUGAUUCUAUAAAAUACUUUCUCAAAAUUUAAAAUAUCUAUUUAUUUCAGUUUUUUCCUAAUAGCUACAGCUUUUGUGUAACCAUGCAUGCUCGUCAUGGGCAAGGAAAGAAGUAAAGUGCAAAAUUAUUAUUUUUAUUUUCCAAGUGAAGAACUCAAGAAGUCAAAUGCAUAAGUGACAAGAGAAAUAAAAAGCAUAGCAAAAAUUAUAUAUGGACAAUAUAAUAUGUAUUGUUGAAGCUUACCUCACUUCGAAAGGAUCUUCUAACGCUGCAUGGAUUUUUUCUUCACCAACUCCGGAGAUCGGGAAAGUAAAAUUAAGGACUUCUUUUCUGGAUAGAAAGCAGAGAAAUCCAAAUACUAGAGGUAGCAGCUUUGGGUUUUUUUUUUUUUUUUGGCCUUUGUGGAGCUGAGGAAAGGAAACGUAGGGAUCAAAGAACAGUUUUUGUUUUUUAUUUUUCUGAGUUAAAAGAAAAUGAGGAAAGUAGAAACCAAUGGAAAAAACGAACAGAGAUUUUUUUUUUUUUUGAGUUGAAAGAAAAUGAGGAAAGCAGAAACCAAUGACAAUAAACCAACAGAGAUGCUUUUCUGUUUUUGAGUUGAAAAAUUGAGUGGAAAAAUCAAGGAAAAUGAAAUGGAAAAUUAAGGCAGAAAUCAAACAAAAUCUUUGGGAUAGUGCAGCUCACAGAUGUGGAGAUGGUAGAAGAAGAAGCUUGAAUGGAAACUCUAUGAAGACGAAGUAGUGAGAGUAGGUAUAGGAACUUUGGAACACUAAUAUUCAAAUUAGGAACAACGGAAAAAAAUUAGCAACUUGGCUUACACUUCCCAUGUAAGAUUCUCUUUUCUUUGAUAUGCGAGAGCUAAUGCUAUACAUUGAGAAAGUUAAUUUGUUUUAUUUAUCGUUUUUCAGUUGGCUUUUCCAUAGUUUGUCCCCCUUUUGUUUUUUCUUCCCUGGUUGUGGGUGGUGCUCGAGACACAAAUGUUUAUUGCUCCCUCUAGCUAAAAGCUCUUUGGCCAGCAUGUGCAAUCAACAUUAUUAUAUAAUGUUUAUAGAUUUGAGGAUUUUUGUUUACCACUAGAGACAGUUGCAUGUGAACGAAUUAGAUAUUCUAUUCAAAUUUUAAUUGGGAAUCAGUAAAAUUUCAUUAAUAAAAAAAUUAUUUGGUGAUUAAGUUUAUUUAAAGGAUAAAUAUAGUUAAUGAUUAAGAGUUUUUAAUGGAUAGGAAUUCAUGGUGACAAAGUAAUAUGGUUUUAUAAAUAUGGAAUGUGUCUUAACUUUUAAAAUUAAGAUAGAGAUGAGAUCUUUAUAUGAUCUUAUGUAAAAGAUAAUUUUUUUUAAAUGGAGUUUUUUGUAAAAACUUCACAGAAUUAUAGAGAUGUGAGAAGGAGCACGAGAAAUACAAGAAAGAGUAGGGGAAACGCAGUUUGCAUGGGAUCGAAAGUAUUUUAUGAGUUGAAACAAUAGGGAGCACAGAAACUGGAUUUGUUUCGAAGCUUAAGUUUAGUAUUUGUUUUUAUUUGUACUUUUUGUAAUCUCUAUGCCUAUAAUGAAUUUUUCUGAAUGCAUAUUAAAUAUUAUCUCUUAUAUGUGCUUUAUAAAUUAAAUUUUCAUUUGUAAUUUAUUUACUUAACUUACAAAAUAUAUAGUAUAAAAAGGAGGGUUUUUCUUUCUAGUUUUUUAGUGAUAUAUUACCUUGGACUCCGCACCUGGUCUUUAAGCUCAUGUGGUUAAAGCUCAGCAGAGUAAUAAGAUUUGGUCAUUAUCUUGGGCUUUACGUUGACCCAACCAGAGCAAUCUACUCUCAUUUUAAGGAAAGGAAGUACUUAUUGUAAACCUUGAACUAGUGGGAGUAAUUGUUUAUAUACCUUUCUCUCUUCCAAAACGUUGGUCCUAUCCUUUUAUUUCGAAUUUUUUCAUUUUUUAGUUAAUUUUCUUUUAAAAAAUUAUAUUCUGUGGAGGGAGGACAUGAGCCCGUAGUGAAAAUGUAUUUGUAUUAUCAAAAUCAAAUAAAAACUAAAAGAAAUAUCAUCAAAAACAGGGGUCAAAGCCUUGUACCCUUUCUAUACUUUUAUCACUUCGCUUUUUCCGUUAUAUUUGGUCUUUGAGGUGAUGGCCUUGGAGUAGUAAUGUAUUCUUCCAACAAUUACUAGUCAUUUUACAAUAAUAGGAAAUUUUUUAGUAAAAUAUUUAUAUAAUAUAUUGCCCUGUUUAAAUUGUGUAGGCCUCAAUAAGUUAAAUUUUGAGCUGAUUAAAUUAUCGAAAAUUAUCCAAUAAACUGUCAUGGAGUUUGAAAACUUUAUCAAUGGAAUUAGGAGGUUGCAACAUAUUCAUUCGGAUAUAUUUGAAAAAAUAAAUAAAUUAAUCUGAUAAAUAAAAGGAUAUUAAUUUGACAAUAUUUUAAUUUUACUAACAAAGUUAAAAUCUCACCGAGGAUGCAUAGAUUAAUAGUCCUUAAAAUAAUCCCUUUGUUUUUACAAUUGAGGGACAUUGAUCGUUACAUGCAUUAGUAGUGGAGAUUUGUUGCCUUUUCCUUAAAAGAUCAUUACAUUUUUUGCUUAAUUGCAUGCUUGUGUUCGGCUUAUAUAUAUAGGCUUUCAUUAGUGCUUGUUGAAUUAUGGCAGUGAAGUGUUUAGUAGAGUUGAUAUGAAUGAAGUGACUAUCCAGAGAUAUUGCAUCGUAUCGUUUUCUGCUUAUUGGGUUCCAUUGCUUGGAGCAUUUCUGCAGUUUCUGCGUACUUAUUUGCUACAACUUGAAAGAAAUGAGCAUGGCAAGAUUGUAUACAAAUUUGCCUAUGACUUCAAAUUUAGUUCGGCUUGAUCAACAAAAGAGGAAAAUUUCAGUUGAGAUUUUAGCAUUUUGGUUACUGAAUGAGUGACUCUAGGAAGAUGGAUAACGUUCAUGCAUGCUUGCGAAGCUCGUUUGGUAAUAUAUAGCACAAAAAGCAUAGUGAACCCAACUUCGAAACACAUGGAUGCCAUCUAUUUUUCUAACAACAGCCGUGGCAAGCGUGAGCAUACCAAUUCUAAGUUCUAACAUUGGGUUUAGACCACUUUAUCAAAUUUCAAAGCCUUUCUUUAGUGCUUUUUUCCCCUGGAUUUCUUGGUAGAAUUAACUGGUGCCGUAAAAGAGGGCCAUGUUGGGGAUGGCAGGGGACGGAUUAGUGUAAUUUUUUUAUAUUUAUAAUUGAAACAAAUUAGAGGAAUGCAGAUUAGGGGACAGUAGAUUAUGGAAACGGUGGAAGACAUUUCAGCAGGUGGAUUCUUUAAAGGAGGUGAUAGGCAGUGUAUUAUUCUGUGAGUGCUGAUUUUUUGGCAAAGGAAGGUGCAAGGAGAGAAAGUUUUUAUUGGAUAUUGUCAUUACCUUGAGAUUUACAUUGAGCCAGUGGGAUUAAUUAUUAUUAUUAUUUUUUUGUUUUUAAGAAAAAGAACCACUUUUUGUAAACCGUGAACUAAUGGAGGCAAUUGGUUUUAUAUACAUAUUGCUCUUGCAAAACAUUGUAAUUUAGAAAUUUAGAAGUAGAGGUAUACGUUGAUCCCUUCAUUAAUUCGACAACUUCCAUAUAAAACAAAAGCUCAGCAGAUGAAGACGAAGCUAGCAGCUAGCUUGGAGGGAAGUGUGUAAGGCACUAAGCAGCUAGCAGUACAAUUCCUGGCCUCAGUCAUGGUUCACUUUUUGCCUAUGGAGACGCAAUCUCUUUUUAUAAUCAAUUUGUUUUCAUUUGACACUCUGUUUAAGAUGUAGUAGCUCAAUCUCAGCCAUAUACACGAAUAAAAUAAAACGACGGUAUUUACUUGGUUAAUUGGUUGUUAGCCAACUUGAUGGAAAUCUAGUAAUUAAAAGCCAAAGGAAAAUAUCAUCAAAAUCAGGGGCCAAAGCCUUUCGCCUUUUUUAUAGUUGAUGCUCCUUCCAGCUUUUACCACAUUGCUUUUUCCUUUACACUUGGUCUUUGAGGUGAUAGCCUUGGAAUAGUAAUGAGAACCACCCAAAACCAAUUAAAGUAGAUGAUAGAUGAAAGAAAGAAAUGAGAAUACUUGUUAAUUUGCUACUAAGUAGCAGCAGCUAGUCAAAUUCAGAUUUAUGCAUUAACAUAGUUUCACCUUCUUGUUAAAAUUUAUUCUGAUUCUUCUGAUGUAGCUUUAUUUACCCAGCAGCGAGCCUUCAAAAUCAAACAAAGUGGGACAUGAAGAACAAAAAUUAGCUUGGGACAAUCUUCAACCGAAGAAGUCAAAUUUGGAAAUACAAGAUGGUAACAUUAUAUAAUAAUUGAGGGAGCACUAUUUGCUUCUCUUUCUGGGUACUUACUUCUUCAUCUGCAAUUCCAAAUAGUUGCUCUAGUUCAGAAGAUCCUUCGACUGUGAUUAUUUCUAGUUUUGGCAGAGCAACAUUAACCGGAAACAGACUUUUCAUUUUAUUUCAGUAACCAACACAAAAUCGAUUCUUUCAACAACCCCAACCCCCGCAUAAGCCAGAAUUUCAAUUUCAUUACUUUUGGAAAUGAGAAAAACAAGAAACUGAGUGCGUACUGGUAAUAUUCACAGUCAAACGUAUUGCAUAUUUCAUCUGAUGGUAAAGGUUGUUGCAUCAUAUUUGAUAAACAAAGAGGAGAUAUUCGGGAUUUUUUUUUCUUAAUUUUAAUUUGGGCAUUGAAAUUUUAUUAAAGAGUGUUAGGCCUUGAAAAAGGGGAAGAUGUUUUUGGCAUAGAAACUUCAAGGACUUUAUAUUUUUCUUCUUCCAAUUGCCAUUGGUUUGUAAGCAAAGAUGGGAGUAAGGAAUGCAGUUGCCAAAUCUAACAAGUUUGUUUCACAAUUGAGGGGCUAUGUGAUCUGAUGUCUCAGGGUGAAGAUUUGUUACUUUUUCUCCCAGCGUUUUACAAGCAUGGAAAACCAUGGGGAAAUUUGUUGAUGUCUGACUCAGACAUGCAAGUAGACAUUACAAAUCAACUAAACAUUGUAAAAGAGAAGCAAAGAUCAACCAGCUGCAAGUCAACUAAACACAGAGAAAAACCAUGUUGCUCACAGUCCUUUCCCAAGUCAGAGAGGUAUAACUCCUGCAAAGACAUAAAUAUAUCAUAAUUUCAUUAGAAAUUGAAUAGAUUACAAAGGGCCAAGACACUGUUGCCUAAAUAUUGGAAGAGAAAAAUGUCUUGAAUCCCAAAGAAAGAACAUAUAUCACUCUAUGCAUCUAAUUAAUCAUAACUCAAGCAAUUACUUUAAUAUACGAUUGAUUAUAAGUGUACGUUAAUAAACUCAGUUACAAAGAUCAAUUAACAUAUGACCUCAAAAGUACAAAGCUUUCAUAUUAUUUCAAAAAAAUUUAGAUAAGCUCAUAUCUUUUUAUUGUAUUUAAUUAAAUUUUUUAAAUAUUAAUUUUCAAUAUCCAAACCUUUUUUUUUUUGGAUAAAACCCAUAGAUGAUGGUUAAUCCUUUAACAUGCGAUAAUAACUCCGUCACUGCAUGCAAUUGAACUUCCUAAUAAAUUCACAACAAAAUGGAAGAUACUAGAAAAAUUGGAAAGGUAGAUAAUACACCUUAAAUCAGAAUUGAAAUAUUUUUAUAUGUGUAAAAAUUAGAGAUUUGGGCCAAAAGAAAAUUUUGUACCUUUUCUUUAAAGCUUAUUAAAGUAGAAAAAUAAACUAAAGUUUGGAGUAUAAAUAGUGUAUAGUAUAUAUACAGGUAAAUGUCAAUGUAAUAAAAGUUUUCGAUGGGAAAGAUGUUUUCUUAUGAAAUAAACAAUCAACUAAUAAGUAUCAAAAGAAACAUUGGAACAAAUGAAAAUAUAACAAAAUUACCUUCAACUGAGACUGCGACGUAAGUCUUUGUGGAUCUUGGGAAUGAGUCAUUAAUUGGGGUUGGGGACUAAUAUUGCAAGGGUCAAAAUCUUUCGAAGAUGGUAACAUGGCAGAAUAAUUUCUUGGACAAAAGCUCCUCAAGUUUUUCAAGUUUUCAAGUGUUUAAAUCUGUUAUUGAGGGAGCACAAUACGGUGCCCAUCCUUUUCUUUUCCCAUGUUGGAGACAUGCAUUAAUUGAGGGCAAUCAAUUAUCUGAACCGAUUCCAAGUACGGAAGUCCUUGAGCCAAAGUGAUUGGAAACACAUAUUUCAAGCUUUUGCAACUAGCUGUCUGAAGAGAUUUCAAUCUUGGCCAGCAUAGAGAAUAGCAAUCCAUAAUUGAAACUAUUUCAUCCCCAUUUUCUGUUUCUAUGAUUAAAUGCUCUAAAGAGUCGGUUUUCUCUAUAUGGAGUUCUUCCAGAUGCUUCAUAGAUUGAGUAAGGGCAGGCAAAAAGAGAUAUACAAGCUUAGAACAUGACCAAAUUCUCAUAGUCGUUAAGACUUCGGAGAUUAACAAAAUGGGCAGAUCCUCUCCAUAUGCAUCUCAAUUUUGGUAAUGACUCAAGCUCCAAACAAGUUAAAUUUGAUAGUACUUGUGCCUCAUUUUCCUCACAUAAAGAAUAACACAUAAAAGUUGAGAGAUAUAAAGCGUCUUCUUUGCAUCUUUGAUACUUAUGCAGUAUCGCCAGCCCCAACUAGGACACCAAUUGAAAUACUUGUUACGCUCUAUUUCUUCUUCCAAACUCUGAGCUUCUCCCAAUUCUAUCUCUGCCUUUGUUAGCCACUCCUUAACGUCCUUCUUAAUUACCUCAGUUUGCCUUACAGCCUCAUCGACAUCAUCUUGCACCUGAUCUUUUUUCGAUUGAAGUGCUUUUCGCUGCUUCUUGAAAUCUUCAACAAUUUUGGCAAAACAGAAAAAGAAAGUGAGAUAAGGUCAUGCUUAUUCUUUUGCCAGAUUCCCUACAGCAUGUAAAACUGCGGAUGGCAAUUGUAUUCAGCCUGCAACAACAUUGCCCGUAGACUAGAAAACUCAAUAUCACAGAGAAGGAAGGAAAGAUAUGGGAUGAAACAAGAAAGGGAACCAAAAUAAAAAAACAAAAAAGAGAUGAAGGAACCUGACCCUCUCAAAGAAAUAAAAACCACAACAUUGUACACCAGCCAAUGAAAACCCACAACCUUAAAACAUGUCGUAUCAAAGCAACACCUUAAGUGCCCUUGAAGAGUGGACCAGUUUCAAGCCACAGUAGAGCAACCACACCUCACUGCAAAAUACAAUAAAAAUAAAACACAUUAAGCACAACGUAUAUAAUGUCAGAAAAUGAUAAUGGCAGAUGUAGCGAGCAUAGACAAACUAGUCAUUUCAUUUGUUUUUUAUUAACCUUCCAUGCAAUUAAAGUAACAAAGGGUGGUCAAACAGAUUCAGCAUGCUUGCAUUCUUUCUGCUUUUGCUAAGAGCCAGGAAUAAUUAUGAAAAUAUGUAUAAUUCGUAAAAUCAUGUUUACCUGCUGUGGUUGUUGGUAAGCUUAUGGUUGCUGGUAAUUCCCAUAUCCAAGAUAGCCCCCAUAGGACAUGUUAGGAUCUUGGGGAGGAGGUGCAUAUCCAUAUGCUUCAAAUCCUUGAGCAUAUCCAUAAUAUCCACCAUUCCACUAGGCCUGAUCUGGUUGAGCCUGAAACUCCAACAGAUUUCCCUCUUAGUUUGUAGAAAUAUAUAUAGCAAGGUUUUAAUUACAAAAUACCAUGAUUUUAAAUACAAAACCUGAUUGCUUGAAGGACUACAUCCCCAUGAAAGUCAAAUGUUUCUUCCUCCUAAUACGAUGCCAUUCAAAACUGAUAAAGCUUGCUCUGCGUUAGUCCUGAAGUAUAUCAAAUUGCAGAAUAAAUUAAUAUAAUAUAAUAAUAUUUCACGCACUUAAAUAUUCGGAAGAAUUUACAGCUUACCUAUUAGCAUAUUGAACAAAACCACAACGCUUGUUAGCAGGAAUUUUUACAUGAACUACCUCACCCAGCUGGCUAAAUAUUUGUUUUAAUUGGUCUUCAGAAACACUAGGAUCCAAACCACCAACAAAUAUCUGCAUUUAAGCAUGUAAGAUUUCAGUCGACCACACCAUGAAAUAAGCAUAUUAAUAUAUAUAAAAAAGCUACCCACUGUGGUAUUAUUUGGAUCAUUCUCGCCAGGAUUUCCUUGAGUAUUUGGGUAAGAAGCUGCAAAUGACAAAUACAUGUAAACUACAAUAGAAUGAGAUGAUAAAAAAGCUCAUUGCUUCUCAAAACUCAAAUUAAACAUUGUUGAAAAAACCAAGCAUUAAGAUAAUACACUUAAAAAUACUAAAAAAGUUCUAAAAAAUUCCCUCCAUGGCAUGCAAAAGAACAAAAAUGUAAAACCACCAGCUAUACAUCACUCAAAAGUUACAAUUACAACCAUAAACCUCUUUGGGUUACAUCAAGGCUUACCAUUACCAGGGAAAGUGAAAAGUAUCAGACUAAAUGGAUUUCAAUAGUAGCCCAUAAAGAAAUCAUUAAUUACAUUACACUCAGGGAAUCGGUAAAGGUCCUAUUCUUUCAUUAACCUUUUACAAUAGCAUGAAAAGGAGAAAAAGGAAAAUUGAAAUCAGAGACUUAACUUUUCUCUGCACUUGACAUGAAAUAUUUCCUUUUGCUCCUUUCUUUCACACAUUUUUUGUAAGGGGGAGGGGAGGGAGGGAGGAAGCUGUCAGGGCUUAAAUAGAAUGAUUCACAACUUCAACUUCAAAGAUUAUGUUUUAGUAGAAAGAACCUAUCUGCUAAACUAAUUUCAGAAAUGCUUUAACAUUCUCUGCGUAGACAGAAACCUAUAGAGAUUAUAUUAGCAGCCACAAAAUGAUAAGAUGAAGAACAUAUUUAGAAAAUAAGGAAAUUCCUCUAAACUGAAGUGAUGCAAAACCUCAAAUGACAAGUAGAAAAAGAAUGCCUUGAAAAUGCAAUAUUAAUACUGGUAGAUUCAUACACAGCUAGGCCAUCACUAUUUAGGUUUUGGCAAUAAAGCAUGCACGAGUGAUCCACUUCCAUUGAGGUUAAAUCCAUUAACUGAAAAUGCCUUUAACUACAAGUCCCAGGUUUCUUUCCUGACUCAAUUUGUCCUCAUUUGUAACAGAGCAAUAGAAUGAGGACAAAGAAGUUACUAUAACGUUUAAAAGAAGCACAGAUAUAAAAUGCAAUAGAACAAAAAUUGCCCCAAGGCUCAAUAACAGAAUGGUGCAUGAUAACAUCCAUACCAACUUUACCCAUGGCUGCUUCACCUAGUUUUGAGCAUUACAGCUUGAAUUUAAAGGAAACAAAGAGAAGAGUGUAAACAUAUGCAAGUAUCAAAAGGGAACUUAUCUACGACGAACUUAGAAAAAAAAGGUUUCUGGAGUGGUAAAAGUAUCUAAAAAAAGAUUCAAAGGAAACAUGUUGGGAAAACUGAAACAACUUGUACUUGACUGGAAUACUUGAUAAGGAACUAGAAAAGUAAUUUACGAAUGUAGCACAAAUACUGCCACGAGAAAAUGAGGCUUACGAUAUAAACAAAGUAACUGACCUAAAAUGGGGCCACGCAUUAAAGUGGGAUCAUUUCAGCUGAUACCAGUUCCAGGCUCCCCAAAAUGAGAGCCUUUUUGGUGUCCUGCUUUAAGACAACAUGAGUUUUAAAUAAGUUUGUGAACGUUUUAAUAUAAUUAAACGUGCCCAAGUUUGCAAAGGCAAACUGAAAGGAAAUGACUUUGUAUAAAUUCUGCCGAUCUUCAAGUGCAUAACUGAAAGAAUUCAAAUUUUAAGGACACUGUAACAACUAACAAGUAACAACCUCGACUCAGAAAAUUAAAACCCAAAAACAAAAAUAGAAUAACCAACAAGCAUUCAACUUGUCAAGUCAAAGUUCUCUAAGAUAAAUCAUGGCAGAUAAAAACUAUAAAAAAACCAAGCAACCUUCAUGUUAGUUUGCCAAGAUCUAUUGAUGAGCAUGAAAAAUGCUCUGUAGAAAAGAGUAAAACCAGAAAACUAGAAGAAGAGAAAAACUGAUCAGGAAAUUGGAAGAAGAAAAACUAACUUCUCAUCGAGUCAAGAGUCUGUUACACCUAUUUAUACACAAGUCAUGCUGACAUCAAAGAAAGCCAAUCCUAAUUACAAAAUAAUUAAAUAUAUAAUCAGAUAUCUAUUUACACUUGGACACGUGUAUGUAUUUAACACUUCAUAUGAAAAUCAAGAUAAAUAAUGAAUUUAACAUAACCCGUUUGCUUAUUCCUAAUCAGCUUAGCUGAAGCCACCUAAACUAUCCCAAAAAAAUUAAACUUCCUUUAAUUACUUUUUACUGAUUUUAUUACUUAAGUAGUUAAGUUUAAAAGGAAAAGAAAGGAAAUUCAUUUAAAUAACAAAAGGGAAUAAUAUUUUGAUUUAUUAAAAUGUAUAUAAAACUGUGAAUUUUAUUGGACUAUAUUUGCUCCGUUUAAUUAAAUUUUAUUAUAUUUUUUUACUAUUUUACUAUUUACUUAGGCACUCUUAAAUCUUUUUUUUUUCUAAAAGCCCCUAAUUUUUUUUUCUAAAAUAAUAUAAUUAACUAAUUAAUUACCUCUCCAGUGUGAGCGAAGAUGUUGAUGAGGUAAUUCUCAUCCAUCCACUGCUAAAGAUCACCGAUCUAGAAGGAUCGAAUCUCACUGGAGCCGCAACGGCUGAAUCGGUGGAGUACUGCUGCAUCUGACCUAGCGGAGGAACGGGUUGUGGAGCCCAGUCGGAAGGUGGAGGAACCGGCUGACCCGCCUGUUGCUGCUGUUGUUGUUGUUGCAUCAUCAUCCACGGCUGCUAUUGCGGUUGCUGCUGGUACUGCUGGGUUUGAGACUGAUCAGCUGCCAUGGACUGCGGUGGAGCUACACCUCCUGCUGGGGGUUGUUGCAUCAUACUCGAUAGAUAGAUAGAUAGGGAAGAGAAUCGGGAGAUCUCAGAGAGGAGAGGAAACCCAAGUGGGGAAUUGAAAUUUUAUAAAGAGAGGAUUUUGUUUUAUUGACCAGAGGAUGCUUGUCGGGGUAACACGUGGAGAAUAGGAAUUACGUGGCAGUAAUGGGCUUUUGAUAGGGUAAAUCGAGUAUUCGGCUUGGUAUGGGCUAGAUUGGGCUGAGUUUGGGCUAAAAUUCUUUUUCUUUGUUAAUAAAAAACGUUUCUUAAGGAUGUAAUAAAAAAAGUUUUAAAAAAGAAUUUUUAUAGACAAUUGAAAUUUGGUGUUAAUAAGCAUAGCAAAAUUUUUUGAAAAUUAAGUAAUUAAAUGGAAUUGAAAUUUGAAAAUUAUUAAUAUAUUUUUAUGGUAUAAAAAUUAAUUAUUAUUUUAUUUUAUUCCCUUUAUAAAUUUUAUGACUUAUAAUUAUGAUGAUUUAGUAGAUGUCUGAUAAAUUAUUUCUUAAUCUAUUAAAUAGGAAAAUUUUUUUAUCAUUUCCCUUCGUCUCAUUAUCUUUGUUCUUUAUUGAUUUUUUUGUUAAAUAAACUCUGACUUUGAUCAUUAUUUUUAAAAACAUUGUAAAGUUAUAAAAUUUUGAAUUUUAAACAUUUAAAAUUUUUUUUUGAAUUUUUAAUUUUAUAUAGUAGUCGUUUAAUAUGGUAAGAAAAGUACAACAUGGUAAGAAAAGAAAUUAAAUUGAACUUAAUAAUUCUAAGUGCAUGCAGAAAUGGUCCAAUCCCUUUUUAUAAUUUUUAUUGUAAGCAUUACUUGGUAAAAUUUUCUUCUAUCAAUGAGUAAUUACUUCAUUUUAAAUGCUUUUUGCGAACUUGUUGCCUGGACUUUACUACCAUGGCCAGAUCUUAUAGGUUGGAGUACUAAUCAAACUCUCAAUAUUUCAAUAAAUCACUUAAAACCUUCAUAAAAUAAAAAUCUACUUGGCUUGUAUAGGGAAAUUAAAGUUUAAUUUCUGACGCAGGAGCGUCAAUGAUUGUAUUUUAUUAAAUUUAGUUUUUGCUAAUUUAGUUGAUUUAUGAUUUAUUUUCUUUAUUUUAUUUAAAUUAGGAUUCUUUUCUUAUUUUUAUUUUAAUACUUUUAAGAAUUAGUAUUUGAUUAGGAUAGUUAUGUUCUAUUUAGGAAUAGAACACCUAUUUUAUUUAAAUCUCUUAUUAAUUAUUCUAAUUGUAUUAGAUAACUAGGAGUAGAGUUUUAUUAGGAUUUGGGCCUAUAAUACUAUAAAUAGGACCCUUAGGCUUAGUUACGAGACAUUCAGAAUUGAGAGUUAAUAAAUAAUAUUUUCUUAAGCAGGAGUGCUUAUUUCUCUAGACUCUUUUAAAGGGUAAGAGGUUUUAAUAUCUUUGGCCUAGCCAACCAAAGUGGGAUUUUGGCUAUUUUUCACCUUAGUGGGGUUUUCAACCUUGCCAAGAUUGGUGAUUCACCUUAGUGGGGUUUUCAACCUCGCCACGAUUGGUGUUUUUCAUAACGCCUAGGUGUCUUUACAACGCCCCGGCGUCAAUUUCCCAUGUCUUGAUUUAAAAUAUAGAAAUAAGGAUAAGAAAUAGAAGAAUUUUAAGCUUAUUCUUCUACUAAUUGUGGAUGCAGUGAGAAACAUAACAUUGAUUAGGUAAAUUACUGAAAGCAAGUGAUCCCUUUGCUUGACAACUCUGUGAAGCCAACAUCUUGAUCAACCCAAAGCACAAUAAUUUCAACUACCUGUUUUUUUUUUUUUUUUGUUUAUGUAAAUAAUAAAGAUUAGCACAAGUAAACUACUAAAACUUGAUUAGGACUAGGCAAACAAGUGAGAGAAAUGAAAAUGGAAAGUAGCCUUUGAUCUACCUGUGUUUAGUUAAUGGCUCCAACAUACUCAUUGAUGUUUAAACAUGCCUUUGCAACUUCCCCUGCAAUCAUCUCAUAGUUCUUCCUUGUAAGGUGGUAGCUCACAAAGGCUCUUGCUCCGUCGAAUGGUCUUGGCGUCUUGCUUAACUGGUUGCGGUGUCUUUUUUAAACAAUUGAAACAAGGGAAUGUAAAACAAAAGUAUUAAUGUUACAUGUUAUGAGGGUAAAAGAAAAAAUAGACAUAUUAUAAUUUAUAAGCAUUUUAGGCCACAAAUUCAUUAAAAGUAAUGGAAUCAUUCACUAAAAGUGAUAUUCUAGAUCAAUCUUUUGGUUGCAGUGUACUACUCAAUCAUUUAAGUAAUUUUAGUAAAGACUUUGAAAAAUUAUGUAGUAUAAUAUUAUUAAAGACUAUAAUUGCCUUUGCACAUACUAAAUAAAAUCUUAAACUUAAUUCACAAAUCAACAAUAAAAACUCUUAAUCAUCAAUAACGAUUAUGUUGGGAGGAUAAGGAGAAUGAAUAAGGUAUUUUUAGUUUUUGUGAAUAAUAUUCUUGCAAAAGUCCAUGAAGAUGGCUUCAAAGGAUUUGGGAUCAAUUUGGAAAGGUUGUCAAUACAUUGUAGGGAGAAAUAAAAGCAAAUACAGCUAGAGGUAUCCUUUUAUCAUAUUUGGAUAUUUUAAUAAGGAUAGAAGAGCAGUCCAAAAUUUAAAUGGAGUCUGGCUUCUUAACCAAAGGCUAGAGGUCAAUAUAGCCAGCUAAGGAAGCCAUGAUUCAUUUUGAAGAAGGAAGCAAAAAGGAAGCUUCUGAUGCACCUAGUGUUAACCACAUUAGGAACGGAACCUGCAGUGGGAUUUUGAGACAACUUGGUUUUAUUCAUUAAGCCAUCUUAUGCUCUGUUAUUGAAAGGUGCUUUUGAAAGAGGUGGAGCUUCAAAUGAAGAGAGAGGAGAUGAUUUUCAAUGUCUGAAAAGCAUGGAAAACAUGCUUUGGUUGAAGAUAAGUGCUGUGGUAACAACGUAAUGUAAUUCAGAUCUAGCAAAUUUAAUGGAAUUAUUUAAAAUAGAGGGCAUUUCAGGGCUGCUUAUGAGGAGUUUGUCUCUCAAAGAAUUUCUGCUAACCUUUGAGGAUAAGGAGCUGUUGGAAGAGCUCAAGGAUAAAGGUUGGGAUUGGCUUAACAAAUGGUUUGCUAAGGUGGAAACAUAGUUAGAGAAUUUUUCAUCAAAACUCCUUAACAAGUGGGUGACUGCACAGGAUAUCCUUUUGAUGUGUGAAAUAGGCAUAUUAUAAAUUAUAAGCAUUUUAGGCCAAAUUCAUUAAAAGUGAUAUUCUAGACUAAGUUUUGGUUGUAGUGUCAUUCUCAAUCAUUUAAGUAAUUUAAAGACUUUGAAGAUCAUGCCUUAAAAUAGACAAGACUAAAGUUUUCAGGGUGUAUACCUCUGUUUUGGCGUGCACAUAUUCCUUUGUAUCUAUGAAGAAACCUGUAGUCAUCUUGGGACAUCCUUCUACUCUCAAAUCAUCCAAAGCUGAUAAUACAAAGUGAUAUCCCCUUGGGCAGAAGUCAACGAGGCUUGGCAGUUCUUCAAGUGAUAAACUGUAUAGUUGAUCAAACUUUAUCUCCUUUUCAGUUGUUGCUUCUGCUUCAUCUUCAAGUUCAAAUACUUGCUCCAAUUUAGAGUUCCCUUUAACCCAUAACGUAACAAGAUUUGGAAGACAACGAGCAGAUCCAAGAGGAAAGAGUCGUUUCAACUUUUUGCAAUAUAGAACAAAAAUUUUGGUCAAAUUAGGAAAGCUUAUAGGUUGGAGAUCACCAUCUGAUGAUGAACAAACUUGAUCCUCAGCAAUGAUUUGGUCCAAUUCAUCACAAUUUUGUAUUUCUAGAUUGACCAACCGUGAUAAACUUUGAGCAGUUGUAGGUGAAAAUAUGUAUCUUAGCCUCUUACAAUCAAUCACCUUCAAAAUUGUAAGGUUCUCAAGAGUUACAACCUGAGCGACAUCCUUCCAUAUAAUCCACUUUUCAGAUAAAUCCUCCAGGAGGAGUUUCUUUAUACGCCCAUGAACUUGGAAUACUUCUUCAUGACUCCCAACUGCUAUAUAUUCUUGAUUGCAGUUGGCUGAAAUACGCAAUUGAAAGCUAUUCACCAACAUAGAGAGAUAUAAUUCCUGCAAAUACAGACACCACUAAAUGUCACUGAAUAAGUUCCUUUUCUAUUAGAUUGGGAAUAGAUGAGCAAAUAUUACUCAUAAUUUUUUAGAUGCCGAUUCACAAAAAAUCCCUACAUUUUUAAUGAUAGGACAUUUAUAUGUUUCAAAAUUUAAAUCCAAAAUUUUCAUGAAAUGCUCUGAAAGUGGAAUCCAAAAACAUCUACCCUCUUUCAAGUUUUCUCUGUUAAUUUUUAAAAUAAAACCAUUUAUGGUUUUCCUUGUCUUGUGUUUUUUUCUUUGUCAUUUUUUCUUUAAGCAUGUUGUUUUGAAAAGUAUAGAUAAAGUGGUAAAGUGUUAAUUUUUUUUAAUUUACCUAAAUUACAUAAAAAAAACAUAAAAGAAACGAACCCCCCGGAAAGCCUAACUUUCUCAAUCUGUUUCUCUUGUCUGCAACAGAAAGUAGAAACACUUUGAAUAAAAAAAAAGGGAACUCAUGGCCAAGAAGAAAAAGAAAACUUAAAUUGAAGAAGAAAGAGAAAAUUCGAAUCAAAGAAAGCAAGAGAAACUAGAAUCGAAGAAGAAAAAGGAAGCUUGAACAAGAAAAAAAGCAAGAUUUGUCGUCGUGAAGAAAAAAUAUGAUGAACCUCAAUUCAGAAACAAGGACAAGGAAACCCCAAAGAUCCCCACAAACAAAUUAAAAUUUGUUUUUCAAAAUAAAUAGUAUAAAAUUUUUGUGCUGCAAUUUUAAAAUAUAAUUGGAUUAGUUUGUGAGUGUUGAAAAAAAGAUUUAGCUCAAAGGCAAAAUCCAAAACCAUAAUUGAAGGAAAAGUGUAUAAAGAAAUACCUCUAGCUGAAUUUGCUCAUUAACUUCUUUUUGAAUAGUGAAAUUUCUCAAUUUAGGACAGUUGCAAACUUUCAACUUCUCCAAGGAUGGUGAUGAGAUGAGAAAGUUUUCCGAACUCAAAUUUAUCAAGUUUACAAGUUGAAAAUCUUGUAGGCAAGGGAGUCCAAUGGCACGAUGAGUUGGCCUUUUCCAUAUGCUCUUCAAUGUUGGUAAUGACUGUAGCUCCAACCUUCUUAAAUUUGAGAGUGGUACUGCCUGAUUUACCUCACAUAAAAAAAAUAUAAAAUUUAUUAAUUAAUAAAUAAUGAAAAUGAAUUGUUUAUACUUGAUCUUAAUUACUGAGAAGAAAUACAUUUUGUUAAAAAAAAGUAGAAAGAAGUAUUAAAAGUUAAUAAUUUAGAAAGAUUAGAUAGUAAUUAUUUAUAUAUUUGAUAAUUCAAAAAAAAUCAUUAGAAAAACAAUAUACGAGACCAUUAUUAAAGGAAAAAUGAAGAGAUAAGAGGUACCUCUAGCUCAGCCAUCUCUUUGUCAAAAGCAAAGACUUGCUUUAAUUUUUUGCAUUAAGAUAUCUCAAGUGUUUCUAGAUGCAACAGACUUUGAACAAGGUAAGGUGAGAAGAUAGAUUUUAGUUUAUCACAACCAUCAAUUGUUACUUCCUUCAGACUUUGUAGCCUUACAUGAUGAGUUGGCCCUUUCCAUAUGCUCUCCAAUGCUGGUAAUGACUGCAAUUCCAACCUUCUUAAAUUUGAGAGUGGUACUGCCUGUUUUACCUCAUAUAAAGAAAAAUAUAAAAUUUAUUAAUUAAUAAAUAAUGAAAAUGAGUUCUUUAUACUUGAUCUUAAUUACUGAGAAGAAAUACAUUUUGUUAAAAAAAAGUAUUAAAAGUUAAUAAUUUAGAAAGAUUAGAUAGUAAUUAUUUAUAUAUUUGAUAAUUCAAAAAAAUCAUUAGAAAAACAAUAUACGAGAGCAUUAUUAAAAGAAAAAUGGAGAGAUAAGAGGUACCUCUAGCUCAGCCAUUUCUUUGUCAAAAGCAAAGACUUGCUCUAAUUUUUCGCAUUUAGAUAUCUCAAGUGUUUCUAGAUGCAACAGACUUUGAACAAGGUAAGGUGAGAAGAUAGAUUUCAGUUUAUCACAACCAUCAAUUGUUACUUCCUUCAGACUUUGUAGCCUUACAUGAUGAGUUGGCCCUUUCCAUAUGCUCUCCAAUGCUGGUAAUGACUGUAGUUUCAACCUUCUUAAAUUUGAGAGUGGUACUACCUGUUUUACCUCAUAUAAAGAAAAAUAUAAAAUUUAUUAAUUAAUAAAUAAUGAAAAUGAGUUCUUUAUACUUGAUCUUAAUUACUGAGUAGAAAUGCAUUUUGUUAAAAAAAAGUAAAAAGAAGUAUUAAAAGUUAAUAAUUUAGAAAGAUUAGAUAUUAAUUAUUUAUAUAUUUGAUAAUUCAAAAAAAUCAUUAGAAAAACAAUAUACGAGAGCAUUAUUAAAAGAAAAAUGGAGAGAUAAGAGGUACCUCUGGGUCAGCCAUUUCUUUGUCAAAAGCAAAGACUUGCUCUAAUUUUUCGCAUUUAGAUAUCUCGAGUGUUUCUAGAUGCAACAGACUUUGAACAAGGUAAGGUGAGAAGACAGAUUUUAGUUUAUCACAACUAUCAAUUGUUACUUCCUUCAGACUUUGUAACCUUAUAUGAUGAGUUGGCUCUUUCCAUAUAUUCUCUAAUGCUGGCAACGACAUCAACUUCAAACUUCUUAAAUUGGAGAUUGUGCGCGUCAGACUUUCUUCCUUUCCAAAAAGCCAAUUCAUUUGAAACACUGAUUGCAACUGCUUACAAUCGACAAUGCUCAAUGUUUCUAACUUUUCUAAGAAGCUAGUCGGUGAUUGACCAUGGCACAACUCUUUCAAAGAAGUCAUGAAUCUAAUGUGUAAGUUCACCAAAUUAGAGAAUGCAGUGGUUGGACUUUGUUCUCGUGUUGUAUCGAUCAAGCAUUCCAGAUGAGUGCAAAAUGAAAGCUCAAGAGAAGUUAAUUCCUUUAGUCCACGCUGAUCUACAUUUGGGACAAUAUUUUUGUAUUCCAUUGGGACUUGGGACAGAGUAAGAUCUUCAACAUUGCAAAACAGCUCCUUAAAUGCAUUUAAUGAGGAUGAGAAAUGCUUAAUUCUCAAGGUUCUCAAGCGCAGCCCCGCCAAAUCUUGAAUAUAGUCAUUUACAGCUAUAUUGUAGCUUUGUAGUUUAGGGAACACAAAGUUUUCCUGAGAACAUUGAUGAGUAGAAACUUUAAGUGUUAAUGCAGUCAAACCAAACAAAGAAUUCAGCUCCAAUAAGUUAGCAUUGUUUCUACUUGUCACGUGUAGCUCUUGGAGUGAGGCCAACCUGUUACAAAAAAAUACAAAAUGUUAUUAAUGCAAUAAUAGCACUUUCAACCGAAUGAUAAAAAUAGCAAGGUAAUGAAAUGAAUAAGAUAACAUUAACUUUUUUAUUUCUUCAUUCUUAAAGCUACUUUUGUACUACAGGUUGCAAUGUUUCAUAAUAAUAGGAGUGACUAAAAGCUCAUGCUAGAUAUAUAUAUAUGUUUGUGAUAGUCAAAAUCAAAUAAAGUAAAUAAUAAAAAAUAAAUAAUUUAAAAAUUAAAUACUUAAUUGAAAACAAUAAACUAAACAAUUUUACCUUGAUAGCAAGUUAAGGGGGAAAUAGCUUAACGACACUCCACUGUAAGAAAUAUAUAGUGAUUUUAGUUUAUGCAAUCCCACUAUUUCUUUUGGUGGCCCAUAAAUAUUAGUCUUUAGCAAUGCCAAAAUCUCAAGGUUUUCCACAUUCUUCAAUGAUGAGAUGUUCUCAAGCUCGCAAUUUAUAAUGCACAGAGUUCGAAGAUUUGUCAAGAAUUUAAGUGCUUCCAGUGUGAGUACAACAUCUUGGAGAAGUAAAACUCGGAGGGUUGUCAUUCUUUCAAAAAAGGCACACGAAACUCUCAAUGAAUUCUUUCCUUUGAAAAACAAAGUCUUGAGUUUUGAAAAUUCCACUUUGUUAGGAAGAUGAUUGAUCUCAAUGUUCCACAAGGAGAUUGCCGUAUAACAUCCAAACCUUUCACUCAUAUGCCAUUCCGUCAACCCAUCUUUUACCAUGAAUAUAUUUUCCCCUCUCGAUGUUAUCCAAUGAGCAAAAUCACGAAUCACAUCAUGCAUUUUUACAUGGUCUUUAUCAUUAGCUUCCAAUAAUAAACCAGACUUUUGGAGUUUUGAUAGUGCCAGAUGAAUUUCCCUCCUUAAGUCUUCCAUUAAGUAAAUAUUAUUGAACAAUCCCUGACCAAUUCCGCAUAUAAUCAACAAUUCAAUACUAAUCUCAUAAUCUUCUGGAAAAAGGGAACACAACAAGAAACAUUGCUUGAUAUUAUCUUGAUCCAAAUAAUCAUAACUAAGCUUAAGACAUCUAUAGAUAUGUCCACAAACAUGUUCAUUAUCCAAAUGUCUUGAGCUCUUGAGUCUUUUAUUUGCUGCUAUCCACGCAUCUAGACUUUCGCCUUUUAGAGCCUUUGCCACAGUUACAAUUGCAAGAGGCAAACAGCCACAUUCACGAGCAACCUCCUUCGCUACAUUCAAGGUGGGAGAGUCAUCUUUCAGACCAGCUUUAUCUUUGAAUAAAACCCAUGCUUCAUGUUCAGAUAAAAUGUUCAGCUUAAAUUCCUCUUCACAAUCCAUUUUACAACAAACUUGUUGAUCACGUGUAGUUAAAAGAAUUUUGCAACCCUCGUGUUCACCACCGAAUGGAAUUCCUAUAAUUUGCAAUUCAAGUUCCUUCCAAACAUCAUCGAGAAUUAUGAGAAUCUUAUUCUCGCCUUUUAAUCUUCGCCAUAACUCUUCUGCUUUUCCUUUUUCUGUACUGGCUUCAAAUUUUAAACCAAAGAGUUCUGCAAUCCUUGCCCGAAUUUCGUUGAGGUUUGGAGUUUGGGAUACUGUAACACUCACAACCUUAUCAAAAAGCUUUUGUUCUGUAGCUUGCUUCAGCACUACAUCCGCCAAAGUUGUUUUACCCACUCCUGGCAUGCCGUACAAUCCAAUUAUUGUCACACCAUCACUUUUUAAAGCCUUCAUGAUUCCAUUGAAAGCUAACAUUGAAGAUUCAGAACGCAUGAAAUCCUUGGGUAGUAAGAGCUCUAUUCCUUGAAGAGGAGGACGAUGGCCAACUCGUGGAAAGUUACAAACCUCUAAAAGUUUAGAGAUAGAAAGUGUCUUCUUCGCUACUUUCUUGCUUAAGCAGUAUCGCCAGCCGCAACUAGGACACCAAUUGAAACACUUGUUACGUUCUAUUUCUUCUUCCAAACUCUGAGCUUCAUCCAAUUCUUUCUCUGCCUUUGUUAGCCACUCCUCAACGCCCUUCUUAAUUACCUCAGUUUGCCUUAAAGCCUCAUCGACAGCAUCUUUCACCUCAUCUCUUUUUGAUUUAAGUUCAUUUCGCCGGUUCUUGAAAUCUUCAACAAUUUUGCCAAAACGAAAAAAGUAGCCAACAUAAGGUGAUGCGUAUUCUGUUGCCAGGUUCCCAACGCAAUUGGCAAUAGCAGAGGUAACACAAUCAAGAGCCAUUCUUUGAUGAUCUGAGACUCAAACAAUUUGGAAAAGUAAAAAGUAUUGCAAAUAUCUCUCAAGCUGAUUAAGAUGAAAGAAUUACUUAAUUUGAAAACAGAAAACAAAUAAACCAAAGAAGAAAAAGAUGAAGAUUUACGUACCAAGGAAAUCUACAGAUGAACUUUCAGGAGCCAAGACGGAGCAGCUUCUAUUUUGAUCUAACCAAGCUCACCAACUCGGUGAAGGUUUUUUUUUUUUUUUUUAAAGUUCAAAGAAAACUGAAGCAGAAAUGAACUUUGCACUGCAACAAUCAGAAGAUCAAGGAAUUAAAAAAAAACAGACUUUCACUUAUCAUCUUUUUAGUUCUGCUUCUGUUACAAAUGAACAAAGGAAACCAGAAAAAGCAAAGUAAACAGAGCACUCUUAAGGCAAGAAUUUUUUUUUUUUAAAGUAUCGCCUUUCUUUCCCUAAAGCAAAGAGGUGAGCUUACAAAAAAGAAAUUAAUAGUGGAGAAGGUACUGAAAUCUUUUCUUGGAACUUACCUCUGUAUUCUCAACAAUUGAAUGUGAAAGGGUAAGAGACAAACACAAAGUUUCUAGCUCUCUUCUUCACACAAAUGCCAUGGGUGGAGUGUAACUGUAUAAGAUCAAAAGAGUUAAUUUGGACAUAGAAAAUAAUUAAGUGCCAAUUUUGCAGGUAAAGUUUGCAAAUGUAUACUCAAUUGCAAAAACCAAGACAAAAAUAAGCCAUGGAAGAAAAUGAUGCACAUGUAUACCAAUGAAAGAUGAAGUUUAAGGAGCCAAAGCCAAGCUUUUCUAUAUUGGUCGAAGAAAACUUAAGUAGAAAUUAAGUUUGUACUACAAUAACAAAAGGCCACUCGCAGAGGGAAUUAAGAAACAACAAACAUUUGUCAACCUAAGAUCAAAAGAACAACUUAAUUUGAAAACAGAAAAUAUGUGUCAAUGCAUCUAAACCUGCAAAUAUCUAUUCUCAAAUCUAAAACCACAGAAGAAAAGGAUGAACAUUUACAUACCAAAGGAAAUAUACAUGAACUUUGAGGUGGCAAGACGGAGCUUCUAUUUUGAUCCAGCCAAAAUAUAUCACAGACACUGACAAAGUCGGUGAAGUUUUUUUCCUUUUUUUUUUUUUUGAGUUCAAAGAAAACUGUAGUAGAUAUAAUAAACUUUUGCACUGCAAUGAUCAGAAGGCUAGGAAAUUAAAAAAACAAAAAGACUUUCACUUAUCUUCUUUAGAAUGCAUGCAGAUUAUAAUUCUGCUUCUGAUAAGAAAAGCAGUAGGUGAACAUAGAAAGUAGAAACUCUUAAGGCAAAGACUUGUUUUCUUUGGAAUCUCUUUUUCUUUUUAUUGUUACUAUUUUUUUCUUGUUCAAAUGCUAAGCGAAGACAAGUGCCCAACGUCUUUUGCCUUAUCAUUGACUAAUUCUCUCUCAGACGGAUUAGAAAAGAAAAAGAGAAAAGGACGGAGUCAUGGAGAUGCUCUGCUGGUUGGCUUUCCAGGAAGGGUUAUGGAAAGAGGAUGGGACUUGCGAGGAUGUUAGUGUAUAGAAUAUUUUUGAAUGAAAAACAUGAACUCAGUGUUAUUUAUGAUUAUUUUGUAAUUGAGCAUUACUUGGUAAAUUCUCUUUUUAUAAUGACUAAUGACCUACUUUUCAAAAGCUUAGCCUGCCCAAAUCUUUUAAGUUGGACGUAGCAAAUAAUUUAGUUUUAAUCUUGGGUGUAAAGUUUGCAGAUGUAUACUCAAAUGCAAAAACCAAGAGCCAUAGAAGAAAAUGAUGCACAUAUAUUUUGGAUGAAUUACAAUAAUCAAAGAAACAAGUGGAAAUCAAGUUUGCACUACAAUAAUCAGAAGCCCAAUGGCAGAGGUGAUUAAGCAACAACAGUUUAUUCUUCUUCGGCUAGCGAAAACACUUGAAUACAGGAGAGAAAAUUUUGAAUACAUGAUGUGAUCCUUCUAUUAUUGUCCUUUCUAUUUUUGUCAUUUUGCAAUCAUUUUUCCCUUGAGAUCCAUUUAUUUCUCACCGACUUGCUUCCUCUGUUUAAUGGCUUUCAUGGAAAAAUACUUUACCAUAUAUAGUACAAGGGAAGAGAGCUUCCCGGAGCUUUCAUAUAGAUUUUUGUCCCUUUUAUUUACUCCAAUUCCCCCUUUAAUGGUUACUUACUCCCUAUUGAUGAAAAGACGAGACAGACUCACGGCUUUUUCUCUGUCAUUGAUGCUUAGUUAGAAUGACUAAUGGAUGGCUUCCAAUUAUGUUGCCUAUUUUCGUAAUUUUCUGAUCUACCUGGUUGGUUUAAUGGAUUUCAUGUUAAAACACUUGCACUAUUUAUUUUAUUGUUGAGCUUAACUUUUGUGAUCAAAUUAUGCCCCCAAUGGAUUUAAAAAUAUUAUUUGAUGAAUGUACAAAAAUAGGUAGCGAUGAACAUAUAGCAUGUUACUAUUGACUACUGAGAUUGUAAUCAAUUAUUGUGAUAAAAUAUUAUAACUGAAAACGAACGGACAAUAAUCUGAAAAGCCAGUAGUUUCAACCGAAUGAUAAAAUAUUACAAACAAACAAAUAGCAAAAUAUUACAAACAAAUACAAAAUGUUAUUAAUGCAAUAAUAGCACUUUCAACCGAAUGAUAAAAGUAGCAAGGUAAUGAAAUGAAUAAGAUAACAUAAACUUUUUUAUUUCUUCAUUCUUAAAGCUACUUUUAUACUACGGGUUGCAAUGUUUCAUAAUAAUAGGAGUGACCAAAAGCUCAUGCUAGAUAUAUAUAUGUUUGUGAUAGUCAAAAUCAAAUAAAGUAAAUAAAAAGAAAAAAGAUAAAAUAAAUUAUUUAAAAAUUAAAUACUUAAUUGAAAACAAUAAAAUAAACAGUUUUACCUUGAUAGCAAGUUAAGGGGAAAUAGCUUAACCGCACUCUACUGUAAGAAAUAUAUAGUGAUUUUAGUUUAUGCAAUCCCACUAUUUCUUUUGGUGGCCCAUAAAUAUUAGUCUUCAGCAAUGCCAAAAUCUCAAGGUUUUCCACAUUCCUCAAUGAUGAGAUGUUCUCAAGCUCGCAAUUUAUAAUGCAUAGAGUUCAAAGAUUUGUCAAGAAUUGAAGUGCUUCCAGUGUGAGUACAACAUCUUGAAGAAGUAAAACUCGGAGGGUUGUCAUUCUUUCAAAAAAUCCACACGAAACUCUCAAUGAAAUCUUUAUUUUGAAAAACAAAGUCCUGAGUUUUGAAAAUUUCACUUUAUUAAGAAGAUGAUUGAUUUCAAUGUUCUAUAAGGAGAUUGCUGUAUAACAUCCAAACCUUUCACUCAUAGGCCAUUCCAUCAACCCAUCUUUUACCAUGAAUAUAUUUUCCCCUCUGGAUGUUAUCCAAUGAGCAAAAUCACGAAUCACAUCAUGCAUUUUUACAUGCUCUUUAUCAUUAGCUUCCAAUAAUAAACCAGACUUUUGGAGUUUUGAUAGUGCUAGAUGAAUUUCCCUCCUUAAGUCUUCCAUUAAGUAAUUAUUAUUGAACAAUUCCUGACCAAUUCCACAUAUAGUUAACAACUCAACACUAAUCUCAUAAUCUUCUGGAAAAAGGGAACACAACAAGAAACAUGACUGGAUAUUGUCUUCCUUCAAAUAAUCAUAACUAAGCUUAAGGCAGCUAUAGAUACCUCCGCAAACAUCUUGAUUAUCCAAAUGUCUUGAGCUUUUGAGUCGUCUAUUUGCUGCUAUCCAUCCAUCUAGAUUUUCACCUUUUAGAGCGUUUGCCACAGUUACAAUUGCAAGGGGCAAACCGCCACAUUCAUGAGCAACCUCUUGUGCUACAUUCAAGGUGGAAGAGUCAUCUUUUAGAGCAGCUUUAUCUUUGAAUAAAGCCCAUGCUUCAUCUUCAGAUAGAAUGCUCAGUUUAAAUUCCUUUUAACAAUCCAUUUGACUGCAGACUUGUUGAAGACGUGCAGUGAGAAGAAUUUUGCAACCUUCGUGUUCACCACCAAAUGGAAUUCCUAUAGUCUGCAAUUCAAGUUUUUUCCAAACAUCAUCGAGAAUUAUGAGAAUCUUCUUCUCGCCUUUUAAUCUCCGCCAUAACUCUUCUGCUUUUCCUUUUUCUGUUCUGGCUUCAAAUUUUAAAUCAAAGAGUUCUGCAAUCCUUUCUCUCUCGAAUUUCGUUGAAGUUUGGAGUUUGGGACACUGUAACACUCAAGUAGAAAUCAAGUUUGUACUGCAAUAACCAGAAGCCCACUAGAAGAGGGAAUUAAGAAACAACAAAUAUCUAUUCAAAUAUCCAAGAUGAAAAGAAUAACUUAAUUUGAAAAUAGAAAAUAUGUGUCAAAGCAUCUAAACUUUCAAAUAUCUAUUCAAAUGUAAAACCAAGACAAAUAAACCGCAGAAGAAGAGGAUGAACAUUUACAUAACGAAGGAAAUAUACAUGAACUUUGAGGAGUCAUGGAGAUGACUAAUCAUUGACUAGUUCUCUCUCAGACAGAUUAGAAAAGAAAAAAAGAGAAAAAAGAAAAGGAUGGAGUCAUGGAGAUGCGCUGCUAAGGACCCUGCUGUUUGGCUUUCCAGAAAGUGUUAUGAAAGAGGAUGGAAAUCUAUCUUCUUGGUUUAGUUUCUUUUAUCCUUUGCUUUCAUGAUCUUAUCUUUUACUAUUUUAUAAGCUUUUGAAUAUUAAAAGUUAUGAAUGAAAUAAUUUUUACAAAUAAUUCUAAAUUUGUUAUAAAUAAUUCUAAAUUUGUGGAGAGUAAUUGAUAGAAGUGGCCAUUUUUUAUGGAAUUCAAGGAAAGUGACUUCACAACUUCUAUCAUGACUUUGCAUUGACUUAUGCUAAUGAAGCAUAGUAUUCUCUAAACCAAAUUCACCAUCAUUUUAAAAGCAAGUUCACACCUUCAAUUCAAUUUUUUUUUUGGUCUUACGUCUCCUUUUCUUAAUCAGUAUUUUCCUGGUGUUAUGCAUUCUCGCUGUCAUUUCCUGUCUUCUUUUUGCUUACCCUUCUAUUUUGCUUCAAACAAAUUUUUUUUUUUCAAUUUGUCGUUAAUUAAGAGGAUAAAGAUUGCCAAUGGGACAUAGACAGCAUUGCUAUCAAAGCUUUUCAAUUAUUGAUCUGAUCUCUUUAUUAUUGUCUUUUAGAUUUUUGUCAUUUUGCAAUCAUUUUUCCCUUGGAGGUCCAUUUAUUUCUGAGUUUCUUGCUAGGUCGGUUUAAUGGCUUUCAUGGAAAAAUACUUGCACUUUAUAUUUUAUUUUUUGGACUAAAUUCUGUGUUUAAGGGAUUGAAGCUUUACACUUUGUUUAACACAAGAAAAAAUGCCGAAACACAUUAAAUGAUUCAUAUAGUGCAAGGAUCACGUUUUGCUUGGGGAGAAGUAGAGGUUCAAGGUACAUCUCUACUUUUUGAACAAUCAUUUACGGAUCGUUAGGAAUGUUUUCCUACAUGGCUGAUAAUCUAAUACAAGAAAGAAGAUCAUCUAAGACUAAUUUGUUCUAAUCAAAACUAUUUUGAGUUAAUUUCCACUAGAAAAAUUAAGAGCUUCAAGGAGAAACCUGACCCAUCAAACUUGAUUUGGAUUCAAAAAUGGUUUGGAAUUGAUCAGUGUAUUAAUAUAUUAUAAGCUGUUAUGAAAAUUGUGCAAAAAAUAAUAAAGAUAAAACUCAGAGAAAUCAAGCAAAUAGAAAAACAUAAGAAUUUAUGUGGUUUGCCUUCUUGCUUAUGUCCAUGGAGUAAAACCGUUCUUCUAUUAUUGAGAAAUUAAAGUACAAUAAAUUAACUUCUAUGGUUUCUCAAACCAACCCAAGAUCCCUUGCACACCAUUUUUCAAUAACUUCCUAAGAACACUCACCCAAACCACUUUAGCUCCACCUAGAACAAAAGACAGAGUUACAAGGUGUUUCCUCCCUAGAGCUCUUAAAGCACUACUCACUAUUUUAAAGCCUAGAAAUCCACCUUUAUAAUAUAGAAAUCAAAAGUAUAAUAGGAUUAGGACUCAAUGUGGAAUAAAAAGUUUAAAACCAUACAACUACUCAAUGUUGUACACAAAUAAAAAUCCUAAUCAAAUAAGAUUUAGAAUUCUAGGGAACCUAAAACUCAAAAAAUCUCCACCUUUGACUUGAAUUCAAACUCCUUAAGUCUCUUCCGCUAGUUGCACCCAAUUGUAACUUUCUAACUCCACCUACUUUCCAACACUUUGAACAACUCUCCAAGAACAAGACUUUCCAAACCACCAGCCUUCAAAAUUAUCACAACUACACAUACCAAAUCAAGCAUGGUCCAACACUCGAUUCUAUAGAACGACCAAUGCACCUAUGUAGUCGUCAAGUCAAUGACAGUAAUUGACUUCAGAAAGGAUCUCGACAACCCUUCUAAUUCACUAUUGACAAGAUUUUUCAUCCUUUCACCAUCGUCUACACCAUGGGAAACUUUCAUCACCUCCUCAGCAAAUGAAACUCAUUUUGGUAGCUACCAUCUUCUAUGCACUGUUCUCAUCCCUUCGAGGCCUCAUAUUCUAGACGAUGCAAACCAUUAUGUAAAUUCACCCUCAUCAGGACCAUGUCGUCUUGUGUCACUUUUACCAUCCCAUCAAAAGUAGAAUAUCCAUACCUUUAUGAGUGUAACAAGCUCAAUGAUAUUAGAUUCUUAAACAUCCUUGGGAUAUAGGCCACGCCAUCCAAUGAGUGCAUGACCCUAUCAAACAUUUUGAUAUUCACCACUCCAAGACAAAUGACCUUCACUAUUAACUUAUUGUCCAAAGUCAAAUUCCCAGCUACCCCUUCUUGAAGUAAAUCAAAAUAAUCCUUUUGAUAGCAGAUAUGAGUGCCUAAAGCAAAAUCUAAAUACCAAUAAAAAUUUGCAUCCAUAUUUCUUGAGAUUACAAGGACAUUACAAUCAUCACCUUCAACAACGAAAGCACACUCACCUUUGUUCUCGUCACUUUCAUCCCCUUUUGUAAGAAAAUCCCUUUUAAUAUGUCUAUACCCUUUACAUUGAAAGCACUGAACAUUGCUGGAUCUAGACUUGCCACCUUUAAAUCCCAUGCCAAUUGAUUUACUCCUAUGAACCUCAGUUACCAAUGCCAAGCCACUUGAAUCUCUAUCCCUUUUCUUAUUUUUUUUUCGAGCUUCACAAGACAUUAAUAUUGCUUGUGCUUGUUCUAUCGUUAUUGUAUCUAUCACACAUAUAAAAGAUUCCACAAAUACCUCAUAUGAGUCUGGGAUUGAUACUAGGGACAAUAGUGUGUUUUCCUCUUCCUCCACCUUCACAUUAACCUUAUUCAACUGAUUAAUGAUCCCAUCGAAUUCAUUCAUAUGCUUCAUGAGAUCUCUAUUCUCCUCCAUCUUUAAGCUAUACAACUUUUGCCUAAACUGCAACUUGUUGGAAAUACUUUUCACCAAGAAAAUCUUCUCCAACUUUGGCCACAAUCUUGGAGCAGAAUCCUCAUCAAUAAUAUGGCUAAACACAUUAUCUUCAAUGCAAAGUCGAAUAGUGCUCACACACUUUGCUCCAACUCUGCUUAUUCAACACCUUUCAUGUCAUCUAGUUACCCUUCCUCUUUUCCUAGAAAGGGGUGCAUCAAACCUUGCUGUAUAAGAAGAUCUUUCAUUUUUCUCUGCCACUGUGUGAAACUAGUCUUCCCAUCAAACUCGAUUGAAAAUUUACAGAACUAGUAACUUUUGACAUCCUUAUUGAAUCUUCAAUUUAUUGAACCCAAAGCUCUGAUACCAGUUUGUUAUAAAAAUUGCCCAAAAAAUGAUAAAGAUAAAACCUAGAGAAAUCGAGCAAAUAGAAAAACACAAAAAUUUACUUGGUUCGGCUUCUUGCUUAUGUCCAUGGAGUGAAACUGUUAUUCUAUUAUUGAGAAAUUAAAGUGCAAUCAAUAGACCACUAUGGUUUCCCAAACCAACCCAAGAUCCCUUGCACACUCUUUCUCAAUAACCUCCUAUGAACACUCAUCCAAACCUCUUUAACUCCACCAAAACAAAAGACAAAGUUAUAACGUGUUCCCUCCCUAGAGCUCUUAAAGCACUACUCACUAUUCUAAGGUAUAGAGACCUACUUUUAUAAUAUAAAAGUCCAAAGUAGAAUGAGAAUAUGACUCGAUGUGCAACAAGAAAUUUAAAACCAUACAACUAUUCAAUGAUGUACACAAACAAAAAUUCUAAUCAAAUAAAAUUUGAAAUUCUAGUCAACCUAAAACUCAACAUAAACAACUUUAAUAACCAAGGCUAAUGUGACAAAUUCUAUGCAAUAAUAAAGUUUACACAAUCUCUCCUUAGAAUUUUAUUCUUUUUCUUUAUCAAAAAAUAUGCCUCCUCCUGAUCCUUGUAUCUGUAACAUUAUUUGAUUGGGAGGGUAAAAGAAAAUGAAUCCCCAAUUUUCCCCUUCCUUCUUCUCUUCCCCGUAGAACAUGUGAUAGUGGUUCUACAUUCAGAAAAGCUAAGCUAAAAAUUUUUAAAAAACCAUUUGGAGAUAACACACUUUAUUAUGGAUAUCUCCAUUUUCACUUGUUUCUUUUGAGAAAAGAAAAUUUUUUAGUUGUAUUUAAGAGAGUCUUGUCAGUUGUUUUUCUCCUUGUCAAUUCUUUUGCUUUCAUCUUGAAAGAAUUGAAUCCAACACGAAAGCUCACUUUAACCAAAAAGGGAGAUAUCCGGAGCUUUUUCACAAAUUUUUGAAGAAGUAUUUUGAUUAAUUCUCUCCCGAAAAAAAAAAAGAAGGAAGAUUCUCUGUUAAAGGAAAUUUUAAUUAAUGCAAAAUUAGCUUCAUGUUUGUGAUCUUAAACAUAAUAACAUUUUUUCCAUAAAAUUUAUAAAUCAAUUGAAAACAAAAAAGAAGAAGAAAAGAUCAGCAAGCUUCCUUUGGAUUACUUUAACGAAGCAUAAAUUUCUUUGGGUUUGGGGUAGUUAUGACGUGCUAAAGGUUCUCUGAGAUUUCAUUUUUCUCUGUACAGCACAGAUCUUAGGUUAAGAGUAGAGAGCUUACUUUUGUUUCUUGCUCAGCUUAGGGAAGGAACUGCUACCAUUUUCGCCAGGCAGUUCUCUUGCUAUUUUGUACUUCCCUUAUGCACAAGCCUCUUUAUUAUGCCGACGAAAGUCUUUAGCAAAGUGUCGAAGACUUUGGAUGGUACGAAGACUUGCUGUUAAUAAAACCAUUUUUCAAGAAAAAAAACGAAACAUAAAUUUUCCUUAAACAAAAUUGAUCAUGAAAGAACAGACGUUGAAAAACAUAAUCAUGGGAUGAUCAUGAAUUCCAAAACUGAUGAUGAUUUGUAUUUUUUUUCCUUUCUCUUUUUUAUUAUUUUUAUUUUUUUCCAUCUUUUCCAUUUUUUUAAUUUUAAUUUAUAUAUAUUUUUUUUCUUAAUUUUUUUCUUUGUUUUUCUUUACACAAAAAAACAAAGUUUCUAUUAAAAAAACUUAACACAUCAUACAUCGAGAGACCACGUGAAACGUAAACUUACUCACAACAAGAAAAUCAUUCCUCUCUUUUGUAUAAUUUCUUGAUGCUAUGAACAUCUAAAUUUACCCUUUGUUUGAAUAAACGUGGAAGCCAUCGACACAACUCUGCAAAUCCAGGAGGAAAACACGUUCAUUAGAUUUUCUUAAAUUAAUUCAGGAUUGGGCGGAACACAAUGGAUCAAAAGAGAAUUGAAAAUAAGAGGAAAAAUAAGAAAAGAAAAACUGGAUAUGCAACGCAACACAAAUGAAGAGAAAAAUCAGAACAAAAAAUACUUAUGAAUGGAUGUGGAAACUCAUAAGUGAAAAGAAAGGAAAAUCAAAAUGCUCAGUUAAAUUGAAGUACCAGAAGAUUGGAGCAUUUUCGUCAAUGUUAGUGUUUGGUUAGUACAGUAAUAGUUUAUCCAAAAGGUUAAUCUUCACCUGUGAAAAGCGCAGUAAUUUUAAGCAACUGUUCUUUUUAUGGAAAUUAUUGGUUUUCUAAUAAUGAGCAAUGAUGUACCUCAUUGUUGCCUGGCUAAGUCAUAAUGGACAAACUCUAGUGAACAAAAAAUUCUUCCCGCGGCAGCUUUCUAGUUCAUACACAUGGUGCAGUGAUGGGUGUUGUUUCUUGGGCUGGAAAUGACUUUUAUGUAUGGGAUGAAUAGAAUAUAACACCUCCAACUUUCAUAUUCAAACACUGAACAAAUAAUGGAACAAAAUCAAAAUUCACAUUUUGCUUAAGAAAAAGAAAAAUAAAGGAAAGAAAGAGAAGUCAAUUUGGAUUUGGAUAACUUAUGGUUAUGAUGAUUUAGGGAGUGUCACUAACAAAUCUUUUCUCGAUCCGAUUGAUGGGCCAGAAGAAACCAAAAGAGAGAAAAGGAUGGAGUCAUGGAGAUGCUCUGUUAAGGUCCCUUGGUUGGCUUUCCAGGAAGUGUUAUGGCAAGAGGAUGGGACUUGCGAGGCUGUAAAUGUAUAGGAAAUUUUCCAACUAACCACAAUUGUUCAAAUUCUGCUUCAAAUCUUUUUUAUUUUUAUUAUUUUCUUUUUUGUGCUCCUACCAUUUGAGAAGAAAAUUGAUCCAUUAUUAUGAAGACUUCCUUGUUUAAUCUUGUCAUCACUUAACAAUUUAUUUAAUCUUUUUUAUUGAAGCAUAUUUAUAAUAUAUUGCCCUUGUUUAAAUUACAUAGACAUCAAUAACUUAAAUUAUUCUAGAUAUGAUUGUGUAAGAAAAUUCAUAAUUAAGGAAAGCUUGUAGGAACCUGUUGGAAUGCCUAAUUAAUGAAAUUCAUCAUCAAGUCCUAAAAAGCAUAACUAGCUUUUUGACCACGCUUGUCAUUGGAAAAAUAGGAAAGCCCAAGAAAUGAUGAGUGUACAAAUAAUGAAAUACACAUUUUAUUUAAAUAAAAAAAGAAGAAUCGAAGAAAGGAAGGUCGAUAGACCAAUUUGGAUUUGGAUGACUUAUAGUUAUGAUAACUUUUCUGCAUUGAGAAACACGGUUCAAUAAGUGAUUUAUACUUAUAGUUAUGAUUUGGAUUUGGAUAGGCCAAUAAGUGAGCAACACGGUUCAAUCUCCCUGGGCAUUGAGAAACUUUUCUGCAAUUCACCUUCUCCAUAUAAUCAACGCAAUCUUGGUAGAUAUUUCCUAAAGCACUAGAAAAUUUCUUCUCAUUUAGCUUUUUCACCACUGUUACGUUGUCUAACUCCACCUCUGUUAUUCCCAUAUUUUCUCUACAGAAUAUCAUUAAUGACCGAAGUAGGGACUAUAACUCUACAUCCUCAAUCUUACCACCAAAAUUAAACUUUGCUGUACCUGCCAAAAUCAUUUCACCAUAAGCAUCACGCAGGACAAAUCCUACUCCUAUCAUUGUAACGCCACUAUUGACAAAGAUCGCAACAUCAGUGUUUAAUUUAUUUCUUGCAGCUCUUCUCCAGUGAUCACAAGUUCCUGUUACCAUUUCUUCAUUAAUACCACCCGGCUUGUUGGCACUUCGAAAUUCCCUGCAAAUGUCACACCCCAUCUCCACAACAGUCAUGGGAUCCAAUUUCUACGGUUAGAAAUCCAGCAAAUUCCUAGCCUUUCAUAAAGCCCAUAAUACACAACUUAUUUCUUCUGCAUCCAGUAUUUCAACAAUCAAUACAAACCAAAUUAUCCAAUCAGCAGCCGAAUCAAAAUGGUCUUUGACACCCCGAAAUCCCCACUUAGAAUAAAGCCAAGCAGCUCUUGCAUAUUGACAAUAGCACAAGCAGUGAAAAUCUGUUUCUACUUUCUCCACACAGAAGGGACAUGAUGUUUCCGCAUUAAGAUAGGUGAAAUUCCUUUAAUAGCUUUCCAUGUAAAUAAAAUAUUUUUCCUAAGAAAGGUUCCAUAGCUUCUUCCAGACGGUCACGAAAUUUCCAUAGCUUCAUAGGUAAAAACACUUGAAUAUAGAAAUUUUUGAAUAAUUGAUGUGAUCCCUCAAUUAUUGUCCUUUUCUAUUUUUGUCAUUUUGCAAUCAUUUUCCCUUGAGAUCCAUUUAUUUCUCAGCUACUUGCUUGCUCUGUUUAAAGGCUUUCAUGGAAAAAUACUUUACCAUAUAUAGGACAAGGGAAGGGAGAUUUCCGGAGCUUUCGUAUAGAUUUUUUUCUCUUUUUACUAGUGGGACAUGGAAUCAGGAGCACUUCUUUUAUCAGUUUGUGAAGAAAAAUGAUAAAUUAAUAUGAAGACUAGCUUUGUUUAAUUUAGUCAUCACUUCACAAUUUGUUUAAACUUUUUUACUGAAGCAUAUUUACAGUACAUUGCCCCUGUUAAAUUACAUAACCAUCAGUAACUUAAAUUUUAAACAAAUUUUGCAAUCAUUUUUCCCUUGGAGGUCCACUUGUUUCUUAGCUUCUUGCUUGGUCGGUUUAAUGGCUUCCAUGGAAAAAUACUUGCGCUUUUUAUAUUAAUUUUUUGGAUUAAAUUCUGUGUUUAAGGGAUCGAAGCUUUACACUUUGUUUAACACAAGGAAAAAUGGCGAAACACGUCAAAUGAUUCAUAUAGUGCAAGGAUCAUGUUUUCCUUGGAGAGAAGUAGAGGGUCAAGGUACAUCUCUACUGUUUGAACUAUCAUUUACAGAUCCUUAGGUACGUUUUCCUCCAUGGUUGGUAAUCUAAUACAAGAAAGAAGAUCAUCUAAGCCUAAUUUGUUCUAAUCAAAACUAUUUUGAAUUAAUUUCCACUAAAAAAAGUAAGAGCUUCAAGGAAUAACCUGACCCAUCAAACUUGAUUUGGAUUAAAAAAUGAGACAGAAUUGAUCAGUGUAUUAAUAUAUUAUAAUCAACAUUAAAAACCAAGGCUAAUGUGACAAAUUCUAUGCAAUAAUAAAGUUCACACAAUCUCUCCUUAGAAUUUUACUCUUUUUCUUUAUCAGAAAAUCAUGUCUCCUCCUGGUCCCUGUAUCUAUCUCAUUAUUUGAUUGGGAGGGUAAAAGAAAAUGAAUCCCCAUUUCUCCCGUUCCUUCUCCUCUUCCCCAUAGAACAUGUGAUAGUUGGUCUACACUCUGAAAAAUUAUCUGUAAAUGUGGUUGGUUUUACCUUGUUCCCAAUCCCACCUGAAUUGCAGGGUAGUUAUAGGUAUUAGGACUAUUCUUGACUCUUGUCUUAAUCGAAAUGAGUCUAACGUAGAAAUCAACUUUACUAGAGUAAAAGGGAGAUUCUCCGAGCUUUCUCCGAGUUUUCUGAUUCCUUGAAUCGAACACAUUAUUACUGUCUCCAUUAAUGGAGAGUUUAAUGUCUUUGAAGAAGAAUUAUUGACUUAUUUUCUCUUGAAGAAAAAAAAAAGGGAGAUGCUUUGUUAAAGGAAAUUCUAACUAAUGUAAAAUUGAUUUUAUGUUUGUGACCCUAAAGAUAAUAAUAUCUUCUCUAUGAGAUUUUAAAAAAUCGAAUUACUUUAAUGAAGUAUAAAUUUUCCCUAAACAAAGUUUACCAUUAUUAAGAAGGCAAUUAAGUUUACGCCUUUAUCAAUUUUCUGGGUGCUCCUACACAAAUGAUUGUUAUUAUUAUUCUCACAAAGCAUAAAUGGGACAUAUAUGGAAUCAUUUAUGCACUCUUGAAUUAUUGAUCCCAUUAGAUGACCCAAUUUGUUUUAUCAUCUAUGUAUUUAUAAUAAUUAUAAGCUCCUUUUUAUAGAUAUUUAUGUUUCAAAUCCCUGUGACCAAUUGAAACUACAGAGAAAAAGUUCCAGCAAAAACUUCUUUCCUUUUUUUCUUAUUCAAGUUCAUAUCAUUAGUGGAGGACAAGGGCCCAAACAUCUUUUGCCUUAAGGAACUACUGGCCUCAUUUUUCCUUUCCUUUCUUUUUUGAAAUUGUAAACUUUGUGAUGCGCUGGACAUAUAUAAACACCACUUUCCCUCUGAGUUAAAGAUACUUUAGAACAAAGAAUUGAAUGACGAUGAAAAAAAAAAAUAAGGGUCCAAUCGGCGGUGGCGGAACCGGUGGAGUGCUGCUGCAUCUGACUGGGCGUAGGGACGGGUCGCGGAGCCCAAUCAGAAGGUGGAGGAACCGGCUGACCUAACUGUUGCUGUUGUUGUUGCAUCAUCAUCCACGGCUGCGACUGCGGUUGCUGCUGAUACUGCUGGGUUUGAGACUGAUCAGCUGCCAUGGACUGCGGCGGAGCUACACCUCCUGCUGGUGGUUGUUGCAUCAUACUCUAUAGAUAAGACAGCGGGUAGAGAAUCGAGAGAUCUCAGAGAGAAGGGGAAACCCUAGGUCGAAAUUGAAAUUCUAUAAAGGAAGCAAUUUUUUUUUACGGAGCAGAGGAUGCUUGUCGGGGUGACACGUGGAGAAGAGGAAUUGGGUGGGAGUAAUGGGCUUUUUGAUAUGGUAAAUCGGGUGUUGGUCUUGGAAUGGGCUUAGAUUAGGUUAAAAUUCUGCACUUUUGUUAAUAAAAAAAGUUUUAAAAAGGAAUUUUUAUAGACAAUUGAAAUUUGGUCUUAAUAACAAUAGGAAAAAUUUUAAAAAAUUAAAGUAAUUAAAUAGAAUUGAAAUUUUAAAAUUUAUUAAUAUAAUUUGAUGGUAUAAAAAUUAAUUAUAAUUUUGUUUUUUUUCUCUUAUAAAUUUGAUGACUUAUAAUUAUGAUGAUUUAAAGGAUGCCACUAAUAAAACUUUUCUUAAUCUAUUAGAUGGGAAAAUUUGUUUUAUCAUCCCCUUCUGUCUCAUUAUCUUUGUUCUUUAUUGAUUUUUUGGUUGAAGAAACUCAACUUUGAUCAUUCUUUUAAUAACAUCGUGAAGUUAUAAAUUUUUUUGAAAAUAAGAAUUGCAAAUUUUGAAUUUUAAACUUUUCCAAAAUUUUUUUUGAAUUUUUAAUUUUAUGUAAUAUUUUAAAAUAAUAAUCAAAUUGAGUUCAUUAAUUUGACUAAAAAAAUUAAAUAGAUAUAAACAAAAUGGGAUGGAGAUAGCAUGUAUUUGUAAAGUUCCCUUUUAUGAAUAUUUUUGCUUUUUAGUUUUUGCAAAAAAUGAAUAGAAAAAAAAGGCAAAAUAGAUAGAAAAUAAAAUAUAAAUAGCAAAACAAAAAAAAAAGAGACAAAGAUAAAAGCAUCAAGCUGGUAUGAAAUCUUAAAAAAUAAUCUUGUAAUGUGGAUAAUUAUCAAAAUGAAAUGUAUGAUACAGUUAGAAAUAAUUCUAAGUGCAUGUAGAAAUGAUCCAAUCCCUUCUAAUAAUUCUUAUUGUAAGCAUUAUCUAUUGAGCUUGUAUAUGGAAAUUAAAGUUUAAUUUUCCAUGUCUUAAUUUAAAAUACAAAAAUAAUGAUAAGAAAUAGAAGAAUUUUAGGCUUGUUUUUCUACUUAUUGUACAUAUGGAGAGUAACAUACUAUUGAUUGGAUAAAUGAUUGAAAGCAAGUGAUCCCUGCUCUUGAUAACUCUACAAAGCCAACAUCUAGACCAACAAAAAGCACAAGUGAUUAAUAAAAGUUAGCACAAGUGGACCUCCAAAACUUGAUUAAGACUAGGCGAACAAGCGAAAGAAAUGAAAUAGGAAAGUGGCCUUUGCUUUACCUGUGUUUAGUUGACGGUCCCAACGUACUCAUUGAUGUUUAAACAUGCCUUUGCAACUUCCCCUGCAAUCAUCUCAUAGUUCUUCCUUCCAAGGUGGUAGCACACCAUUAAUGUCCUUCCACCAGAAUAUGGUCCUAGUAUGGACUACAUUUUGAGCAAUGCCUAUCCCUUCAAUGGCGUCUUGCUCAACUAGUUGUGGUGUCUUUUUAAACAAUUGAAAGAGUGAAAUGUAAACCAAAAGUAUGAAUGUCUCAUGUUACGAAGGAAAAAGAAAAAAAAAAGACAUAUUAUAAUUAUAAACAUUUUAGGCCAAAAAUUCAUUAAAAGUAAUGGAAUCAUUCACUAAAAAUGAUAUUUUAGACCAAUCUUUUAGUUGCAGUGUACUACUCAAUUAUUUAAAUAAUUUAAGUAAAAACUUUUAAAAAUUAUGCAAUAUAAUAUUAUUAAAGAUUUCAGUUGUCUUUGCACAUACCAAAUAAAAGCUUGUACUUAAUUCAGUAAUGAAUAAUAAAAGCUCUUAAUCAUCAAUAAUGGUUAUGUUGGGGGGAUAAGGAGAAUGAAGAAGGUAGUUUUAGUUUUUGUGAAUGAUAUUCCUACAAGAGUCCAUGAAGAUGGCUUCAAAGGAUUUGGAUCAAUUUGGAAAGGUUGUCAAUACAUUUGUAGCGAGAAAUAGAAGCAAAUACAGUAAGAGGUAUCGUUUUAUCAUAUUUGAAUAUUUUAAUAAAGCUCGAGGAGCAGUCCAAAAUUUAAAUGGAGUCUGGCUUUUUAACCAAGAGCUAGAGGUCAAUAUAGCUAGCUAUGGAAGCCAUGAUUCAUUCUGAAGGAGGAAGCAAAAAGGAAGCUUCUUAUGCACCUAGUGUUAACCACAUUAGGAACAGAGCCUGUAGUGGGAUUUUGAGACAGAACUUUGCCUUAUUCACUAAGCCAUCUUAUGCUCUGUUAUUGAAAGGUGCUUUUGAAAGAGGUUGAGCUUCAAAUGAAGAGAGAGGAGAUGAUCUUCAAUGUCUUAACAAGCAUGAAAAAACAUGCUUUGGUUGAAGACAAGUGUUGUGGUAACAACAUAAUAUAAUUCAGAUUCAGCAAAUUUAAUGGACUUAUUUAAAAUGGAAGGCAUCUCAGGGCUGCUUAUGAGGAGUUUGUCUCUCAAAGAAUUUCUGCUAACCUUUGAGGAUAAGGAGCUGUUGGAAGAGCUCAAGGAUAAAGGUUGGGAUUGGCUUAACAAAUGGUUUACUAAGGUGGAAACAUAGUUACAGAAUUUUUCAUCAAAACUCCUUAACAAGUGGGUGAUUGCACAGGAUAUCCUUUUAAUGUGUGAAAUAUGCAUAUUAUAAAUUAUAAGCAUUUUAGGCCAAAUUCAUUAAAAGUGAUAUUCUAGACUAAGUUUUUGUUGUAGUGUCAUUCUCAAUCAUUUAAGUAAUUUAAAGACUUUGAAGAUUAUGCCCUAAAAUAGACAAGAUUAAAGUUUUCAGGGUGUAUACCUCUGUUUUGGCGUGCACAUAUUCCUUUGAAUCUAUGAAGAAACCUGUAGUCAUCUUGGGACAUUCUCUUACAUUCAAAUGCCCCAAAGUCGGUAACACAAAGUGAUAUCCCCUUGGGCAAAAGUCAACGAGGCUUGGCAGUUCUCCAAUUGAUAAAUGUUCUAAUUGAUCAAACUUUAUCUCCUUUUCAGUUGUCGCCUCUGCUUCAUCUUCAAGUUCAAAUACUUGCUCCAAUUUAGAGUUACUUCUAACUGUUAAUUGCUUAAGUUUUGGAAGACAACGAGCAGAUCCAAGAGGAAAGAGUCGUUUCAACUUUUUGCAAUAUUGAACAAAAUUUUGGUCAAAUUAGGAAAGCUUAUAGGUUGGAGAUCACCAUCUGAUGAUGAACAAACUUGAUCCUCAGCAAUGAUUUGGUCCAAUUCAUCACAUUUUUCUAUAUAUAGCUCGUCCAACUGUGAUAAACUUCGAACGGUCAUAGGUGAAAAUAUAUAUCUUAGCCUCUUGCAAUCAAUCACCUUCAGAAUUGUAAGGUUUUUAAGAGUUACAACUGAAGCGACAUCCUUCCAUAUAAUUUGCACUUCAAAUAAAUCCUCCAGGUGGAGUUUCUUUAUACGCCCAUGAAUCUGAAAUACCUCUUCAUGACUCCCAACUGCUAUAUAUUCUUGAUUGCAGUUGGCUGAAAUAAGCAAUUGAAAGCUAUUUACCAACUCAGAGAGAUAUAAUUCCUGCAAAUACAGACACCACUAAAUGUCACUAAAUACGUUCCUUUUCUAUUAGAUUGAAAACAGAUGAGCAAAUAUUACUCAUAAUUUUUUAGAUGCCAAUUCACAAAAAAUCCUUACAUUUUUAAUGACAGGACAUAUAUAUGUUUCAAAAUUUAAAUCCAAAAUUUUCAUGAAAUGGUCUGAAAGUGGAAUCCAAAGACAUCUAACCUUUUUUCAAGUUUUUCUCUGUUAAUUUUUAACAUAAAACCAUUUAUGGCUUUCCUUGUCUUGUGUUUUUUUCUUUGUCAUUUUUUCUUUAAGCAUGUUGAUUUGAAAAGUAUAGAUAAAGUGGUAAAGUGUUAAUUUUUUUUAAUUUACCUAAAUUACAUAAAAAAACAUAAAAGAAAUGAACCCCCCUGGAAAGCCUAACUUUCUCAAUCUGUUUCUCUUGUCUGCAACAGAAAGUAGAAACACUUUGAAUAAAAUAAAAAAAAGGGAACUCAUGGCCAAGAAGAAAAAGAAAACUUAAAUUGAAGAAGAAAGAGAAAAUUCGAAUCAGAGAAAGCAAGAGAAACUAGAAUCGAAGAAGAAAAAGGAAGCUCGAACAAGAAAAAAAGCAAGAUUUGUCGUCGUGAAGAAAAUAUAUGAUGAACCUCAAUUCAGAAACAAGGACAAGGAAAACCCAAAGAUCCCCACAAACAAAUUAAUUGUUUGUGAGUGUUGAAAAAAAGAUUUAGCUCAAAGGCAAAAUCCAAAACCAUAAUUGAAGGAAAAGUGUAGAAAGAAAUACCUCUAGCUGAAUUUGCUCAUUAACUUCUUUUUGAAUAGUGAAAUUUCUCAAUUUAGGACAGUUGCAAACUUCCAACUUCUCUAAGGAUGGUGAUGAGAUGAGAAAGUUUUCCGAACUCAAAUUUAUCAAGUUUACAAGUUGAAAAUCUUGUAGGCAAGGGAGUCUAAUGGCACGAUGAGUUGGCCCUUUCCAUAUGCUCUCCAAUGCUGGUAAUGACUGCAGCUUCAACCUUCUUAAAUUUGAGAGUGGUACUACCUAAUUUACCUCACAUAAAAAAAAUAUAAAAUUUAUCCAUUAAUAAAUAAUGAAAAUGAAUUCUUUAUACUUGAUCUUAAUUAUUGAGAAGAAAUACAUUUUUUUAAAAAAAAAGUAGAAAGAAGUAUUAAAAGUUAAUAAUUUAUAAAAAUUAGAUAGUAAUUAUUUAUAUAUUUGAUAAUUCAAAAAAAAAUCAUUAGAAAAACAAUAUACGAGAGCAUUAUUAAAGGAAAAAUGGAGAGAUAUGAGGUACCUUCAGGUCAGCCAUUUCUUUGUCAAAAGCAAAGACUUGCUCUAAUUUUUCGCAUUUAGAUAUCUCAAGUGUUUCUAAAUGCAACAGACUUUGAACAAGGUAAGGUGAGAAGAUAGAUUUCAGUUUAUCACAACCAUCAAUUGUUAAUUCCUUCAGACUUUGUAACCUUACAUGAUGAGUUGGCUCUUUCCAUAUAUUCUCUAAUGCUGGCAAUAACGUCAGCUUCAAACUUCUUAAAUUGGAAAUUGUGCACGUCGGACUUUCUUCCUUUCCAAAAAGCCAAUUCAUUUGAAACACUGAUUGCAACUGCUUACAAUCGACAAUGCUCAAUGUUUCUAACUUUUUUAAGAAGCUAAUCGGUGAUUGACCAUGGCACAACUCUUUCAAAGAAGUCAUGAAUCUAAUGUCUAACUUCACCAAAUUAGAGAAUGCAGUGGUUGGACUUUGUUCUCGUGUUGUAUCGAUCAAGCAUUCCAGAUUUUCACAAUAUAUAAGCUCAAGAGAAGUUAAUUCCUUUAGUCCCUGCUGAUCUACAUUUGGAACAAUAUUUUUGUGUUCCAUGGUGACCUCGGACAGAGUAAGCUUUUUCACAUUGCAAAACAGCUCCUUAAAUGCAUUUAAUGAGGAUGAGAAAUCACUAAUUCUCAAGGUUCUCAAGCUCAGCCCUGCCGAAUCUUCAAUAUCAUCAAAAUUUACAACUAUAUUGUAGUUUUGAAGUUUAGGGAACACAAAGUUUUCUUGAGAACAUUGAUCAGUAGAAACUGACAGUGUUAAUGCAGUCAAACCAGUCAAUGAAUUAAGCUCCAAUAAGUUAGCAUUGUUUCUACUUGUCACGUGUAGCUCUUGGAGUGAGGCCAACCUGUUACAAACAAAUACAAAAUGUUGUUAAUGCAAUAAUAGCACUUUCAACCGAAUGAUAAAAAUAGCAAGGUAAUGAAAUGAAUAAGAUAACAUAAACUUUUUUAUUUCUUCAUUCUUAAAGCUACUUCUGUACUACAGGUUGCAAAGUUUCAUAAUAAUAGGAACGACCAAAAGCUCAUGCUAUAUAUAUAUAUAUAUAUGUUUGUGAUAAUCAAAAUCAAAUAAAGUAAAUAAUAGGGAAAAAAGAUAAAAUAAAUGAUAUAAAAUUAAAUAACUGAAAAUAAUAAGAUAAACAGUUUUACCUUGGUAGCAAGUUGGAGGGGAAAUAGCUGUGUGGCACUCCAUCGUAAGAAAAAUAUAGUGAUUUUAGUUUAUACAAUCCCACUAGUUCUUCUGGUAGCUCAUAAAUAUUAGUCUUCAGCAAUGCAAAAAUCUCAAGGUUUUCAACAUUCCUCAAUGAUGAAAUGUUCUCGAGCUCGCAAUUUAUAAUGCACAGAGUUCGAAGAUUUGUCAAGAAUUGAAGUGCUUCCAGUGUGAGUACAACAUCUUGGAGAAGUAAAACUCGGAGGGUUGUCAUUCUUUCAAAAAAGGCACACGAAACUCUCAAUGAAUUCUUUCCUUUGAGAAACAAAGUCUUGAGUUUUGAAAAUUCCACUUUGUUAGGAAGAUGAUUGAUCUCAAUGUUCCACAAGGAGAUUGCCGUAUAACAUCCAAACCUUUCACUCAUAUGCCAUUCCGUCAACCCAUCUUUUACCAUGAAUAUAUUUUCCCCUCUCGAUGUUAUCCAAUGAGCAAAAUCACGAAUCACAUCAUGCAUUUUUACAUGCUCUUUAUCAUUAGCUUCCAAUAAUAAACCAGACUUUUGGAGUUUUGAUAGUGCCAGAUGAAUUUCCCUCCUUAAGUCUUCCAUUAAGUAAUUAUUAUUGAACAAUCCCUGACCAAUUCCGCAUAUAGUCAACAACUCAAUAGUAAUCUCAUAAUCUUCUGGAAAAAGGGAACAUAACAAGAAACAUUGCUUAAUAUUAUCUUGAUCCAAAUAAUCAUAACUAAGCUCAAGGCAUCUAUAGAUAUGUCCACAAACAUGUUGAUUAUCCAAAUGUCUUGAGCUCUUGAGUCGUUUAUUUGCUGCUAUCCACCCAUCUUCACUUUCACCUUUUAGAGCGUUUGCUACAGUUACGAUUGCAAGGGGCAAACCGCCACAUUCAUGAGCAACCUCCUUUGCCACAUUCAAGGUGGGAGAGUCAUCUUUUAGAGCAGCUUUAUCUUUGAAUAAAGCCCAUGCUUCGUCUUCAGACAGAAUGUUCAGUUUAAAUUCCUCUUGACAAUCCAUUUGACUGCAGACCUGUUGAAGACGUGUAGUGAGGAGAAUUUUGCAACCUUCGUGUUCACCGCCAAAUGGAAUUCCUAUAGUAUGCAAUUCAAGUUUUUCCCAAACAUCAUCGAGAAUUAUGAGAAUCUUCUUCUCGCCUUUUAAUCUCCGCCAUAACUCUUCUGCUUUCCCUUUUUCUGUACUGGCUUUAAAUUUUAAACCAAAGAGUUCUGCAAUCCUUUCUCGCAUUUCGUUGAAAUUUGGAGUUUGGGACAAUGUAACACUCACAACCUUAUCAAAAAGCUUUUGUUCUGUAGCUUGCUUCAGUACUACUUCCGCCAAAGUUGUUUUACCCACUCCUGGCAUUCCGUGCAAUCCAAUCAUGUUCACACCAUCGCCUUUCAAAGCCUUCAUGAUCCCGUUGAAAGCUAACGUUGAAGAUUUGGAACGCAUGAAAUCCUUGGGUAGUAGCAACUCUAUUCCUUGAAGAGGAGGACGCUGGCCGACUCCUUGAAAAUUACAAGCCUCUGCUAAAAGUUGAGAGAUAUAAAGUGUCUUCUUCGCUACUUUCUUACUUAAACAGUAUCGCCAGCCCCAACUAGGACACCAAUUGAAACAAUUGUUACGCUCUAUUUCUUCUUCCAAACCUUGAGCUUCUCCCAAUUCUUUCUCUGCCUUUGUUAGCCACUCCUCAACGUCCUUCUUAAUUACCUCAGUUUGCCUUAAAGCCUCAUCGACAUCACCUUGCACCUGAUCUUUUUUCGAUUGAAGUGCUUGUCGCUGCUUCUUGAAAUCUUCAACAACUUUGGCAAAACGGAAAAAGUAAGUGAGAUAAGGUGAUGCGUAUUCUGUUGCCAGAUUCCCUACGGUAUUGGCAGCAGCAGCAGCAGCAAAUUCAGCAGCCAUUCUUUGGUGAUCUGUGAUUGAAAAACAACUUUGAUGAGUAAAAGGUUUUACAAAGAGACACAACACUGCGGAAGGAGGAAAUAUAAAUAUAAAUCUAAACCUGCAAAUAUCUACUCAAAUAUAACACCAAACAAAUAAAUCAGAGAUGAAAAAGAUGAAGAUUUACAUACCAAGACGAUUUUCAGGAGCCGAAACCUGCAAAUAUCUUCUAUUUUGAUCCACGCAAACUCACAAAGUGGGUUAAGGGUUUUUUUUUUUUUUUUGAAGUUGAAACAAAACGGAAGUAGAAAUGAACUUUGCACUGCAAUGAUAAAAAAUAACAGACUUUCACUUGUAAAGAUAAUUCUGCUUCUGACAGAGCAAAACAUAUUAUGUAUUAAUAUGGAGAAUUUAAUAUGUAUUCUUGAAGCUUAGCUCACCUCGAAUGGAUCUUCUAAAGCUUUGUUUUUUUAGAUAGAAAGCAGAGAAACCAAAAAACUAGAGAUAGCAGCUUUGAUUUUUUUUUUUUUGGCUUUGUGGAGCAAGGAAAGGAAAAGUAGGGAUCAAAGAACAGUUUUUUGUUUUUUUUUUUUUGAGUUAAAAGAAAAUGAGGAUAAUAAGAUAUGAUCAUUGUCUUAAGAUUUUAUUUGAAGGAAAAGAAGCACUUUUUUGUAGUAAUGUAUUUUUCCAACAAUUACUAGUCAUAUUUCAAUAAUGAGAAAUUUUUUAUUAAAAUAUUUCUAUAAUAUAAUGCCCCUUUUUUUGUUAUGUUGACCUCAAUAAGUUAUAUUUUGAACUAAUUGAAGUAUAAAAAAUUAUCCAAUAAACUGUCAUGGAAUUUAAAAACUUCAUCAAUGGAAUUAGAAAGUUGUCACAUAUUCAUUAGGAUAUAUUUGAAAAAAUUAAUAAAUUAAUCUGAUAAAUGAAAGGAUAUUAAUUUGACAAUAUUUUAAUUUUACUAACAAAGUUAAAAUCUCACCGAGGAUGUAUACAAUAAUAGUCCUCAAAAGUCAAAAUAAUCCGUUUGUUUUUACAAUUGAAGGACAUUGAUCAUUACAUGCAUUAGUAGUGAAGAUUUGUUGCUUUUCCUUGAAAGAUCAUUACUUUUUGUGCUUAAUUACAUGCUUUUGUUCGGCUUAUAUAUAUAAAUAUAUAUAUAUAUGCUUUCAUUAGUGCUCGUUGAAUUAUGGCAAUAAAAUGUUUAAUAGAGGUGAUAUGAAUAAAGUGACUAUCCAGAGAUAUUGCAUUGUAUCUUUUCUGCUUAUUGGGUUCCACUGCUUGGAGCAUUUCUGCAGUUUCUGUAUACUUAUUUACUCCAAUGGUUACUUACUCCCCAUUGAUGAAAAGACGAGACAGACUCACAGCUUUUUCUCUGUCAUUGAUGCUUAGUUAGAAUGACUAAUCGAUGGCCUUCAAUUAUGUUGCCUAUUUUCGUAAUUUUCUGAUCUACCUGGUUGGUUUAAUGGAUUUCAUGUUAAAACACUUGCACUAUUUAUUUUAUUGUUGAGAUUAACUUUUGUGAUCAAAUUAUGCCCCCAAUGAAUUCAAAAAUAUUAUUUGAUGAAUGUACAAAAAUAGGUAGCAAUGAACAUAUAGCAUGUUAGUACUGACUAUUGAGAUUGUGAUAAAAUAUUAUGACAAAAACAAACGGACAAUAAUCUGAAAAGCCCGUAGGAACCUGCUGACAUGAUAACUAGCUUUUUGACCACGCUGGUCAUCUGAAAAAUGGGACAGCCCAAGCAAUAAUAUACCUAGUUUCUUCUUUUUCUCUUCCUUGGAGUUAAAAGAGAAGCAAAAAUGAAGAUAAAUACUUCUUGACUUGGAAGUUGCAUGUGAGAACAAUGCCAAAACUCAAAAAAGGAGAAGAAGGAAAUUAUGAAGGAAAGUGUGCACGCACUAUCAGGAAAUCAUGCCUCCCUCCUAGUCCCUGUAUCUAUCCCAUUAUUUCAUUUCAGAGGGUAAAAGAAAAUGAAUUCCCCUUUCUCCCCAAAGAACAUGUGAUAGUGGGUCCACACUCUGAAAAGUUCUGUAUGAAGGAAGAAAUAGUUAUGGUUAGUCGUGACCUGCUUGAUUGUCUGCGUUCCAAAGCUAACAAAGAAACGUCAAUGUGGAACUAAGAAAUUUCUCGACCCUUGUCUUGAGAGAAUUGAGUCGAACGUGGAAAUCAAAUUUAUCAAAGCAAAAGGAAGAUUCUCGGAACUUUCUUGAUAUUUUUGAUUCAUUGUGGAAUCAAACACAAUAUCAAUGCCACCAGUUAUGGAGAGUGUACUGUCAUUAAAGAAGUAUUAUUAACUAAUUCUCUCUCAAAGAAUAAAAAAAAGGAUGAAGAUGCUCUACUAAAGGAAAUUUUAACUAAUGCAAAAUUGGUUUCAUAUUUGUGAUCUUAAACAUAAUAAUAUCUUCUCCAUAAAAUUUAAAACAUUAAAUUAUUUUAAUAAAUAAAAUAUAAAUUCCACUAAACAAAAUUUUAAGCACAAUAUCCACCACCUUGAUCCUUGGAGGCCAAUCCCUGUGAGAACAACAACCAGAGCAGAGCGCGAGUAAGCACCCACCAAGAGAAUAAACAAAAUUGAUUACAUGAAGGACCCCUGUAACAAAAGACAAUGCAGUGUGAACAAUCAACAAACGAUGGCCCCCAGAAGCAAUCAAAAAACUUGUCAAGAGCAGCCGCUAAAGAAAUUAAGUUCACACUUUUAACUUUUUCCUUGUGCUCCUAUAUAUGCAAAUGGGCGGUGGAAUCAUUGAUUCACUUUUGAAUUAUUAAUGCUUUUUUUUUUGUCAUAUUUCCAUUACUUUUCAGUAUUUAUUUUUGACCUAUUUAGUUGAUUUACAUGAAAAACAAUUGACUCUUUUUAUAAGCAAAAAUUAUUAUUAUUAUUUUAUAAAUGUCGUUAAGAGUAAACAUUUGACUCUCUUUAUUUAUGAUUCUUUUGUAAUUAAGCAUUACUUGGUGAAUUCUCCUCUAAUAAUGAGUAAUGACCUACUUUUAAGUUGUUGCCUGCCUAAAUCAUUUAAGUUGGACGUGGAAAAAAAUUUAAUGCCAAUAUUGCAUGUAAAGUUUGCAGAUGCAUACUCAAAUGCAAAAACCAAGAGCCAUAGAAGAAAAUGAUGCACGCAUAUACCAAGGAAAGAUGGAGUUUGAGAAGCCAAGGGUAAGCUUCUAUUUUUAUCAAAGAAAACUGAAAUAGAAAUCAAGUUUGCGCUACAAUAAUCAGAAGCCCGCUAGCAGAGGGAAUUAAGAAGCAACAGUUAAGUCUUCUUCGGCUAGCAAGAACAGUUGAAUACAGGAGAGAAAAUUUUGAAAAGAUGAUGUGAUCCCUCUAAUGUUGUUCAUUCUAUUUUGAAGAAAUUGUGAGAAAAAAACCUCGUGAUAAGGUGAUUUUAGAAAUAACCACUCAUAUAAAAUUAUCUGUUUCUAGCAAAAAAUAUGCAUAAGUAGACGAAAAUGCCCUUAAAAACAUCGUUUCAAAUAAAUGCUUAGCUGUUUGAGCUAUCUGCCUCUAUCUGACUCCCACCAGAGAGAAAAUAAAAAAAAUAUAAAUAAAUGCGCUCAGCUGUUUGAGGUCGGUCAUCUUUCUCUCUCAACUCUGGCAAGUCUCUGUUGAGCACUAUCGUCAUCAGCUCUCUCAAAUCUCUGAACUGUAUUAGCUCUGUCAACUCUCUAUUGAGCACCAUCGUCAUCGGGUUGUGGUCUAUCUCUCGGCAUCUAGCCACAUUGUCAUAGAUUAACAGACCCUAUAGCAGAAAUUACAUCAAGGUACUUGUUAUUAGGUUUAUUUUUGCAACACACUUAAAUUUCUGAAACAUUUGGUGUAAAUUAGAAGAUGAAUUAGAAACAUUGCCCAGAGUUACGCGCCAUGCAUCUAUAACAUGUGUUAGCGUUAUUAUUUUAGCGUGUCAAGGUUGUUCCUAGCGUGUCACGGGUUAACUAGUUUUUUGGGUUUUGGGCGUGUCACAGCUGUUCUUGACCUAUCAUGGGUUAAUUGGUUUUUUGGUUUUCGGGCGUGUCACGGCUGUUCCUAGCGUGUCAUGAGUUAACUGGAUUUAUGGGUUUGGGGCGUGUCAUAGCUGUUCUUGGCAUGUCGUGGGUUAACUGAAUUUUAGGUUUUGGGCAUGUCAUGGCUAUUCCUGGCGUGUCGUGGGUAAAUUGGUUUUUUGAGUUUUUAUAGUGUCACGGCUGUUGGUGUAACGAGUCAGUAAUUACAAUGAUUAGCGCGUCACGACAGUGAUGCAUGGCGUGUCACGAUACUGAUGCAUGGCGUAUUACGACAUUUGACUUGAUAUGCAUGGCGUGUUACAAUAUUUAACGUUAUAUGCAUGACGUGUAACAACAUGACUGACAAAUUUUUGAUCACGGCAUGUAUUGUGUAAAAUUAUUGUCAAUAAUUUUGUUUUCAAAUUUUCAGUGGGUUCUAAUUGUGUGACUUGUGAUAAGACAUGGUGGUCAGUGGGUGGAUGGCAUUUACAAAGGUGGUGAGUCACGAAUAUAGGGGGUUAGGAGUGAUUUGUCAUUUGCGGGCUUGAUGAAGCUGGUUGAAGAUGUUGGGGUAAACUAAACAAUUGACGAGAUUGAGUUACAUGCAUUGAUCAGUACACCCGGAGAGCUAUCACGGCCAAUUAUCAAAGACGAUGAGGAUGUUGCAUUAAUUCUGCUAGAACAGAGGAAUGUUCCGGUUGUGUAUGUCAGCAUUAAGGGACGUCAACCAAAUGUUAUGUCACAUGAAAAAGUUAGACAAUAUGGUAAUCAGCUCAAUCAAAAUGAGAUUUAUAAUACUUCACAUAUACCACAGUAUUCGGUCCGUAACCCACAACAAUGGCAAUUGAGGUAUACACAAGAGUUUGUGCAGCUUGGUAGACAAACAACAUUCACAGAACAGUUGGCUGCACAAUUUCGAUCAGGAUGUGCAUCAAACCAAUUUCUUGCUUCUUUCGAACAAAUGCAACGAUCGGGUGAAACUGUAGAGUCUGUAAUACCAUUGUCGAAUGAGAAUACGACACUUGAGGACAAUAAUGUGAGGUUGGAGGGUGACACUGCGACGCUAGAGGAUAAUACUGCAUUUGAUGAGGGAAAUGAGGAUUUGUUAGCUGCCGGUGAAGAUAAAUUGGAUGACACUUCAGAUGAUGGGCUUGAACAAUUGCAAGAUGAUAGUUUAGACAAUGACUGCCUUUAUGACAGUGGCAUUCCAAUUUGGAAUAAUGUUGAAGGCGAAACGAAACCUGUUGGAGGUGUUGAUGUAGGGGAUGUUCAGUGUGAUGACCCCAUAUACAAUAACCCCAUUGCUGGUGUGUAAAACCCGACCCUAUAAACACAUGUCAUGACAUACAUGCAUUGAAUAACAUGUUAUUACGCUAAGAAAGCCCCUAAGAAUAGACGAAACCCAGUAUUGUACCUAACGGUACACUUGAGUUGAUUUAACCUCGAACUAGUUUAAAUAGAAAUCGUAGGAUGAAAUUUAAUAUUUUACAGUCCAAGAAUGACUAAAAAUGAUUAUUCGGAGUUCAAGGGUUCAUUUGGAAAAAUUGGAAAUUUUGAUGUUUAGGGGUAAAAUCGUUAUUUUGCCACCUAAGAUAAUAAUUUGAUCAUAGAGUGAAAUUUUUGACCAAGAUUAACUAUUUGGAGUAUAAUUUAAUGAUAGGAAGUGAAAAAUUUCAAUUCCGAUAAUUUUUGAAACAUAGGGAUAAAACGAUAAUUUUAUCGUCUCGGGGUAAAAUCAAAAUUUUUACCACCCAAAACUUGUCAAAAUCAUAGGAUUUAUUUAUCUUUGGUAUGAAUAACUAUGGUAUUUUAAGUGGUGAAAAAUUAAAGUUUAAAGGAUAAAAUUUUAAAAAUGGGCCAAUGGGAAAGUGACACAUGACACUUUUUAAUGAUGUAAUAUUAUUUUAAUGAAAAGUCAGCCCAUUUAAACCCCAUAUUAAGUGAUGGCCAACCAUAAGGAGAGAACAAGAGAGAAAAUAGAGAGGAAAGGAAGAAAAGGGAAAAACCAAAGGAAAACUAGAAAAUUCAAAGGGGAAAUCGCAUUUUUCAUCUGUUUACGAGUCUAACGGUAAGAUUUUUCGACUUUAGCUUGAUUUCUACCUUUCUUAUGCCUUUAUUUCCAUUUAGCAUGCUUGAGGAGAGAGAUUAAAAAGUGAAACCAAGGGCUGGCCGAAUUUCGAGGGGAGAGAUUUUGAAAUUUUUAGGUUUUGAUUCUUAGUUAAAUUAGUAGUUUUAGUUAGUUAAAUGUGUAUAGAAAUCAAAUUGGGCAAGAAAGCAUGAAAUUCUCACAAUACCCACCCUUGGCCGAAUAUGCAUUGAUGUNAAUGAUGAUGAUCUGAUUUUUUAUUCUAAGAGAAAUGAAGAGAAAAUGAUGAAAAAUAGUUAAAUGUGAUAGAAAAACAAAGUGAAAAAUUAAUCGAGUAAAUGUCCCAUUUUUGACCGAAUUUUUCAAGGAGGAAAGUGAGCUGAUUUUGGUGAUUUUAGAAGGUUAUUGGCUGAUAUUUAAUGGUUAGAAAUGUUGGAGAGAAAAUGGAACAAUUUAGAGCUAAAAUGGAGCGCGUUAGCAAUUUAACGGGUAAAGUGUCAAAAAUAGGUUAAUACCGUGUUUAAGCCGUUUUAGGCUAUUGCAUUUCAUACCAUGCAUUAGUAUAGGAUCUAAGUCAAUUAUAUAGUGAUUUAACAUCAAUGUGGUGAAUUGUGUAAUUUUUGCAAUGUGUCUAGGAGGAGAGCCUUCCGGUAAGGGCAAGAAAGUUGUACCCGACAAACAGUGAUCGGGGCACCUAAAAAGCAUUUAAUUUGUACAAACGGUGAGUAAACCUAUUAUUAUUGUAAAUUAUCUAGAGUUUAUUUUUAAAUGCUCAUUAUUUAUUUUAUGAAAUGAAAAUGAGAUUAAAAUGAGACUUUUGAUGUUUUAGAAACAAAUGUGCCAAAUAAAUAUAUUGUGUUGAUUAUCUGAAAUAAGAAACUUUUAAUCAUGAAAUUGAGUAAUUGGAGGCUGCCAAUUGUCUUGAAAAAUAUAUUUUCCUAUGAAUGGCUUAUGAUAUAUGAGUAUAUGUGGCUAUAUUUUAUAAUUGUAUUGAAAAUUUAUUUAAGCUGUCUUUUACUAUGCAGGCUGGGUAAAUAAAUAAAAGCUACAUUAUAUUGUCGAAAUUUUAUUAAAAUUGAUGGGUUUAGUCACUGCAAUGGCGGGUUUUCGUGGACUGCCUAUUAGAAGGGUAUGGUAAACUCGGUUAUAUAGUUACUCCAGAUGUAGAGGCGAGGAGGGUAACUCCCGGGGUAGUGUUAGAGCUCACUUCACGUCGAACCCCCAUGUGAAUAUGUAACUCAGUCAACCCCAAGGAACGGCUUGUUUUCAAAACUAACAUGUGUUUAACAUGUAAAUAUCUUAACAACCUUGGCGGACUCGGUUAGAUGCCUCGACCAAGGUAUCCUCGAUGAUUAGUUUUUGGCUUGAGCCCUAUUUUUAAUAAAAGUCAUAAGCUUUAACAACUGUUUUGGUAAAUUACAAAUAUUUUAUGGUUUAAAAAAUAAAUUGAAAACCGUAUGAAAUGGUUUGUGAUUUGUUGUUUAAAUUUACCUCCAUUUUACUCGCCUUUAGAUAUUUAUGAUAAUGUUUGUUUACUCAUUGGAAUUGUAAAAUCUCACCCACCUCCUUUCCAAAUAUUUCAAGCCUGUGGUAGCUUGUAGAUACCCGAUUUUGUCGAGGAUUCUAGUUGACCCCUCUAUCCCACAGACAGUAGGUUACUACCACCAACACUUGGUGUAUUUAUGGGCCAUUUGUUAUUGUAAUUAUUAUUAUACAUUAUAACUCUGUAAAUUAUUAUAUGUAUGAAUUUGUUUUACUUAUACGUGUUUCUAUAAAUAUUGUUUUAUAUAAAAAUGUUAUAUUUUAAUCAAUAUUUUAAAUAGUAAUAUUUGUCUAUAAAUCUUUUUAAAAUAAUUUUAUCUUUUGAUUUACUUGAGCCGAAAAUGAUUGGUAAUUGUUUAAAACAGAAUGUUUAACAACGAUUGCUCACAGGAAAGGCAAGAAACUGAUACGUAAGCCUUGAGGGGUUCCGAUUGGCAUUCCGGGUAAUGAGUGUAAAUCGAGACGUCGCGGUGGUUGUCAUGGGCCCAAGGGAGGUUUCGGAUCAUGACAUGGUGAGAACGAGGUUCGUUCCCUUAAUACAUUGGUCGUUGAUAGUGAUCAGGAAAAGGGAAAUGCAGGGAUAUCUCGUAUGUGGGUAAUUGCAGGUGCAGAAAAGUUCUCUUUCCAAACAAUUACCACGAGGAGUCGACAUGUGCCGAAGAUUGCUUAUACAAAGGAAGAAUGUUUUCGUCGAAGGCCGAGUUGAAACGAGCUUUGAACAUGUUAAUUGUAAAAGAGAAGUUUGCGAUAAGAGUAAAAAGGUCAUGUAAAGCUCGUUAUGAGGUUGGUUGCAAGGACAAGGCAUGCAAGUUCAGUGUGUGUGCAACGAAGUUACCUAAUAGAGGAGAAUAUUGGCAAGUUCGGACAUUUCACAAUGUACACACUUGUACCAUUGAUGGUUUGUAAGGGAAGUUUCCAACUACGAGUGCGAAGAUGAUUGGUGAACUUAUGUCACACAAGCUUCGGGCUAAUGGAGUAGCAUUGAGACCUAAGGACAUAAUUUGUGAGAUGAGGGUUAAGUGGGGAUUGGAAUGCUUGUAUGGUAAGGCUUGGCAAGCGAAGGAGUACGCGGAGAGGCUUGUUUUCGGUCCACCAGAGGCGUCAUUUCAACUACUACCCUCGUAUUUUUUUAUGUUGGAACAAGAAAAUCCUGGCACAGUGACUGCAGUGGCUACUGAUGAGACCGAAAGAUUCAAAUAUUGUUUCUAGUCAUACAAGGCUUGUAUUCAGGGGUUUACGGAUGUAAUGCGUCCUACGAUUGCAAUUGACGUGACACAUCUCAAAGGUAAGUUCAAGGGUGUUCUGUUUGUCGUUGUAUGCAAAGAUGUGAAUGAGUGCGUAUAUCCAGUUGCGUUUGGCAUCGGCCAUGUUGAGGACGAAGACUCAUGAACGUGGUUUCUUAGCAAGCUGCAUGAUGCGGUUGGUUGUCCUAAAAACACUAUGUUCAUUUUUUAUCAGCAUCUUGGCAUUAAGAAAGCAAUCCAAAAUGUAUACCCAGAAGCGCACCAUGGUUUAUGUGGUUGCAACUUGAAAAAAAAACUUUAAAAACAAGUUCAAGCGUGACGAUGUUUGUAUGCUUUUCACCCUUGCUCAAGAUUACUAUAAGGUGGCCGAUUUCAAUAGACAUAUGAACCAACUACAGUAGAUUCACCCGGGAGCCCACGUUGACCUUAUGAGAAUAGGGCCUGAGAGAUGGGCAUGUGCAUGUUCACCGACAAGGCGAUACCAAAUGAUGACAUCCAACAUUGCGAAAUAUGUUAACUCAUGCUUGAAGCAUGCAAGACAAAUACCGAUCACUGUUUUGAUCAAGUUCAUCAGAGACAUGUUCCAGUGUUGGUUCCAUGACCUGUACUAGGAGGCCGUCAAAGUGACAACACCCCUCAGCCCUUGGGUUGCUAGGUAGUUGAGCAAACGGUUCAAUGAUGCACAUCGCUUUGUAGUUAAGCCUAUCAAUCGAGCGAAGUUUGAAGUUAAAGACGGGAAGAUAAACGGACUUGUAAACCUGUUUAGGAAGACAUGUUCAUAUUGUGAGUUCCAAACAGAUUUGCUGCCAUGCAGCCAUGCCAUUGCAACAAAAAAGUUAGAAUAUCAUUAUUUCUUAUUUGAAUCGUAAUUGACAUAACAUUAACAUUGUGCUUGAAGAUUGAGUUUAUUGUAUUUUUUAGUCAAUGCAAUCGUGAAACCAUUGCAUUCUACGCUGACUACUACAAGACAACCGUUUUGGUGGAGGGUUAUUCAGGAUCCAUUAGGCAGGUAGGGCAUCUUAAUGAGUGGGACAUCCUCCCUUAUGUGACACAAAUUGUCGUCUUGCCCCCACUUUGGCGAGGCCAAGCGGGAAGACCUAGGAGGAGAAGGAUUCCAUCAACUGGUGAAAAUAGUCAAGCACAGAGAUGUUCGCAAUACAAAAGGUAUGGGCAUAACAAACAUAAUUGCCCAUCCCCAUUUACAAUUCCAUCCACAAAUCCGGCACCAUCUCUAAGUCAAUCGACUCCUCCACGAGUGCGCUGACCCAAAGCAUGUUCAAUUUGUAGACAAACCGAUCACACCCGCAAGACCUGUCCAAUACAGAGUACAAUGUCUGAAAAUGUAAGGUGUGUUAUGGAUGAAGACAACUUGUCUGCCUAACUCAAUGUGUAACCCAUGUGCAGUACCUUGCUCACAUACAUUCGAUCACAAUUUCCUGUGGUAUUAUCAUAGUCUUUGGCCCACUGAAAUGGGUUUAUCUUUUAAUAUUGGUAGCCAUUCCAUGCUUAUUGUUGCUUCAUAAGAUUUGUGUAGCCACUUGUACUUAAUGUUGUAAUUGUAGUUGAACUAGUUUUGCUUUACGAAUUUGUCUGCUUGGUCAUUUUAUGAGCCACUUUUAAUUAUGGACUUUGUUGCCAAACAUUUCAAGCAAAUAAGCUUGCCAAGGCCUCUAUCUGAUCAAGAUAGUGUUAAAGUACAUUUUUACAUUGCUUGUAAGAAUAUUUUCGAUUACAAUCUCCAUCAGAUAGAGGCCUUGACAAGCUUAUUUGCCUGAAAUGUUCGACAAUAAAUUUCGUAACUAAAAGUGGCUCAUAGAAUGACCGAGCAGACAAAUCCUUAAAGCAAAACCAGUUCAAUUACAAUUACAACAUUAAGUACAAGUGGCUACACAAAUCUUAUAAAGCAACAACAAGCAUGGAAUGGCUACCAAUAUUAAGAGAUAAACCCAUUAACUGUUACCCCAUUUGUCACAUUUUAUUACCACUUGUAUUAAACAAUUAAUGAUUUGAUUUAAUUCCUUUCUAUUUCAUUUGAUUUAACCAUUUAUGUUCUUAUAAUGAAAUUCCUUUCUAUUUCAUGAGUAAUUAAAUUUUGCCAAUAUCGGUUAGUCAACUAAGAGCAUUAUGCCUGCAAGUUUUGUGGUGACACGCUGACUUUUUACAGUCUUGGCUAGUGACAUGGCACGGGCCAAUUGUGGUGACACCCUGAGUGCAAGCAAACUUAUGGUGUGACACGCUGACUUGUUGCAGUCUUGACGGGUAACACUACACAAGCCAAUUGUGGUGACACGCUGAGUGCAAGUAAACUUAUGGCGUGACACAUUGACUUCUUGCAGUCUCGAAAGGUGACACGGCAGGGGCCAAUUGUGGUGACACGCUGAGUGCAUGCAGACUUGGCGUGACACGCCAAAUUGUUGCAGUCUUGUUGGUGACACGACACAAAAUGUUUAAAAUUAAGGAAAGUUUUAAAAAAGUAACACCUAUUAUAAGAAAAAUCAACUAACCUGAUAUUUUAAUUGUUAUUUGGGGGAUUUCGGCUCUUAGAUGCUUAUCCACACUCAAUAUUAAAACCCACUAUAAGUGGUCGCAGCUGCAUUACAUCACAAAGACUCUUGAAGAGAUUAAGGAGUUCAAUGCACUGAAGCCUACGUGCUUUGAGAUGCUACUGGAUGUCAAUCCACAAGCUUCGUCUACCAAACUUUGGUGCUCCUGUCUUUCCAAAAUCAACAGCCAUAUAAUGAAGAGUUGCCAAUUCUAGGUCCAUCAUUCGAGGUAUCGAUCCAGCCUAGAAUUGGCAACUCUUCACUCUAUAGUUGUUGAUUUUGUAAAGACAGGAGCACCAAAGUUUGAUAGACGAAGCUUGUGGAUAGACCUCUAGGAGCAUCCCAAACACGUACGCUUCACUGCAUGAAAUCCCCCAUCUCUUGGAGAGGCAAAAUGUCAAGAUCCUUAUACCGUCUACGUUGGAUCUGCAAAACAUGGCACACAUGCACCAGUGAGUUAAGCCAUAAUGUCAAACAAGGUAUACUGAAGAAAUAAAUAAAGAAUAAAUGUUGUGACACACCAUUCAUAACAAGCUAAAUGUUCUGACACGCCAUGCAUAACAAGUAAAUCAUUUGUGACACGCCAUACAUAACAACUAAAAUGUUAUGACACGCCAUGCAUAUCAAGUAAAACGUUGUGACACGCCAUGCAUAUCAAGUCAAAUGUUGUCACACGCCAUGCAUAUCGAGUCAAAUGUUGUCACACACCAUGCAUAACAAGUAAAUCAUUUGUGACACGCCAUAGUAAACAAGCAAAAUGUUGUGACACACCAUGCAUAUUAAGUAAAACGUUGUGACACGCCAUGCAUAUCAAGCAAAAUGUUGUGACACACCAUGCAUAUCAAGUCAUUUGUUGUCACACGCCUUGCAUAUCGAGUCAAAUGUUGUGACACACCAUGCAUGUCGAGUCAAAUGUUUUCACACAAGAAAACCAAUAAAACCACAAUGACUUAACCUCAAAAACCAUCCAUCGAACCAGCGAGAAAACCCAGUCUAAAAUCUAAACAUUUGCAAAACAAAACAUACAAAAAACACGAACAUAUCAAACAAACCCAGCGAAAAAGUAAAAAAUUAACAUAAGAAUGUUUUCUCUUGAGACUCACUUACCUCUUCACUCAUAGCCGACAUUGUCGCUAUUGCUGUGGUGUCGUUACGCUUGCAAAGAGCCUUCUCGAACACUCCGGUAUCAACAGGAAUGAGAAAUGAAUCAAACAGACGUUAGGAAUUCUGACAAAUAAAUGUUUAAAAUGAAAAAUGGCUUUAGAAUAUUCUCAUUUAUUCGUUUCAUUUAUAAAUUACUUCAGUGGAAGUCCAAACGGUUACUACGUUAACUGCCGAUUUUAAUUUUUUUAAAAAAAUUUAAUGGAAGUCCAAACGUUUACCAUAGCGGGUCAGUUGUUCAAACAAUGGCGUGUCACAGUAGUUUCACGUAUUCUAACCGUGGCAUGUCAUAAAUUUUGAACCCGACCAUUUCACAGUCGUGACACGCUGAGUGCAAGCAGAUUUAUGGCGUCAUACUGCUAACUUGGUGCAAUAUCGUGGGGUCACACGCGACGGCUCAAUUGUUAUGACACGCCGAGUGGAAGUAAAUUUUUGGCAUCACACGCUGAGUAUCUGCAAAUUUAUGGCGUGACACGGCACGGCCUAACUGUUCUGGCACGCUGAGUGGAAGCAGAUUUAUGGGCUGACACAUUGAGUGUUAGUGGAUUUACGGCGUGACACGUUGACUUCUUGCAGAUUUAUGGGGUGACACGCUAAGUGCAAAUAGAUGUUUGUGGGGACACGCUGACUAGUAGCAGCUUUAUGGCGUCACACGCUGACUACCUGCGACUAUGUAUCAAAUUAAAUAUAUUGUGUAUACAAAGGAAAACAAAUUCUUAGUAUAAAAUGAAUUGUGUAUAUGCAAAAAAAUUAAUUGUGUAUAAAUUUAAUUAUAUAAAAUAUAUUCCCAAUACAAAAAGAAUUAAUUAUAUAUACAAUAAAUUGUAUAAAAUAAAUUGUGCAUACAAAAAAAUUGUGUACAAAAUUAAUUGUAUAAAAAUAAUUCUAUAUACAAAAAAAUGUACAGACAAAGGCCGAUAUGUUCAGGGUUCGCUCUCACAACUGUUGGAAAAAAUUUCUAGAGCAUAUUGCAGACGCAUUUUUGCAAUCAUAUUCUACUUGACUUUGAUAUUUUUCGAUUGGAAAAUAUCAUCCAUGUACCCUAUCAUGAACAUACUGCAGCUGACACUAUCAUUCUGUCGAUGUACUUUAGCUUUUGGCAAAUGAAUAUCCAAUGGCAUCGGCGUCAAAUCCUGUCUCUUUCAACGUGUGUUGUUGAAAUAACCGGCUUUGUGGCAGAUGAUCAGCAUCAUUGUCGUCAAGGGUGUCAUUUGAGCCACACGAACUCCGUUAUCCUUAGCAUUCGAAGUUCUUGUGGAGUCAAACACCUUGAUCUUUGCAACCACCCAAUUCCCACCAACGUUGCAAGGCGCGAGGAUGAAAUCCACAUUUUUCCAUUUUUUACCGUAUAUCGGCUUUUCACCCUUCACGUACCCCCAUAACUCAUCUAGAAUUUGCAUUAUGACCUGGGCAUCUUCUGUUGGGAAUUCCGUGUGUAUCAUACGGAUGACGUCCUAUGAAACAUGUAAACAUUAGCUUACACUUCAUGCGAUCAAAAACUUAGUAUUUAUAGAAUUGAACAAUUUCAAAUAAACUUACAAAGAAUGUCGUGUCAACCACGCAUGCACGGGUAGUGUACAGCUUCAACUUCGACACUGUCAUACGCUUGCAGAAUACGCUGAGGCAUGCGUCGAUAUGUUCACUUGUCAUUUCCUCAUUGGGAUCCUCUAAGGUUAUGAAAAAGUUAGCCCCUUGAUCCCCUAAGAUGCCGACGUCACGCCUGCAUAUGUAACAUAAUGAAUUUCAUAAGUCUUGGUGGCUUAAUGUUUCAUUAAAAAAUAAUAUUUGCAAUGUUAUUUAUGAGCUUACCUCGCAAACUCAUCAUUCUUGAAAGCUUCGUAGGCUUCUACGAUUGUAUCCUUCGUCUCUCGAUGGCUAACUAAGGGGUCGACAUAUGAGCUUGCCAGGUAUUGCUCGCCAGUUUCAACCGUGCCCGUUCAGUUUGGUCUGAAAUUUUUGCUACACUGUGAUGGACAGCACAUUACUCUGGUGAUGCUGAUUGUGUCUCAACUGCAUCAGGAGUGCUUUGAUAAAGCACCAUAGCUCCUGCUGCUGCCUCGACGAAUGCAUCGGCUGGAGGAAGAUGCUCUCUUUCAGCCACGACUAAGUCAAGGUCCCCCUCCCCUCCAGUAGAUGCAUCGAUAAUGGACUCAAGCAGAGGAACAUGCUCUUCUUCAGUAUCAUCUGAUUCAAGGGUGACAUCCCCUGCCACAGCUUCAUCAAUGACGUCAUCGACAUGAGUUACGUACUCUCCGUCAGCACCAAGAACGUCAUCGUGAAUGUGAACACCAAGUUCAUGAUGCUACCCAUCAUCAGCAUCAUCGUGCUCCAGACCAGCACCGUGAGAUGAAAGAUCGCCCUACAAAAUGGAAAAAAACUGUUAGUUAGCUCAUAAAAUACCACAAACCAUAACAAGUAAAAAGUUGUGACACGCCAUGCAUAACAAGUAAAACGUUGUGACAUGCCAUUCAUAAAGAGUAAAAUGUUGUGACACGCCAUGUAUAACAAGCAUAAUGUUCUGACACGUCAUGCAUAACAAGUGAAAUGUUGUGACACGCCAUGCAUAACAAGUAAAAUGUUGUCACACAUUAACGCUGACACGUCGAUACCUUACUAAAAUACAAAUGUCCUGACCCACUAAUCUGAAUUGAACCAAUUAAACCACUACCACUUAACCCCACAAACCAUCAAACCAAUAAGAAAACGCAGUCUAAACAUUUGCUAAACGUAAACCACAAAAAUACAAGUGAAGAUAGAAUAACGUACUUGUGAUUUAAGGCCGUCAAGAAUCCGAGCAACGAUACGAUCCUCAAGCGUCUGCAUUGCUAGAGUCAAUGACUGAAUUGAAGCCUUCAGCUCCAACAUCUCUUUGACAUGCUUGCGCAUGAUCCCUCGAAAGCUGGCGAGUAGUGACUGCUCCGUCAUUGACUCUUCUUGACUAGGUUAACUGCAAUAACAUAUAUCACUGUGUUAUUCAAUAAUCAUAUAUGGAAUUGUUGAACAUUAACCGUUACAACUUUAAUAUCCUUACCGGUGACUCGUAAGCAAUUUAUGGUGGAGCUGGACCCAUCGGUGCUUGACGACCUGUUGUCACCUCCAUAAACUGCAAUAACAGAAACUACUGUGUUACUCGAUAAACAUAUGUGAAAAUGUUGAACACAAAUUGUUAGAACCCAUUUUACCUACGAGUCGUUUCCACUGUGCAUUUGAGGAGGACCGGUGGGUGGUUCUGAAGCUACCGAUGCAUGGACCAACUGUAAACACAGAUAUGUUAUUCGAUAAUCAUAUAUGGAAUUGGAGAACACAAAACCGUUAAACUGUCUUUACCGGCUGUUCACUGCCUUGAUCAUGGUCGUCCCGUUCGUCCAUCAACUCAGGGCCCAACAUCUCAUCAUUAAAACCAACGGUGGUGCGCGUCCGCUUCGUGCCACCAGAGGCUCUUUUCUCUUUCAAGCUUCUCUUUUUUUGCCUCGCACCUAAGCCCCAAUCCGACCGAUCCUCUAUGUGCCCUAUUAGCACGUACUCAUGGCCCUCCGAUAACGGGACAUCAAGGUCCAUAAAAUACUCCCAAUUGGCCUCAUCCGCGAAGAGUUUUAACUUCUCUAGUGCCCACAACUGCAAAUAAACAAAUAAAAUAUUGUGAUUAUCGAAUACGAAAAAUUAUUAUACAAAUAUAAGGCAAAAAUUAGUAGUUGUUCACUCACAUGGUCAAAUGACUUUAACUUCUGAAAUUCCAUGUAGAUGUCUUUUGGCUUCUGAUUGUAAUCCUAUUUGCACAUUUGUGGGUAAACGUUGUCCUUCAAACCAAAGGGGGCAAUUAUUUUUUACAGGGCCGAAAUUACCUCCAUUGCCUAGAACUGCAAGUCAAAUGUAACCAUUAUCAGACCGUAAAUCAUAAACGAGUGCAACUAUAAAUUAUUAAAGUAAAAAGGAAACUGGAAAAUGUUUCGUGAUAGUACCUAUAUCACCCAUGCGAAUCCGUAAAUGUUGUAGCGUAACCGAGUUUCCUUUGUCAUGCUUGAGUCAGGCACUUCGAACCCUUUCAAAAGGUAGUCCAAGGUCAGCUUCCAAACAUAGUGCCCCAAUGGGAAGACAUUCCAAGCGUCAAUGUCCUCCACCAAUGACAGCAACCAAGGCAUCACCCAUCUACGGUAGCCUUGACCAAAUAAAAUGUUAUUCGUGAUUAAGAAGAGUGCCAUCUUAGUCGCGUCUCCUGGUUGCUGGAAGUUGCCCUCACAGAACGUAUCAAGCAAAGCCUGCAGCUUAACGCUCUCUUGCCUGUUCCAGUAUCUGGCAUGAAUUCCGUCCGUAGCAACCUCGUACGAUCGUCUAAACACAUAGGGCAUUGGACCAAACUUCAUCUCGGUGAUGAGGCAAGACUCUUGAUUUGAUAGUCACGCCUUGCUCUUGCCAAUGGCAAACCAUAGCUCGUGGUCCAUUGACUGGCUCUCAUUGAUCCGACAAAGCAUGAUGCUGUGUAGGAGACCAACGCAAAAGUACCUUUGUGGAUAGACGUCCAAGAUCCUUCCGAAGCAUGUACGCUUCACUGCAUCGUAUUCCCCCUUCUGUUGGAGAGUCUUUGUGAUGUAAUGCAGCUGCGACCACUUACAGUGGGUGUUAAUUGCGAUGUUGAACGCCCACUUCUACCUCGGCAUGAUCAGUAAACUGUCAAGAUCCUCAUACUGUCUGCGCUGGAUCUGUAAAACAUGGCACACAUGCACCAGUGAGUUAAGCCGUAAUGUACAACAAGGUAUACUGAAGACAUAAAUAAGGAAUAAAUGUUGUGAAACAUCAUUCAUAACAAGCAAAAUGUUGUGACACGCCAUGCAUAGCAUUCAAAAUGUUGUGACACACCAUACAUAACAAGUAAAAUGUUGUGACACGCCAUGCAUAUUAAGUAUAAUGUUGUGACACGCCAUGCAUAUCAAGUCAAAUGUUGUCACAUGCCAUCUACAUCGAGUCAAAUGUUUUCACACGCCAUGCAUAUCGAGUCAAAUAUUGUCACAUGUUAACACUGACUAUAAUAACAAUGUCGUGACACGACAAACACCAAAACCCCUAAAACCACUACGACUUAACCCCAAAAACCAUCAAACCAACAAGAAAACACAGUGUACACAUUUGCAAAACAAAACAAAAAACACGAAAAUAUCAAACAAACCCAGAAAAAAAUUAACAAACACAAGAAUGUUUUAAUUUGAGACUCACUGACCUCUUCACUCAUAGCCGACAUUGUUGUUGGUGUUGUGCUGUCGUUACACUUGCAAAGUGCCUUCUCGAACACUCCGGUACCGGCGAGAAUGAGAAUUGAAUCACACAAACUUUAGGAAUUCUGAAAAUAACUAUUUAAAAUGAGUUAUUUUUUUUAUUUCACUAAAGGGAAUUAAUUGAGUGGAAGUUCAAACGAUUACCACGUUAACUCUCUGCUUUUUUUUUUCCUUUCUCUAUUUCAAACCAUGACGUGUCAGCUAUUCAAGCAAUACCGUGUCACACACUUUAAACCAUGGCGUGUCAGCUUUUCAAGCAAUGCCGUGUCACACACUCUAAACCAUGCCGUGUCAGCUUAAUAAGCAAUGCCAUGUCACACACUCUAAACAUGGUGUGUCACCAACUCUGAACUCUGACUUGUCACAAUUUCCCUCCAUGGCGUGUCACCAACUCUGAACUUUGGCAUGUCACAGAUUCCCUCCAUGGCGUCUCACCAACUUUGAACGCUGGCAUGUCACAGGUUCCCUCCAUGUUCUGUCACCAACUCUGAACUCUAACGUGUCACAGAUUCCCUCAAUGGCGUCUCACCAACUCUGAACGUUGACGUGUUAUAGAUUUCCACCAUGGCGUGUCACCAACUCUUAACUCUGGCGUGUCACAGAUUCCCUCCAUAGCGUCUCACCAACUCUAAACGCUGACGUGUCACACAUUCCCAACAUGACGUUUCACGUACUCUAAAUCCUGCCCUGCCACAACUGUCUCACAUAUGGCCUGCUAUAACAGGACCAUUUCCUGCUUUGGAUUCACAUCUUUCUCCUUUCAAUUCACCACCGUAUCAAGGAUUUCUAGUUUCACAUCAUUAGCCAAGCUUUCCAUUCAUCAUGACCGAGUCUUCGUUUGGUUUAAUAUCACUAUUUUCCUAUUAUCUGAAUGCCAUGACCCAAAUCUCUAAAAAACUAUCUCAUGCAAUAUUAUUUUGUUUUGUACAACCUUCGCAAAAAAAAAGGAUGUUUUGUACAAAAUUAGAUGUUCGCAAAAUUCUUUGCAUAUUUAUUUUUUUUUCCAUUUUUCGCCUGUUUGAGAGCGCACACUAAAGAAGAUGGCACAUUAAGGGCUUUUUUGUCUCAAAAUCUAUUCUGGUGGCUAAAAAUAGUUAAAUUUAUCCCGAUGGUUAUUUACAAAAAACGUUAUUUUUAAAGGCUAAAAAAAAAUUCCCCUUCUAUUUUUGUCAUUUUACAAUAAUUUUUUCCUUAAGAUCCAUUUAUUUCUCACCUACUUGCUUAAUGGCUUUCAUGGAAAAAUACUUUACCAUAUACAGUACAAGGGAAGGGAGAUUUCCGGAGCUUUCGUAUAGAUAUUUAUCUCUUUUUACUAGUGGGACAUGGAAUCAUGAGCAUUUGUUGUAUCAGUUUGAGAAGAAAACUGAUACACUGUUAUGAAGACUUGCUUGUUUAAACUCUUUGACUAAAGCAUGUUUAUAGUAUAUUGCCUCUGUUUAAAUUACAUAAACAUCAGUAACUUAAAUUUUAAACAAAUUAAAUUAGUCUAAAUAUACUUGUGUAUGAAUUUGUAUAAUUUAUGAAAGAGCCUUUUUUUCCCAGAACAUCCUUUUUUUUUGUUUUUUAAACUCAUUCAUUACUUGGUGAUAAGCUUUUUCUCUGUCAUUCUUGCCUUAUUUUUGCUGAGCCUUUUACUUUGCUUCAAACAGUUUUUAUUUACUCAUUAAGAAGGUGGAUUUCAUCAUCUUAUUAUUCCACUUCCCCCUUUAAUAAUUACUUACUCACUAUUGAUGACUUCACAACUUCUAUAUUGACUUUGCAUUGAGUUAUGCUAAUGAAGCAUAGUUUUCUCUAAACCAAAUUUGGCAUGAUUUCAAAAGCAAGUUCACACCUUCAAUUCACUUUUUCUUUUUGGUCUCACGUAUUUGAGAAGAAAAAUCUAUCAGGAUUCGUCUCUUUCUCUUUAUCAGUAUUUUCUUGGUGAUAUGCUUUUUCACUGUCAUUUCCCGUCUUCUUUUUGCUCACCCCUUCUAUUUUGCUUCCAACAUAUUUUUUUUUUUAAUUUUCUCAAUAAUUAACGAGACAAAGAUUACCAAUGGGACAUAGGCAUCAUUGCUAUCAAAGCUUUUGAAUUAUUGACCUGAUCCCUUUAUUGUUCUCUUUCAUAUUUUUGACAUUUUGCAAUCAUUUCAAAAUGGAAAUUAAGAUCACACUUUUCAUUUUCUCUUUGUACUGUUACGUAAAUAAGACCUAGAAUCAUUGACGUACUUUUGAAUUAUUGAUUUUUUUAUUAUUUUAUUUUAUUUUUAAUUAUUAUUCAAUAUUUUUUUCUUUUCCCCUCUGAGUUUAAAACAACUUAAAAUAUAAGAAAACGAAUGUUUACUGAGGUAUUGCUCCUUUUUAAUUUCUUCUUCUUCUCACGUUCUUGGGUUUUAGCUGAAAGUGGAAGACCCUUGGCCUCAAAUGCCUCUGGUAUUCCACAUCUUUUGAUAAUGGACAUGGAAUCAUUGUUAUUUUAGUUUCUUAUUCAACAAAAGUUGCAGCAUGGACUUGGUUUUCUUCUUAGUCUCUUUUUUUUUUAUUGUUAUUUUCUUUUAUUUAAACAACAAUGGGUUCAAACAUCUUUUGAUUUAUCGAAUUAUUGCCCUCACUUUUUCUUUUCUUUUUUUAUUAAAAAAUUAUUUAACAACUAAUAAUAUCUCACUCCAAAAUCUUAACUUAUGAAAACAUGCUAUAUGUGUUGAUCAUUAGAUUAUUAAUUUUAGCUACUAAAAAAGGUGAUUAUUAAAGAUAGAUAGAUCUUUAAAAAAAAAAGUAGAUAGAUAAAGAAAUCCAUCAUCUCUAGGAGAAAUUUCAAUUAAAAAAAAAUGAUCAGCAGUGAGGAAAGUUAAGCUAAAAAAUGUUUAAGAAAGUUUCAUCAAUUGUUUUUCUCCUUGCGAUGGGGAAAACUUUGGUCAUUCAUUUCCUAAUUGACUAUCUUUGCUUCAAAGUUAACAAAGAAAUAUCAAUGUGGAAUUAGGAUUCUUCUUAAUUCUUAUCUUAAUAGAAUUAAGUCUAACUUGAAAACCAACUUUUGAAUUAUUGAUCCCGUUAGAUGGAUCAAUUUGUUUUAUCAUCUAUGUAUUUUUAAUAAUUUUAAGCUCCUUUUUACACAUACGUUUAUUUCAAAUCUACUUCAAAUCCAGAUUACUGUUAGGAUAGUCUUGAAUUAUAUUAUGAUUAGAAUUGUUUAAUUUUAAUUAAACUAAUAUACCUUCUUUGAGAUAGUCUUUAAAUUUAGUUAGACUAUAAUAACAUAUAUUAAUUAUAUUAGGAUAAGAUUAUUGUACUUGACCCCUAUAAAAGGAUUUUAUGGGGUUAAAGAAAUCUAAUCAUUUAGAUUUAGAGAUAGUAAUUUGGGUGUACGUGAGAUAAGAGUUUUGAGUUUGAGACUGUUUUUGUAAUCUUUUGAUUUUUCUCUUAGUGAAUCUUUCCCCAUUGCUGUAUCCGUUGACGUAAGUCAUCUAAAGACUAAACCACGUAAAUUUUUGUGUUCUUGUGAAUGUGCUUGAUUUUCUUCUUUCUUUAUUCAAUUGAUUGAGUAAGAUCUAGAGUAACUGUUUAGAGAUAAUUUCAUAAUUUUCACAAUAAAUUGGUAUUAGAGCUUCAAGGUCUUAAGUCAAUAUGAAUAAUCGAUGUAAUCCUUCUAUUAUUGUCCGUUAAUUUUUGUUAUUUUGGAAUAUUUUUUCCAUUGAGAUCCAUUUAUUCUCACCUACUUGCUUGCUCUGUUUAAUGACUUUCAUGGAAAAAUACUUUAUCAUAUAUAAUUACGAGGGAGAUUCUCGAAAUUUUCGUGGUUUAGAAAUUAAUAUGAUAAAUAAAAGAAUAUGGGACAAUAUUUUAACUAGUUUGUGGUUUAGAAACUAAACUGAAAAUGUAUAAAAUAAUAUUCUCAAAAUUAUUCUGAAAAUGCACUCUGUAGGUCAAGGUAUCAUUACAGAUCGUGUUUUUAUGUCCCCACAUUUGAUUCCUUGUUCUUUAUCAGAAAAUCAUGCCUGCACCUGGUCUCUGUAUCUAUCUCAUUAUUUCAUUAGGAGGGUAAAAGAAAAUGAAUUCCCCUUUCUCCUUAAAGAACAUGUGAUAGUGGGUCCACACGCUGCAAAAUUGUCUGUAAAUGAAGGAAGAAAUAGUUGCGGUUAGUCGUCGCCGAAUUGAUUAUCUCUGUUCCAAAGUUAACAAACAAAUGCUAAUGUGAAAUUAAGAAAUUGCUCAACUCUUGCCUUGAGAGAAUUGAGUCUAAUGCGGAAACCGAAUUUACCAAAGUAAAAGAGAGAUUCUAGGAACUUUCUUGAUAUUUUUAGUUCAUUGUGAAAUCAAACACAAGAUUAAUGCCACCAUUUAUUGAGAGUGUAUUGUCAUUAAAUAAGUAUUAUUGACUAAUCCUCUCUUAAAGAAAAAAAAAUGAAGAUGCUUUGUUAAAGGAAAUUCUAAUUAAUGUAAAAUUGACUUCAUGUUUGUGAUCCUAAACAUAAUAAUGUCUUCUCCAUAAAAUUUAAAAAAUUAAAUUAUUUCAAUAAAUAAAGUAUAAAUUUCCACUAAACAAAAUUUUGUCAUUAUUAAAAAAGCAAUUAAAUUCAGAACCAGUAACAGGGGUUAACCGUUAACCCCUUGCUAUACAAGAGCUGGUGGUGUCCCCAAAAAACUGUAGCCAAAACCCAAACUCAAAGGAGUCCCAGGAAUCAUAAUUACAUAAAUGGUGGUACGCACAGCCUCCACUACCUUUAUCCUUGGAGGCCAAUCCCUGUCAGAACAAGAACCAGAGCAGAGAGCGAGUAAGCACCCACUAAGAGAAUAAACAAAAUUAAUUACAUGAAAGACCCCUGUAACAAAAGACAAAUUCAGUGUGAAAAAUCAACAAAACAUGGCCCCCAGAAGCAAUCGAAAAACUUCUCAAGAGCAGCUGAAAAAGAAAUUAAGUUUACACUUUUAAUUCUUUCAUUGUGCUUCUAUGCAAAUGGACGUUGGAAUCAUCGAUACACUUUUAAAUUAUUAAUUAUUUUUUAUCAUUUUUAAUUACUUUUUAAUAUUUAUUUUUUAUCUAUUUAGUUAGUUUAUAUGAAAAACACUUUAUUCUCUUUGUAAGUAGAAACUACUAUCAUUAUUUCGUAAAUAUCAUCAAGAGUAAACACUAAACUUGAUUAUCUUUAUUUAUGAUUUUUUUGUAAUUAAGCAUUACUUGGUGAAUUCUUUUCUAAUAAUGAGCAAUGGCCUACUUUUACAAGCCUUUUGUGAACUUGUUGCCUGCCUAAAUCAUUUAAGUUGGACAUGGAAAAAAAUUUAGUGUCAAUUUUGCUUGUAAAGUUUGCGGAUGUAUGCUCAAAUGCAAAAACCAAGAGCAAUAGAAGAAAAUGCUGCAGGUAUACACCAAGGAAAAACGGAAGUUGCAGGUAAGCUUCUAUUUUUAUCAAAGAAAACUGAAAUAGAAAUCAAAGAAAACUCAAAAUAUAUAAAAUAAUAUUCUUAAAUUAUUCAGAAAAUCUACUUUAUAGGUCAAGGUACAUGUAUACUUUUUGAAACAUCAUUUAGAGAUCAUGUUUUUUUCCCCGCAUUUGAUUCCUUGUUCUUUAUCAGAAAAUCAUGCCUCCUCCUAGACCCUGUAUCUGUCUCAUUAUUUCAUUGGGAGGGUAAAAGAAAAUGAAUCCACUUUCUCCCCAAAGAACAUGUGAUAAUGGGUCCACACUUUGAAAAAUUGUCUGUAAAUGAAGGAAGAAAUUGUUUUGGUUAGUCGUCGCCUAAUUGAUUAUCUCUGUUCCAAAGUUAACAAAGAAACGUCAAUGUGGAAUUAAGAAAUUGCUGGACUCUUGUCUUGAGAGAAUUAAGUCUAACGCGGAAAUCGAAUUAUCAAAAUAAAAGAGAGAUUCUUGAAACUUUCUUGAUAUUUUGGGUUCAUUGUGGAAUCAAAUACAAUAUUAAGGCCACCAUUUAUGGAAAGUGUAUUGCCAUUAAAGAAGUGUUAUUCAUUCAUUCUCUUUCAAAGAACAAAAAAAGAAUGGAGAUGCUCUGUUAAAGGAAAUUUUAAUUAAUGUAAAAUUGGUUUCAUAUUUGUGAUCUUAAACAUAAUAAUGUCUUCUCCAUAAGAUUUAAAAACUUAAAUUAUUUUAAUAAAUGAAGUAUAAAUUUCCACUAAACAAAAUUUUAUGAUUAUUCAAAAGACAAUUAAAUUCACAAUGGUUUUCUUUUGAAAAGCUGCAAUUUUAUUCCCUAUUCAGAACCAGUAGCAGUGGUUAACCCCUUGCUAUACAAGAGCUGCUGGUGUCCCCAAAAAACGGUAGCCAAAACCCAAACUCAAAGCAGUCCCAGGAAUCAUAAAUACAUCGACGGAGGUAAGCACAGCCUCCACUACCUUUAUCCUUGGAGGCCAAUCCCUGUAAGAACAACAACCAGAGCAGAGCGCGAGUAAGCACCCACUACGAGAAUAAACAAAAUUAAUUACAUGAAGGACCCCUGCAACAAAAGACAAAUUCAGUGUGAACAAUCAACAAAAGAUGGCCCCCAGAAGCAAUCAAAAAACUUGUCAAGAGCAGCUGCUAAAGAAAUUAAGUUCACACUUUCAAUUUUUUCUUUGUGCUCCUAUAUAUGCAAAUGGGCGGUGGGAUCAUCUAUUCACUUUUGAAUUAUUAAUGCUUUUUUUUGGUCGUUUUUCAGUUACUUUUAAGUAUUUAUUUUUAAUCUACUUGGUUGGUUUACAUGGAAAAUAAUUGACUCUCUUUGUAAGCAAAAACUACAAUUAUUAUUUCGUAAAUGUCUUUAAGAGUAAACAUUUGAUUAUAUCUAUUUAUGAUUCUUUUAUAAUUAGGCAUUACUUGGUGAAUUCUCCUCUAAUAAUGAGAAAUGACCUACUUUUAAAAGCUUUUUGUGAACUUGUUGCCUGCGUAAAUCAUUUAAGUUGGACAUGGAAAAAAAAUUUAGUGCCAAUUUCGCAUGUAAAGUUUGCAGAUGAAUUCUCAAAUGCAAAAACCAAGAGCCAUAGAAGAAAAUGAUGCACAAUAAUCAGAAAUCAAGGCUAAGCUUCUAUUUUGAUCAAAGUACUGAAAUAGAAAUCAAGUUUGCGCUACAAUAAUCAGAAGCCCACAAGCAGAGGGAAUUAAGAAACAACAGUUGAUUCUUCUUCGGGUAGCAAAAACACUUGAAUACAGGAGAGAAAAUUUCGAAUAAUUGAUGUGAUCUCUCUAUUAUUGUCCUUUAUAUUUUUGUCAUUUUUUCAAUUUCUGAGAUGAAUAGAAUAUUACAUCUCCAAUUUUCGCUUUCAAACACUGUACAAAUAAUGGAACAAAGUCAACAUCCACAUUUUGCUUAAGGAAAAAGAAAAAUCAAGGAAAGGAAGACAGAUAGGCCAAUUUGGAUUUGGAUAACUUAUAGUUAUGAUGAUUUUGGGGGUGCCACUAACAAAUCUUUUCUGGAUCCAAUUGAUGGGCCAGAAGAAACCAAAAAGAGAAAAGGAUGGAGUCAUGAAGAUGCUCUGUUAAGGUCCCUUGGUUGGCUUUCUAGGAAGUGUUAUGGCAAAAGCAUGGGACUUGCGAGGAUGUAAAUGAUAGAAAAUUUUCCAGCCAACCACAAUUGCUCAAGUUCAGCUUCAAAUCUUUUUAUUUUUAUUGUUUUCUUUUUUGUGCUCCUACCAUUUGAGAAGAAAAUCGAUCCAUUAUUAUGAAGACUUCCUUGUUUAAUCUUGUCAUCAGUUAACAAUUUAUUUAAUCUUUUUUAUUGAAGCAUAUUUAUAGUUUAUUGCCCCUGUUUAAAUUACAUAGACAUCAAUAACUUGAAUUUUAAAUAAAUUAAAUUAUUCUAGAUAUGAUUGUGUAAGAAAAAUCAUAAUUAAGAAAAGCUUGUAGGAACCUGAUGAAAUGCAUAAUUAACAAAAUUCAUCACCAAGUCCUUAAAAGCAUAACUAGCUUUUUGACCAUGCUUGUCAUUGGAAAAAUAGGAAAGCCCAAGCAAUGAUGAGUGAUGUUUCUUGGGCUGGAAAUGACUUUAUUUACGGAUAUGAAUAGACAAUAACACCUUCAACUUUUCUAUUCAAACACUGUAUAAUUAAUGAAAUACGCCUUUUAUUUAAAUAAAAAAAAGAAGAAUCGAAGAAAGGAAGGUAGAUAGACCAAUUUGGAUUUGGAUGACCUAUAAUUAUGAUGACUUUCGUAUUCAUAUUCACUUUUGUUAAUAAAAACAGUUUUUUUUUAAAACAAUUUAUACUGUAGAAAUUUGGUGUUAAUAAGCAUAGGAAAAAUAAACAAAAAUAAGUAACUAAUAGAAUCGAAAUUUAGAAAUUAUUAAUAUAUUUUCAUGGCACUGCACAAUAUAUAUAUUCAUGGUAUAAAAAUUAAUUAUAAUUUUAUUUUAUUUUGUUAUAAAUUUUAUGACUUAUAACUAUGAUGAUUUAAGAUAUGUCACUGUUAAAUUUUUUCUUAAUCUAUUAGAUAGGACAAUUUGUUUUAUCAUAUCCCUCCAUUCGCUUAUCUUUGUUCUUUAUUUAUUUAUUUAUUUUUUGUUAAAUAAACUUGAUUCUGAUCAUUAAUUUUUUUUUGAAAAUAUGGUGCAUUUAAUUAAUCAUCAAUCACAUAUUACAAUGUGAGUUAUUAACAAAAUUUAAUGAACAUUAAACCGCUAUAUCCCACUUUCAUUCCCUGUGCAUAGAAAGUAAGUCUUGUUGAAAACCUUCCCUUGGAAAAACCCAUUUGGAUAAAACCAAGGGUAAAGAAAAAUAGUACUUCUUUAACCAUACAAAUCCCUAGGAUCUUUCUGAACACCCUUCCCCGUUUGUAACGUACGAAGCUUCCUUGUCUUUUAGUAGGCACUCUUUGAUUUUGCAAAUCGUCAAUCCUGAAAUACCCUUACUCUCCUUAGCCAUUGAUAACAUUCCCGAUAAUGCUUCGGUGAUAAUCACAAACAAGAAAGUAUUACUUGAAAUUGCUACAAAAUCUUAAAAAAUAGUCUUGUAAUAUGGAUAAUUAUUGAAACAAAAUGUAUGAUAUUGUAAGAAAAGGAAAUUAAAUUGAAUUUGCUAAUUCUAAGUGCAUGUAGAAAUGAUCCAAUCCCUUCAUAUAAUUCUUAUUGUAAGCAUUACUUGGUAAAAUUUUCUUCUAUCAACGAGUAAUUACUUCAUUUUAAAUGCUUUUUGUGAACUUGUUGCCUGGCUAUACUACCAUGGCCAAAUGUUUUAUACGUUGGAGUAACAAUCAAACUCUCAAUAUUUCAAUAAAUCACUUUAAAAUAAAAAAUUAAAGUUUAAUUUCCCUGUCUUGAUUGCUGCAUAACAUAUUUGUACAACUUAUUGACUAAAGACAUAAAAUACAAAAAUAAGGACAAGAAACAGAAGAAUUUUAGGCUUGUUCUUUUGACUUAUUGUAGAUAUAGAGAGCAACAUAACAUUGAUUAGGUAAAAGCAAGUGAUCCCUUCACUUGACAACUCUACGAAGCCAACAUCUCGACCAACGAAAAGUACAAUAAUUUCAACUAACUGUUUUUCUGGUUUUUUUUAUGUAAAUAAUAAAAGUUAGUACAAGUAAACCAUCCAAAACUUGAUUAGGACCAGGCACACAAGUGAAAGAAAAGAAAAUGGAAAGCAGCUUUGCUUUUCCUGUGUUUAGUUGACAGCCUCAACCACUAUAUUUAUGUUUAAACAUGCCUUUGCAACUUCCCCUGCAAUCACCUCAUCAUUCUUCCAUGUAAGGUGGUAGCUGAUCAACCCGACGUGGCUGCCACCUGUUCCAAGCUAUGGUCUUGGUGUGGACUACAUUUUGAGCAGUGACAGACCCUUCAGUGUCAUCUUGCUCAACCAGUCGUGGUAUCUUUUUAAACCAUUGAAGCAGCAAAAUGUAAAACAAAGUAUUAAUGUCUCAUGUUAUAAAGGAAAAAGAAAAAAUAGACAUAUUAUAAUAUAUAAGUAUUUUAUGUCAAAAAUUUAUUAAAAGUAAUGGAAUCAUUCACUAAAAGUGAUAUUCUAGACAUAGACUAAUCUUUUUGUUGCAGCAUACUACUUAGUCAUUUAAGUAAUUUAAGUAAAGACUUUGAAAAAUUAUGUAGUAUAAUAUUAUUAAAGACUCUAAUUGCCUUUGCACAUAACAAAUAAAAGCUUGUACUUAAUUUACUAAUCAAUAAUAAAAGCUCUUAAUAAUUAAUAAUGAUUGUUUUGGGAGGAUAAGGAGAAUGAAGAAGGUAUUUUCAUUUUUUUUUAAUAAUAUUCCGGCAAGAGUACAUGAAGAUGGCUUCAAAGGAUUUUUGAUCAAUUUGGAAAGGUUGUCAAUACAUUUAUAGAGAGAAAUAGAUGCAAAUAUAGUAAGAGGUAUCGCUUGAUCAUAUUUGAAUAUUUUAAUAAAGCUAGAAGAGCACUCCAGAAUUUAAAUGGAGUCUGGCUUCUUAAUCAAAGGCUAGUGGUCAACAUAGCUAGCUAUGGAAGCCAUGAUUCAUUCUAAAGGAGGAACCAAAAAGGAAGCUUCUUAUGCACCUGGUGUUAACCACAUUAGGAAUGGAACCUGCAGUGGGAUUUUAAGACACAACUCGACCUUAUUUACUAAGCCAUCUUAUGCUCUGGAAUUGAAUGGCACUUUUGAAAGAGGUGGAGUUUCAAAUAAAGAUAGAGAAGAUGAUCUUCAAUGUCUCAAAAAGCAUGGAAAACAUGCUUUGGUUGAAGAGAAGUGUUGUGGUAACAACAUAAUGUAAUUCAGAUUCAGCAAAGUGGAUGGAAUUAUUUAAAAUGUGAGGCAUUUCGGGGCUGCUUAUGAGGAGUUUGUCUCCCAAAGAAUUUCUGCUAACCUUUGAGGAUAAGAAGCUAUUUGAAGAACUCAAAGAUAAAGGUUGGGAUUGGCUUAACAAAUGGUUUACUAAGGUGGAAACAUGGCUAGAGAAUUUUUCAUCAAAACUCCUUAGCAAGUGGGUGAUUGUCAAAUUGAUUGUACAGGGUAUCCUUUAGAUGUGUGAAAUAGGCAUAUUAUAAUUUAUAAGCAUUUUAGGCCAAAUUCAUUAAAAGUGAUAUUCUAAACUAAGUUUUGGUUGUAGAGACUUACUCAAUCAUUUAAGUAAUUUAAGUAAAGAUUUUGAAGAUUAUGCCUUAAAAUAGACAAGAUUAAAGUUUUCAAGGUGUAUACCUCUGUUUUGGCGUGCACAUAUUUCUUUGAAUCUAUGAAGAAACCUGUAGUCAUCUUGGGACAUCCUUCUACUCUUAAAGAUGACAAAGCCGGUAGUACAAAGUGAUAUCCCCUUGGACAGAAGUCAACGAGGCUUCGCACUUUUACAAGUGAUAAUACUUUUAAUUGAUCAAACUUUAUCUCCUUUUCAGCUAUUGCUUCUGCUUCAAAUACUUGCUCCAAUUUAGAGUUCCCUUUGACCCAUAAUUUUUCAAGUUUUUGAAGACAACAAGCAAAUCCAAGAGGAAAGAGACAUCUUAGCCUCUUGCAAUCUAUCACCUUUAGAACUGUAAGGUUUUCAAGAGUUGCAACUUGAGCCACAUCCUUCCAUAUCAUCUGCACUUCAGAUAAAUCCUCCAGAUGGAGUUCCUUUAUACGCCCAUGAAUCUGAAAUACCCCCUUCGUGACUCCCAACUGGUUUAUUUUCUUGAUUGUAAUUGGCUAAAAUAUGCAACUGAAAGCUAUUCCCAACUUAGAGAGAGAUAAUUCCUGCAAAUACAGACACCACUAAAUGUCACUAAAUACAUUCAUUUUCUACUAGAUUGGGAAGAGUUAAGCAAAUGUUACUCAUAAUUCUUCAUAUUUUUAGAUGCCAAUUCACAAAAAAUCCUUACAUUUCAAAGAUAGCACAUAUAUAUGUUUCAAAAUUUAAAUCCAAAAUUUUCAUGAAAUUGUUUGAAAGUGGAACCCAAAAACACCAAACCUUUUUAGGUUUUUCUUUGUUAAAUUUGAACAUAAAACCUUUUGUGAUUUUCCUUUUCUUUUGUUUUUUUCUUUGUCAUUUUUAUGCUGCAAUUUUAAAAUAUAGUUGGAUAAGUUUGUGAGUGUUGAAAAGAUUUGGCUCGAAGGCAAAAUCCAAAACCAUAAUUGAAGAAAAAGUAUAUAAAAGAAAUACCUUUAGUUGAACUUGCUCCUUAGCUUCUUUUUGAAUGGUAAAAUUUAUCAAUUUAGGACAGUUGUAAAUGUCCAACUUCUUCAAAGACGGUGAUGAGAUGAGAAAGUUUUCCGACCAAAAGCAACCCAAAUUUGUCAAGUUUACAAGUCCUAAAUGUUGUAGGGAAGGGAGUGCAAUGGCACAAUCAACUCCAAUCUUUUCUUUUGCCACACGGAAGACUUGCUGUAACUGAGGCGAAUCGGUUAUCCAAAAUGAUUUCAAUCGUGGAAGAACUUGAGCCAGAGCAAUUUGAAAAACAUAUUCCAAUCUUGGACAAUCAGUUAUUUCUAAAGUUUCCAACUUUGGCAAGAACGGAGAAAAGGCAUUUGGUUCCAUUUCAUCAUCACAGACCAACUCGGUGAUAAUGUGUUGCAGUCCAUCACAGUGAUCUAUCGUGAGUUCUUCUAGUAGCACCAAGCUUUGAGCAAGGGAUGGUGAGAAGAGAUGUUUCAAUCUAUUGCAGUAACUAAUUUCUACAAACUUCAAGCUUUGGAGGCUGACAAAACGGGUGGAUCCUUUCCAUAUCCAAUUCAAUUCAGGUAAUGAGUUUAGCUCCAUUAGUGUUAAAUUUGACAACAGCAAUCCUUGAUUUUCUUUUGUAUCAUGAAGAAGCUCAUCUAUUUGAAAUACUUCUUGCAACUGGCCACAAUUAAUAACUUUCACUUCCUUUUUGUCGCGCAGGAGAUAAAGAGACCAUUUCCAUGCAAUUCCUUGUUGUCAACUUCUCUAGUUUCUGUAGAAAGCCCUUUGGAAACUGACCUUUGCACAACAUUUUGAAACCAGUCAUUUCUUUUAUGACUAAUUCCACUAAAUUGAGCAAGGCAUUGGUUGAGACAUGGCCUUCUGUCGUAUCAAUCAAGCAUUCAAGCUCCUUGCCACCUUUAAGUGCAAGAAAAGUUAAUUCAUUAAGCCACUUUGGAUCUACAUUUGGAAUGAGAUUUUUUUGAUACAUGACACUAUCCAGGGUUAGACUUUUGGCAUUGUAUAAUACUUCCUUCAAUGCAUGCAAUUGAACAUCCUGAUAAAUCACAACAAAAUGAAAGAUAUUAGAAAAAUAGAAAGGUAGAUAAUACUCUUUAAAUCAGAAUUGAAUUUCUUUCUAUGCAUAAAAUUUAAAACAUACCAAAGCUCAUUAAAGUUGAAAAACAUACCAAAGCUCAUUAAAGUUGAAAAACAUACCAAAGCUGUACAUGCUGAAAUUUAUCAGACACAUGGAAAUAUGAUUUAGCAAUAAAGUACAUGUGGGAUGCACGCAAGGAAGGAAAAGAAAUAAAAUUUUGUUAUUGCCACGUGCUUGUUUGCUUUUUUUAUUAAAUUCAUUAAAUUUUUUAUUUUAUCAUGCCACGUACAUGUCUUCUAUUGCCACAUCAUGUUUUCACAUGUCCUAUAAAUGCUAGCGUGGCUUGGAGUUAAAACAUCCAUGGAUUCUAUCCAAAUAAGGGUGCUUGGAUAAUGAAAAUAACACUUUAAGAGCUUAAUUAGAUGCAAUUAUAUGCAAAAUAAUCAUGCAGCACUCUCAUUCUUAUAAUAUGAAUGGGUUCUUUUUUUAUUAUUAUUAAAUGACGAGUACUUUGAGUAAUUAUUGAAGGAAUUGAAGACAAAGUUGCUGAUGAUCAAUGAGAGUUUGAAUUUCUCCAGGAUACAAGUGUGACUUUCCCUAAUUUUUAUAAUGUAAAACCCCGUAAAAACCUUUCUUGAAGAAAAGUUUUCAUCUUUUUCCUAUUUUGUUGUUCAAAUCUUUUUCCCAUUCCAAGAAAGAAUCAGAAUCACCUAGCUAAUUAUUGUAUGAAUAUGCCGUUCUUUCUUUUUAAUUUAUGAGUAUUGGCCUUUUAUAUCGGUCAAAAUAAAGAGUCUAAAAUUUUUGAACAACAAUUUUAAAAUACAGUUGGAUUAGUUUAUGAGUGUUGAAAAGAUUUGGUUCGAAGGCAAAAUCCAAAAUUGUAAUUGAAGGAAAAGUAUGUAAAAGAAAUACCUUUAGUUGAACUCGCUUCUUAACUUCUUUUUGAAUGGUAAAAUUUAUCAAUUUAGGACAGUUUUAAACUUCCAACUCCUCCAAAGAUGAUGAUGAGAUGAGAAAGUUUUCCGAGCAAAACCAACCCAAAUUUGUCAAGUUUACAAGUCGUAAAUCUUGUAGGCAAGGGAGUUCAAUGGCACAAUAAACUCCAUUAUUUUCUUUUGCCACAAUGAAGACUUGUUGUAGCUGAGGAGAAUCAGUUAUCCAAAAUGAUUUUAACCGUGGAAGAACUUGAGCCAGAGGGAUUUGAAAAACAUAUUCCAGUCUUGGACAAUAACUUAUUCUUAGAGUUUCCAAUUUUGGCAAGAACGGAGAAAAGGCAUUUGGUUUUAUCUCAUCAGCACGGCCCAACUCAGUGAUAAUGUGUUGCAGUCCAUCACAGUGAUCUAUCAUGAGUUGUUGUAGCAGCACCAAGCUUUGAGCAAGGGAUGGUGAGAAGAGAUGUUUCAAUCUAUGGCAGUAACUAAUUUCUACAAACUUCAAACUUUGUGGCGUGGGAGAUAAAGAGACAAUUUCCAUGCAAUUCCUUGCUGUCAACUUCUCUAGUUUUUGUAGAAAUCCCUUUGGAAUCAGACCGUUGCACAACAUUUUCAAACCAGUCAUUUCUUCUAUGACUAAUUCCACCAAAUUGAUCAAGGCAUCGUUUGAGACGUGGCCUUCUGUUGCAUCAAUCAAGCAUUCCAGCUCCUUGCCAUUUUUAAGUGCAAGAAAAGUUAAUUCAUUAAGCCCCUUUGGAUCUACAUUUGGAAUGAGAUUUUUCUGAUACAUGACUCUUUCUAGGGUAACAUUUUUGGCAUUGUAUAAGAACUCCUUCACUCCAUGCAAUCCAACAUCCUAAUAAAUUCACAACAAAAAUGGAAAACACUAGAAAAAUUAGAAUGCUAAAUAACACGUCUUAAAUCAAAAUUGAAAUUAUUUUUUAUGCAUAAAAUUUAAAGAUUUGAGCCAAAAGAAAAGCAAACCAAUGCUUGAAGUACAAAUAUUGUACAGUAUACUUAUUGGUAGAUGUGAAUGUACUAAAAUGCGCUUAUAUAAACCCCAAAACAUAGUAAAUUAUUUUCCAGAUUCAUCAAUCAUUUCUUACAUAAGUAUUCUUUCCUUUUCAUUUUUUCUCGAUUUAAUUUAAUUUCUUUCCUUGAUGUACCAAAGUUAGUGCAAGGGUAGGUGAAAAGAGAUAUACCAGUUUAGAACACAAUCCAAUUCUCAUAGUCUUAAGACUCUGGAGAUUAAAAAAAUGGGUGGAUCCUCUCCAUAUGCAGCUUAAUUCUGGUAAUGACGUAAGCUCCAAACAAGUUAAAUUUGACAAUGGUUGUACCUGAUUUUCCUGACAUAAAGAAAAAUAUAUAAAUUUUUAAUUAAUAAAUAUUGAAAUAUGAAUUCGUUAUACUUAAAUAUAGAGAAGGCAUAUAUUUUUUAGACAAAUGUAGAAGGAAGGGUUGAAAGCCAAUAAUUUAGAAAGAUUAGAUAGUAAUUAUUUAUAAUUCAAUAAUUCAAAGAAAGGUAAUUAGAAAAAGAAUAUAUGAGAGCAUUAUUAAAGGAAAAAUGAAGAGAUAAGAGGUACCUCUAGCUCAACCAUUUCUUUGUCAAAAGCAAAGACUUGCUCUAAUUUUUUGCAUUCAGAUAUCUCAAGUUUCUCUAGAUGCAACAGACUUUGAGCAAGGCAAGGUGAGAAGAUAGAUUUCAAUUUAUGACAACGACAAAUUAUUACUUCCUUCAGACUUUGUAGGCUUACAUGAUGAGUUGGCUCUUUCCAUAGACUCUCCAACGUUGGUAAUGACCGUAGCUCCAAGUUUCUUAAAUUUGAGAUCGAUUGCAUUUGACUUUCUUUCCCAUUCAUUUGAAACACUGAUUGCAACUCCUUACAAUCCGAAAUACUCAAUGUUUCUAACUUUUGUAAGAAGCUAAUCGGGGAUUGACCACGACAUAACUUUUUCAAAGAAGUCAUUCCUUUCAUCUUUAAGUUCACCAGAGUAGAGAAUGCAGUGGUUGAACUUUGUUCUCGUUUUGUAUCGAUCAAGCUUUCCAUGGUGAUAUUGUGCAGAGUAAGGUUUUCCACGUUGCAAAACAGCUCCUUAAAUGCAUUUAAUGAGGAUGAGAAAUCUCUAAUUGUCAAGGUUCUCAAGUGCAUCCCCAUCAAAUCUUCAGUAUCUUCAUUUACAGCUAUAUCGUACCUUUGUAGUUUAGGGAACACAAAGUUUUCUUGAGAACAUUGAUCAGUAGAAACUCUCAAUCUUAAUGCACUCAAACGAGACAUGAAUUAAGCUCCAAUAAGUUCGCAUUGUUUUCUGUGUCCACGUGUAGCUCCUGGAGUGACGCUAACCUGUUGAACACAAAUACAAAAUAUUGUUAACACAAUAAUAGCGUUUUCAUUUGAAUGAUACAAAUAGCUAGGUAAUGAAAUGAAUAAUAUAACAUAAUUUUUUAAAAAUUUUUUCAUGCGUAGAGAAAAUAUAUGUGUGUACUUAAAUACUUAACUGAAAACAAUAAAUUAAACAAUUUUAAUCACAUCUUAAUACUACCUUGAUAGCAAGUUAGGGGGGAAAUAGCAGCAAUGUUCCUCUCCAUGGAAAUAUAGGGAUUUUAGUCUUCGCAAUUCCACUAAUUCCUCCGUUAGCUCUUCAAUAUUAGUAACAAACAAUGUCAAAAUCUCAAGGUUUUCCAUGUUUCCCAAUGAUGAGAUGUUUCUGAGCUUGCAAUCCACAAAGCACAGAGUUCGAAGAUUUGUCAAGAAUUGAAGUGCUUUUAGUGAGAGUACAACAUUUUUGAGAAGUAAAACUCGGAGGGUUUUCAUUCCUUCAAAAAACAUACUCGAAAUUUCCAAUGAAGUAUCUCCCACUAAAAAAAAAGUCUUAAGUUUUGAAAAUUCCAAAUUGUCAGGAAAGUUAUUUAUCUCAACGUCCCAUAAGGAGAUUGCCGUAUAAUAUCCAAAACUUUCACUUAUAGACCAUUCCGUCAACCCAUCUUUUACCAUGAAUUUAUUUUCCCCUCUCAAUGUUACCCAAUGAGCAAAAUCGCGAACCACAUCAUGCAUUUUUAUAGUUUCUUCAUCGUCAGUUUCCAAUAGCAAACCAGAUUGUUGGAGUUUAGUUAAUGCUUCAUAAAUUUCCCUCCGUAAGACUUCAAAUGAGUUAAUGUUACAGAACAAUCCUUGACCAAUUCCACACAUAACCAAAAUCUCAAUCGGUAUUUCAAAAUCUUCUGGAAAAAGGGAACACAACAAGAAACAUGACUUGACAUUAUCAUCCUCCAAAUAAUCAUAACUAAGCUCAAGACGGCUAUAGAUACCUCCAUAAACAUCUUGAUUAUCUAAAGGUCUUGAGUCUCUAAGUCGUUGAUUUGCUACCAUCCAUCCAUUUAGACUUUUACCUUUCAGAGCUUUUGCCACAGUUACAAUUGCAAGAGGCAAACCAUUGCAUUCACGAGCAACCUCCUUGGCUACAAUCAAGGUGGGGGAGUCAUCUUCUACACCAGCUUUAUCUUUGAAUAAAGCCCACGCUUCAUUUUCAGAUAAGAUAUUGAGGUGAACUUCCUUUUGACUAUUCAUACGAGUGCAAACUUGUUGAAGACGCGUGGUUAAAAAAAUUUUGCAGCCCUUGUGAUCAUCACCAAAUGGAAUUCCUAUAACCUUCAAGUCAAGUUCUUCCCAAACAUCAUCAAGGAUUAUAAGGAUGCUCUUCUCGUCUUUGAUUCUCAACCACAAUUGUUCUGCUCUUCCUUCUGGUGUCUUCUUUUGAAAAUCUAAAUCUAGAAAGUCUGCAAUUUUAUCUUGAAUAUUGUUGAUGUUUGGAUUUUGGGACACGGUUACAACCACAACUUUAUCGAAGAGUUGUUUGGCUUGGUUUCCCACUUCUUUUGCCAAAGUGGUUUUACCCACUCCUCCCAUCCCAUAUAGUCCAAUCAUGUUCACAUCACCAUUAUUCAGAGCCUCCAUGAUCCCUUUGAAAGCAGAAUUCGAAGAUUCAGAAGACAUGAAAUCCUUAGAUGGAAUGAACUCUAAUCCUGGAAGAGUAGAUCGGUAACCUACUCGUUCAAAAUUAGAAUUCUCUAAAAGUUGAGAGAUACAAAGUGUCUUCUUCGCUACUUUGAUACUUAAGCAGUAUCGCCAGCCCCAACUAAGACGCCAAUUGAAACACUUGUUACGUUCAAUUUCAUCUUCCAAACUCUGAGCUUCUCCCAAUUCUUUGUCUGCCCUUGUUAGACACAAAUUACCUCCACCACAGAAUGUCAUAAAAUGGGAAAUCCUCCCACCCAUAAACGAAUGAAGCAUCAGCCUAAGCAUCUCUCGCAACAUGACAGCAUUUCCAAAGAUUUUCCCCACCAGUUUUUGUUGAUAAUCAGCAGCAUCCAAUAAGCCCUCGAAGUAUCAACCCCGUGGGCAGCUCAAAACCAGGCCCCAAGUGUCUCCUGCUUGAAAUUCCUGUUUUAGCCCAACGGUCAGCGCACUCGUUGGCUUCCCAUGUGUAUGUUUGACACUUGCACCGAGCCUACCAGCCCAAUCAGCUCAUCAAGCUUUUUCUUGGAAAGUGGAUUUUUAUUAACCACGCAACCGAUAUGCCAUUGUUAGUCUAAAGCUGAAGCUACCAGAGACUCAUUAGAAUGAAUACUAGCCUGCCCAAAAAAAAAAAAAAGGAAAGAAAAGCUGUACAAUAAAAGAGCACAACUGCUCACAUAGAUUAGCAGUAGUCCCACAACAUUCAGCAACCAACAACAAGAGAAGCUCAAAGCUGCCUAUACACAAAAACUGGCGGCUGGAAACAGGAAAGCUAUCAAACUAAGACUAUCCUCGUAAGAGUAUCUAGAACGAAGCAACAAAAGCAAAAGCCGAAGGCAUCAAACCAAGUGUGCUCCAAAAUAAAGGCAAGGGACUCAAGAUCCCUUGAAAUCCUUUGGUCAUCCUAGCCCUUGGAAAUCCCUCCGCUAUCUCCAUGGCCGCACCUGCACAUUCACAGACCAAGAAGCAGUGUUUGGUUAGCACAGGAACAGUUUAUCCGAAAGAUAAAUCUUAACCUGUGAAAAGCGCAGUAAUUUUAAGCACAUGUUCCUUUUUAUGUAAAUAACAAAGGUUAGCAGUGAACCACCCAAACUUGAUUAGGACUAUGCAAAGACAAGAAAGAAAUGAAAACGGAAUGCAGCCUUUUUUUUUUUACCUGCGUUUAGUUGAUAGCCUCAACCUACUCAUUUAUGUUUAAACGUGUCUCUGCGAGUUCCUCUGAAAUUAUCUCAUAAUUCUUCCAUGUAAGGUGGUAGCACACAUUUCAUCCACGGCUGCCAAUCUAUGGUCUUGGUGUGAAUUGCAUUUUGAGCAGUGGCAGAUCCUCCAGGGGCGUCUUGCUUAACCAAUCGUGGUGUCUUUUAAACAAUUGAAGCAGUGAAAUGUAAAACAAAAUAGACAUGUCAUGUUAUGAGGACAAAAGAAGAAAUAAGCAUAUUAUAAAUUAUAAUCAAUUUAGGCCAAAUUCAUUAAAGGUGAUGGAAACAUUCAGUAAUGGUGAUCUUCUAGACCAACAUUUUUGUAGCAAUGUAUUAGUCAAUCAUUUUAGUAAUUUAAGUAAAAAUUUUGAAGAUUAUGCCUAAUAAUUAAUAUUAUUAAAAGACUCCAUAGAGCUAUAUAGGAUUAAAGUUUUUUGGACGUAUACCUCUUCUUUGGCAUGCACAAAACUCUCAGAAUCAAUGAAGAAACCUGUAGUCAUCUUGGGACAAUUUUUUACGAUCAAAUAACUCAAAGUCGAUAAUACAAAAUGAUAUCCUCUUGGGCAGAAGUCAAUGAGGCAUGGCAAUUCUUCAAGUGAUAAUAUUUUUAAUUGAUCAAACUCUAUCUCCUUUUCAGUUGUCCCUUCUACUUCAUCAUCUACCUCAAAUACUUGCUCCAGUUUAGAGUUCCCUUCAACUACUAAAUAUUCAAGUUUUGGAAUACAACGAGCAAAUCCAAGAGGAAAGAGACUUCUCAACUUUUUGCAAUAUUUAACAGAAAUUGUGAUCAAAUUAGGAAAGCAUAUCGAUUGGGAAUCACCAUUUGAUGAUGAACAAACUUGAUCCUUUGCAAUGAUUUGGUCUAAUUCCUCACAUUUUCGAAUAUCUAGAUGGACCAAUUGUGAUAAACUUCGAGCAAUUGUUGUGGGUGAAAAUAUAUAGCUUAGCCUCCUGCAAUCGGUCACCUCCAGAAUUGUAAGGUUUUCAAAGAUUACAUUCUGAGUAGCAUCCUUCCAUAUAUUCCGCAUUUCAGAUAAAUGCUUCAGGCGCAGUACAUUUAAACUAGAGAAUGAAUACCGACCAUGAACCUGAAAUACCUCUUCAUGAUUCCCAACAACUAAAUAGUCUUGAUUCAAUAGGGGGACAACAGUGUUACACAAUUGGCUGCUAUUUCCCAAGUUAGAAAGAUAUAAUUCCUGCAAAUACAGACAUCACUAAAUAUCAUUAAAUACAUUCCUUUUCUAUAAGAUGGGAAUUACCUGAUCAAAUUUUACUCUUAGGUCUUCAUACUUAUAGAUGUCAAUUCACAGAAAAUCCUACAAUUCUAACAGUAUCACAUAUGUUUCAAAAUUUAAACCCAAAACUUUUUGAAACUGGAAAACAAAGACACCUAACCCCAUUCAGGGUUUUUUUUUUUGGUGGUAAGUUUGAAGCUAAAAUUGUUUCUCAUUUUCCAUUUCUUUGUUUUUCCACGCAUCCUUGACCCGUUCCCCAAACUCUCUCCUCGGCUAAUUUAAGAACUUUCUUAAAUACAAUAAAAGAAAAGGGGUUUAUUUAAUUUUAUUUUGAAAUAAUAUAUAAGCUUUUUUUUACCCUUUCAAGAUACAUAACUAUCACUCUCAUGCUUAUAAGAUCGAUUCUAAAUCGAACUAAUUUUUUUUUUCAAAUGACAAGUACUAAUAAGAAAUAAUUGAAUGAGUUGAACAUUGAGUUGCUGAAGAUGAGAGUUUGAAUUUCUCUAAGGAUACAAGUGUGACUUGCUCUAAUUUUUACAAUAUAAAACUCUAUAAGAUUUCUUGAAGAAGAGUUUUCAUUUUUUUACUAGUUUUAUUGAAAUCUUUUUCUUAUUUCAAGAAAGAAUCAGAAUCAACUUGCUAAAUUUCAAAAAGAAAAAAAAAACCUUGCUAAUUAUUGUAUGAAUGUGCCAUUCUUUUUUUAUUUGUUAAUUCAUGAGUAUUGGCUUUUAUAUCCACCAAAAAUAAGUAGAAUAAAAUUUUUGAACAGCAUUAAGAUACAAUUGGGUUAGUAUAUGAGUGUUGAAAUGAUUUAGUUCAAAGGCAAAAUCUGGAACAAAAAUUGAGAGAAGAGUAUAAAAGAAGUACCUUUAGUUGAACCUGCUCGUUAGCAUAUUUUUGAAUGGUGAAAUUUGUAAAUCUAGGACAGUUGCAAACUUCUAACUUCUCCAAAAAUGGCAAUGCCACGAGAAAGUUUUUCGAGUGAAACCAACUCAAAUUUGUCAAGUUUACAAGUCGUAAAUCUUGUAGGCAAGGAAGUGCAAUGGCAUGAUCAACUCCAUUCGUUUCUUUUACCACAUUGAAGACUUGUUGUAACUGAGGUGAAUCAAAAAUCCAAAAUGAUUUCAAUCGUGGAAGAACAUUGGCCAAAUGACUUUCAAAAACAUAUUCCAGUCUUGGACAAUGAUAUAUUGUUAGAGUUUCCAAUUUUGGCAAGAGUGGAGAACGGAGAGGGACGUCUGAUUCUAUUUCAUCAUCAGGUUCCAACUUUGUGAUAAGUUGUUGUAGUCCAUCGCAAUGAUCUACUUUGAGUUGUUCUAGCAUCUCCAAGCUCUGAGCAAGGGAUGGUGAGAAGAGAUAUCUCAAUCUAUUGCAAUAACUAAUUUCUACAAACUUCAAGCUUUGGAGGUUGACAAAAUGGGUGGACUGUUUCCAUAUCCACUUCAGUUCUGGUAAUGAGACUAGCUUCAUAAGUGUUAAAUUUGACAACGAUGGUCCUUGAUUUUCUUUCGAAUCAUGAAGAAGCUUAUCUAUUUGAAAUACUUCUUGCAACUGGCCACAAUUAAUAACUUUCACUUCCUUUAGAUUCUGUAGCGCAGGAGAUAAAGAAAACAGGCUAGAGCUUUGAUAACUAGCUAUCUCAAGAGGGUAGUGAUCUAUGUUUGAAAGUAUUUCAUCGCCAUUUUCCACUUCUGCUAUUACAUGUAUUAGAGAGCCACAGUCGUGUAUAUGGAGUUCUUCUAGAUGCACCAAAGUUGGAAUAAGGGUAGGUGAAAAGAGAUAUGCCAGUUUAAAACACUCUGAAAUUUUCAUUGUUUUAAGAUUCUGGAGAUUAACAAGAUGGGUGGGUCCUCUCCAUAUGUAGCUCAAUUCUGGUAGUAACUCUAGUUCCAAACAUGUUAAAUUUGAGAGCGGUGCUGCCUGAUUUUCCUCACAUAAAGAAAAAAAUAAAUUUUAGUAGUUAGUAAAUACUAAAAUAUGAAUUCAUUAUACCAGAUAAAAAAUUUAAUUAAUUAUUGAAUAGGCAUACAUUUAAAAAAAAUUAUGAAAGGAAGUGUUAAAAGUCAAUAAUUUAGAAACAUUAGAGAGUAAUUUUUUAUAAAUUUGAUAAUUUAACAAAAAAAAGAUAAUUAUAUAAAGAACAGAUGAGUGCAUUAUUAAAAGAAAAAAGGAGAGUGAAGAGGUACCUCUAGCUCAAGCAUUUCUCUGACAAAAGUAAAAACUUGCUCCAAAUUUUCGCAUACAGAUAUGACGAGUUGUUCUAGAUGCAGUAGACUUUGAGCAAGGUAAGGUGAGAAGAUGUAUUUUAGUUCACGGCAAUCCAAAACUACUAGUUUCCUCAGACUUUGUAGGCUUGCAUGAUGAGUUGGCUCUUUCCAUAUAAUCUGCAAUGAUGGUAAUGAGAUUAGAUUCAAGCUUGUUAAAUUUGAGAGUGGCUGUGUCCGUCUUGCUUCCUCUUCAAGAAACCCAUUCAUCUGAAACACUGAUUGCAACCGCACACAAUUCCAAAUAAUCAAUGUUUCUAACUUUUGUAAGAACUUAAUCGGUGAUUGACCAUGGCACAACUCUUUCAAACAAGUCAUUCGACUCAUGUCUAAUUUCACCAAAUUAGAGAAUGCUGUGGUUGGUCUUUGUUCUCGUGUUGUAUCGAUCAAGCAUUCGACAUCCUUGCAAUAUCUAAGCUCAAGAGAAGUUAAAUCAUUUAGUCCCCACUGAUCUACCGUUGGGAUAAUAUUUUUGUGUUCCAUGAUAUUGUACAGAGUAAGCUUUUCCACAUUGCAAAAUAGCUCCUUAAAUGCGUGUAAUGAGGAAGAGAAAUCACUAAUUCUCAAGGUUCUCAAGCUUAGGCCAUUCAGAUAUUCAAGAUCUUUAUCUGAAAACGCUAUAUUAUACCUUUGUAGUUUAGGGAACACAAAGUUUUCUUGAAAAUGAUCUUUAUUUACUCUCAGUGUUAAUGCAGUCAAACGAGAAAAUGAAUUCAGCUCCCAUAAGUUGACAUUGUUUUUACUUGUCACGUGAAGCUCUUGGAGUAACGUUAACCUGUUACGCACAAAUACAGAGUAAUAUUAGCUCAAUAAUAGCACUUUCAAGGGAAUGACAAAAAUAGCUAAGUAAUGAAAUGAGUAAGAUAACAUAAACCUUCUUUUAUUUUAUUUUUUUACUUUUUCAUGCAUAUUGAAAAUGUGUACAAUCCAAUGGUAUUUUUCUCUCAAGAAAGCAAUAUUCUUAAGCUACCUUCGUACUACAGGUUGCAAUGUUUAUUGAAAAUGUGUGUGUGUUUGUGAUAGUCAAAAUAAAAAUAACAUAAGUAAUUGGAAAAAAAAUUAAUAACAUAAAAUUAAAUAUUUAAUUAAAAACAAUAAGAUAAACAAUUUUAAGCAUAUUUUAGUACUACCUUGAUAGCAAGUUAGGGGGGACAUUGCUGUCUCCAUAGCAAGAAAAAUAUAGUGAUUUUAGUCUAUGCAAUUCCACUAAUUCUCCUGGUAGCUCAUGAAUAUUAGUAUUAAGCAACACAAAAACCUCAAGGUUUUUCAUAUUUCUCAAUGAUGAAAUGUUUUGGAGCUCGCAAUCUACAAAGCAUAGAGUUCGAAGAUUUGUUAGGAAUUGAAGUGCUUCCAAUGAGAAUACAACAUUUCCGAGAAAUAAAACUCGAAGGCUUUUCAUUCCUUCAAAGAACAUACUUGAAACUCUAAGUGAACUCUUUCCUGUCAAAAACAAAAUCUUGAGUUCUGAAAAUUCCAUUUUUUCAGGAAGAUUGUUUAUCUUACUGUUCCAUAAGGAGAUUCCCAUAUAACAUCCAAAACUUUCACUCAUAGGCCAUUCCGUCAAUCCAUCUUUCACAAUGAAUAUAUUUUCGCCUCUUAAUGUUAUCCAGUGAGCAAAAUCGCGAACCACAUCAUGCAUUUUUACAAAUCCUUCAUCAUCAAUUUCCAAUAACAAACCAGACAUUUUGAGUUUUGAGAGUGCUAGACGAAUUUCCCUCCUUAAGUCUUCAAUUAAGUUAAUAUGACAAAACAAUCCCCAACCAAUUCCACAUAUAGUCAACAACUCGAUAUUAAUCUCAUAAUCUUCAGGGAAAAGAGAACACAACAAGAAACAUGAUUGGAUAUUGUCUUCCUUCAAAUAAUCAUAACUAAGCUUAAGGCAGUUAUAAAUACCUCCGCAAAUAUCUUGAUUAUCCAAAUGUCUUGAGCUUUUGAGUCGUUCAUUUGCUGCUAUCCACCCAUCUAGACUUUCACCUUUUAGAGCUUUUGCCAUAGUUACAAUUGCAAGAGGCAAACCCUUGCAUUCACGAGCAACCUGCUUGGCUACAUCAUUCAAGGUGGGAGAGACAUCUUUUAGAUCAGCGUUAUCUUUGAAUAAAGCCCACGCUUCACCAUCAGAUAAGAUUUUCAGUUCAAAUUUCUCUUGACAAUUCAUUUGAAUACAGACUUGUUGAAGACGUGUAGUUAGAAGAAUUUUGCAACCCUUGUGUUCACCACCAAAUGGAAUUCCUAUAGUUUGUAAUUUAAAUUCUUUCCAAACGUCAUCAACAAUUAUGAGCAUCUUCUUCUGGUCUUUUAACCUCCUCCAUAACUCUUCUGCUUUUCCUUCUUCUGUAUUUGUCUCAUAUUUUAAACCAAGAAUUUCUGCAAUUUUAUCUUGAAUUUUGUUGAUGUUUGGAGUUUGGGACACUGUAACAAUCACAACCUUAUCAAAGAGCUUUUGUUCCCUAGCUUGCUUCCCCACUACUUCCGCCAAAGUUGUUUUACCCACACCUGGCAUUCCAUACAAUCCAAUCAUGUUCACGCCAUAGCUAUUUAAAACCUUCAUGAUCCCAUUGAAAGUUGAUUUAGAAGAUUCGGAAUGCAUGAAAUCCUUGGGUAGUAGGAAUUCUAUUCCUUGAAGAGGAGCACGCUGGCCGACUCGUGGAAAGUUACAAGUCUCUAAAAGUUUAGAGAUAUAAAGUGUCUUCCUCGCUGCCUUCUUACUUAAGCAGUAUCGCCAGCCCCAACUAGGACACCAUUUGAAACACUUAUUACGUUCUAUUUCAUCUUCCAAACUCUGAGCUUCUCCCAAUUCUCUCUCUGCCCUUGUUAGCCACUCCUCAACGUCCUUCUCAAUUACUUCAGUUUGCCUUAUAGCCUCAUUGACAUCAUUUUUCACCCGAUCUUUUUUCAGUGCAAGUUCGUCUCGCUGAUUCUUGAACUCCUCAACAAUUCUGCCGAAAUGGAAAAAGUAGCUAACAUAACGUGAUGUGUAUUCUGUUGUCAGGUUUCCCACGGUAUUGGCAGCAGCAUUGGCAAAAAAUCCAGCAUCCAUUCUUUGAUGAUACGAGGCUGAAAAACAACUUCGAUGAGUAAAAAGGUUUUAUAGAGAGACAAAUUACAGCAGUAUUGGAUGUUUCGCAAAGCAUAGUAUAUUUAUUCAUCCCUUUAUGAAAAUUUUUUUGCUCAGCGAUACCUUUAUGAAAAUGUAAAGCAAAGGAGAACAAAUUGUUGAUUAAUCUACUUGAAAAUUGACACUGCUGCAGAUGGCAGAAAUUCUUCAGUCUUAAUGUGUAUAUUAAGAAUAUAUCUUACAUGUUAGAGAAAAAGUAUGUUAUAUUUAUUAAUUUUCCUUUCAAUCAGUUUUCUAGAAAAUAAAAAAUAACUACUAAUUAUUAAGAUAUUGCUUUCCCUAAAUCAAAGAGAUGAGCUAACAAAAAAGAAAUUAAUACCGGAAAAGGUACGGAAAUCCUUUCUUGAAACUUACCUCUCUAUUCUCGCCACUUGAAUGUGAAAGGAUAAGAGACAAAUACAAGUUUUUUAGCUUUCUGCUUCACACAAAUGCCAUGUGGAGUGUCACUGUAGAAGAUCAAAACAGUUAAUUUUGACAUAGAAAAUAAUUUAGAGCUAAUUUUGCAUGUGAAGUUUGCAGUUGCACACUCAAAUGAAAAAAACAAGACAAAUAAGCCAUGGAAGAAACAGAUGUACAUAUAUACCAAGGAAAGAUGAACUUUCAGGAGCCAAGGCAAAGCUUCUAUAUUGAUCCAGGCCAAAGAUAUUAGACAAUGAGAAAGUUUGUGAGGAGAGUUUUUUUUUUCUUUUUUUUUUUUUUGAGUUAAAAGAAAAUAUGCAUCAACUAUUAAGUCAAAUGUUCGUUUGCUACCUCUUGUAUAUGUUGUAAUCUAUGAUAAUUGUCUGUGUCUAAUUCUAUGAUAGUAAUAUACAUGUUUUUUCUUAAUCAGUAUUUUUUUGGUGAUAAGCUUUUUGUGGUUGCUAUAUAUUCCACCCAAAGCAAGUAUGCCAACCCAAAGUCUUAAACUAUGUAAGUCAAAGACUUUAUAGCACGUUUGGGACAAGGAAUAGCUCUAUUCCCAAGGGAAUAGCUUACCUCCAUUUGGUAUAGCAAUAUCACAAAGAAUAGCUAUUACCUAGUAAUAGCUAUUCUCUCAAAAGGGGUAAAACUCAUGCAUAGCUAAACCCGAGCUCCCCCAUGGUUUUUGCUAUUCCGUGACUGAGGGAAUAACUCUGAAUUAUGAUAAGACUAAAACACCCCUUAUCACUUAAAAAUAUUACAACCUUAGACCUAUAUAUAUAUUUUUUCUUCUCAUUUUCCCUUCUUCUUUCUCUCUCUUCUCAUGUUCUUUCCUCUCUCAUUCUCUCUCUAAGUGGCACCAACGUUGGAGAUGAUGUUGCGACGGCGACAACGGUGGCGGAAACGACGGCGACGGCGACGACGAUGGAAGCUGCUGCGACGGAGGUUUUAUGACCGAAUAUGGUCGGACAAGAUUCAAACGGAGAUUCAACCAGAUCUGGCACUCAACAGCUAGAUCUGGUGCUUCCCGACCAGAUCCCACGAUUGGAUCUGGCACUCCACGACCAGAUCCAGCCGCGGGGAAGCGCCGAUCUGGCACUAUAAUGGCUAGAUCCGGCCACAUGGUGCUCCAGAUUGGUGUUUUGUUACACCGAUCGCCUUUCCAGCGACCAGCUCAUGAAAAAAAAAAAAGAAGAAGAGAAAAAAUAGAAUAAAAAGAAUAAAUUAUUUAUAAAAUUUAAAAUAUUAAUAUUUUAUAUAAAAUUUAAAUAUUAUUAAUAGUAAUAUGAUUAAAAUAUUAAAUAUUAAUAUUUUAAACUAUUAAUGUUUUAUUUAUUAAAUUAUUAAUUUAUUAACUUUUUAAUGAAUAUAAAAAAUAAAAAUUAUUAAUAUUUUAAUCAUAAUAAUAUUAAAUUAUAAAUAAAAUAUUAUUAAUUAAAAUAUUAGUAAUUAAAUUAUAUUAAAAUAUUGAUAUUUAAAUUAUAAAUUAUUAAUNAUUAAUUAAUUAUUAUUUAUUAAAUUUUUAAUGAAUAUAAAAAUAAAAUUAUUAAUAUUUAAUCAUAAUAUAUUAAAUUAUAAAUAAAAUAUUAUUAAUUAAAAUAUUAGUAAUUAAAUUAUAUUAAAAUAUUGAUAUUUAAAUUAUAAUAAUUAAUAUUUUAAUUUAAUUAUAAAUUAUUAAUAUUUAAAAAAUAAAAAUAAAAAAUAAUAUAUAUAUAAAAUAUAUUUUUGUCUUUUUAUUUUCUAUUACUUUCUUAUUCCAAAAUUAUUGUUACCAACCAAACACUAUAAUAAGUCAUAAUAAUUAUUUUUACUCUAUUUUAUUCAUCAUACCAAACUACGUAAUACUUAUUCUAUUAUAUUCCCACCUCAUUCUAUUCCCACGUAAUAACUAUUCUAUUCUAUUUCUGUCUAUUCCGCGAAUCAAACGUGCCCUUAGUAGCAUAAGAACUCAAGCAUUGGCAGUAAGAGUGUAGCGAAUUUAGCUUCAAAUAUUUUUUUUUAUUUUCUCAUUAAUUAAGAAGAUAAAGAUUGCAAAUAUUUUCACAACUUUUGCCAGUAGGACACGGCAUCAUUGAUAUGUACAAAUAUGAAUAAGUGAUGCACUUUUGAAUAAUUGCUGUGGUCCCUCUAUUAUUGUCCUUCAUUUUUUUGUCAUUUUGCAAUCAUUUUUCUAUUAAGGUAUAUUUAUUUCUGACCUACAUGCUUGGUCGGUUUCAUGACGUUCAUCUUUGCCUUAUGGAACUAGCCUCACCUUUUCUAUCCUUUCUUCUUUGAAAUUUUAACCUUUUUUAUGUUCUGGACAUAUAUUAACACCAGCUUCCUGAAACCUACCUAAUUUGGAGUCUACUUUCCCUCGGAGUUAAAGAAACUCUAGAACAAAAAGAUUAGUGUUUACUGGAGUAUUGCUCCAUUUUCUUCUUAUUUUCAAGACUCUGUUACAAAGAAAUGAACGAGGAUGAAUAGAACAGAACACUUUCAAUUUUCAUAUUCAAACUCUGUACAAUUAAUGGAACAAAGUUAAAAUAUGCGUUUUGUUUAAGACAGAGAAGAAUAAAAGCCGAAAUCAAAUAAAGUCUUUGAGGUAGUGUAGCUCGCAGAUGUGGAGACGAUACAAGAAGAUGAUUCAAUAGAAACCGUAUGACGACAAAGUAAUAAGAGUAGGUAUGGGAAAUUUGGAACACUAAUACUCAAAUUACAAACAAUGGAAAACUAGGUGAUUAUUAAUAAGACUAGGUAUAGGAAAAUUGGAAAAAUAUUGGCAACGAGGGUCAAAGUCGUCCCAUCCUCCCAUGUGAGUUUCCCCACCAAUUAAUAAACAAAAUUAUGAUUUCUCUUUUCUUUGAUAAUGCAGCUACAAUAAUAAGAGUAGGUAUGGGAUAAUAUUUGAAUUAGGAACAAUGGAAAUGUAUUGGCAACUUGGCUGAAAGUCAUCCCAUAUACUCCCAUGUGAGUUUCCCUCUUAUCAAUAAACAAAUAUGAUUCUCUUUUCUUUGAUAAUCCUAACGAAACCUUAUGUAUAAACAAUUUAUAUUUAAUCUGAAAAUUUCAUAAUCGAAUUUAAAAAUACAAAGCGUACCUAAUUUCUUAUUCAUGGUUUGACAGCAAAAAUGGUAUUGAUCAGAUUAACUGCUAGUACUUUUUUUAAAAGAAGAUUAAUUGCUGGUACUUAGUGCACUAAGACGUUCCUUUCAUUUUUUUUUUAUGAUUAUCUUCUCUGCAUCUUCACAUUUUUGCAGCUUGUGAUUAUAAUCCAUUGGUGUAGCAACAGGUUUAGCUCUCAAUAAUCUGUGUUCCUCCAGCAAUUUUAAUGUAUAUUUUCUCUUACAUACAGAGAUUCCUCCAGAGGAUCUGGCUAUCUCCAACCCCAAGAAGUACUUUACUGUACCAAGGUCUUUUAAUUUGAACUAUGUGCUCAAAAAUUCCUUGACAUUGUUUGCUGCUUCGAUUGAUGUGCUUUCAAUCAAAAUAUCAUCCACAUACAACAACAAAGCAAUAAAUUCUCCCUUUUUUGUCUGCAUAGUGAAUAACGAAUAAUCUACAAUUGACUGCUUGGAUCCAUAUUACUGAAUAGAGGCAGUAAACUUGGCAUUCCACUGUCUGAAAGCCUGUUUAAGUCCAUAAAGUGAUUUGUUUAACUUGCAUACUAGUUUGUCUCUGUAGGAUACUCCCCCUUAGUGGUAUACCCUUCUAGUAACUCCAUAUAUAUAGUUUCUUGUAGAUCCCUAUGUAGAAAAGCAUUGUUCACAUCUAUUUGUGAAAGUGUCCAAUUAAAUGCUGCUGCCAAUGCAAAGAACAGUACUCUGACUGUGGUUUGCUUUGCCACUGGACUAAAUGUCUUCUGGUAAUCAAAACCAAGUACUUGAUUAUAGCCUUUUGGCCACUAACCUCGCCUUGUAACUUUCAACCUGUCCAUUAGCAUUAAGUUUCACUUUGUAAACCCAUCUGCAGCCUAUUACAUGUGCAUUAGAAAGUUUAGGUACUAAACUCCAUGUAACAUUAUCUUCCAUAGCUUUCAGUUCAAGAGUAAUUGCCUUUUUCCAAUGUGAAUGAUUAAUGGCCUCAUAGUAAGACUUUGGUUCUUGUAUUUGUGAAACUGAAAUGGUAAAAUUUUUAUGAGCAAGUGAUAGGUAUUGAGAUGACAAUGCAUUGAAAUAGGAUGGGUAGUAACCGUAUAUGUCAUAAAGGGCAAGUCUGUAUGAUAUGCAUCAAGGUAUUUGGGGACUUGUUUGAUUCUGGUACUCUUUCUAACAAGUAAGUUGGUCAAUGCUUCUGCCAAUUCAAUGUUGUUUUGGUGAUAGUUACUACUUUAACAGUCUGCACACUGUCGGCUACAGUAGUCAUGCUGAGAGUGUUGGGUGAAUUUAAUGACAAAUCAUUAGAAUUUUGAGUUUGUAAAGGUGAAAUAAGUUCAGGAAAACUUGACUCGGCUGAUGUGUUGUCAAGAAAGAAAAACUAGGUUGAUAAGAGUCAGAAAUGUCUAUGUGACUGGCAUGCACAUCAGGUGUUUGACAGAAUGUAGAUGACUGUGCAUUUUGCUUAGAACAUUGAAAUGGGAAUACUUUCUCAAAAAAAAAAGACUUUUCUAGAUAUAAGAACCUUGCAUCAAGAUCAUAUACCUUAUAACCUUUAACAUUGCUUUAAUAACCUAAUAAUACACAUUUACUUGCCCUCUUAUCUAAUUUCUUUCUGUUAUGUGGGAGUGUAGACACAAAACACAAUGAUCCAAACACUUUGAAAUGCUUAUAGGUAGGUGGUUUGUUGUACAGCAUCUCAUAUGCGGACUUGUUUUUGAGAAUUUUGGUUGGAAUCUUGUUAAUUAUAUGAACUACCGUUAGCACGGCAUCACCUUAAAAAUGAAUUGGAAGACUGGAUUGAUGCAUGAGAGCUCUUGCCACCUCCAAAAUAUGUUGGUGCUUCAUUUCAACAACACCAUUCUGUUGUGGUGUCUCUACUCGGGACAUUUGAUGAGCAACUAUUGUUUUUGGAUAGAAAUCACUAAGUUUAAAUUCCUAACCAUUGUCAAACCUUAAAAACUUGAUUGAUGAAUUAAAAUGCCUUUGUACAUACUUAUCAAAGGAAGGAAUAAUGGUUAAAACAUCUGAUUUGCUUCUCAUCAAAAACACCCAAGUAAACCAACUGUAGUCAUCUACCAAAGUGAGAAAAAACCAUUGUCCUGACAAUGUUGGUGUCUCAUAUGGACCCCAUAUGUCAGUAUGCACAAGUUCAAAAAGUUUCUCAGAACCUUGAACAUGAACUGGGAAAGCAAGUUUUCUUUGUUUAGCCAUGGGGAAAACUUCACAAAGCAAGUUAUUUGUACAUUUCACAUGAGGAAAUCUCUGAUUGAUUACAUUAAUUCUUUCAAUAGGGAUAUGGCCUAACCUAAAAUGCCAUAGAACAAAAGAGUUUUACUCUGUCUUGGAAACAUUAACAGAUAAAACUUUUGGAGUCUUUACAAAAUUUUCAAAACAAAUUUUUGAUAAAUCUUACUCAUCUUGAUUCUCUUUCAUCAAUAAAGUCCUGAGUAGGCUCUACUAACCUUAAUCACCUACCAUGAAGGAAUGCCCUGGACAAUACAGUGUUUGUCAGUGAAUAGCAUACAAGCUUUCUUGCCAUUUGUAAUCUGACCUACUGACAUUAGAUUAAAUUUGAAACUUGGAACAUGUAAAACAUUAUGCAAAAUCAAUGAAGAACUCAACUUGACAGUUCCAAUAUGAGACACAGGAAUUUUCUGUUGUUUGGUAACUCAACAAAACAAUUCUUUACUAGUUUGGCAUGACUAAAAUUGCUUAAGGAAUAGGAUGUAUGAUCUGAUGCUCCUGAGUUUACUAUCCAUUGGUUUUUCUUUAUCAAGCUAGUAUUCACAUUCCCAUAUUCAUAUGACAAAUUAUUCAUAAUAGUAAAACAUAAGUGUCUUGAAACAAUACUUGCAAAGGAUGAAUUGGCUAGUGAGUGUUUGGUUUUGUAGGGUACUGUUGAGUUCUUACCAUCUCUUCCAUUCAUAUCAUUCACAUUCAAGAGGUCCAUGAUCUUGUUAACAUGCUGUUGUAGGAUUGAUAGUUGAGACAUGAAGCCUAUUCCACCCAAUUCGUCUUCUUGCUCUGUUUAAGACACAUUGUUUACUGCAGCCUUUCCUUUCUUGUUGUUUCCUUUCCCUUUUGUGAAUUUAAAAUCCUCUAGAAAGCCAGUGAUUCUGAAACACUUAUCUUUGGUGUGUCCUUUCUUCCCAAAAUGGUUACAUACUAUGUCUUUUUUCCACUUUUUCUUGUAUUCUACACUGACCAUCAUAGCAAACGAUUCUAUUAUUGCUUGACGUUGCAGCACAGCAUUUCUUUGGGAUUCUUCUGUCAAGAUCAAACUGUAAACUUUAUCUAGAGCAGGGAUAAGAUCCAUGAGAAUAAUUUGGGAUCUAAUUGCUGCAAAUGAUUCAUUCAACCCAUUCAAGAACUUGAAUACCAUGUCUUCUUGAUAAAGGUCAGAAUAUUUCUUGAAACAAGCAGGAUUGUAGCUCCCACAUUCGCAAUGUGGUAAUGGUCUAUAAUGCCUCAUUUCUUCCCAUAGUCCCUUCAACUCAAUAAAAUAUGUAUCAACUGUCCUAGUCCUUUGAGUUACAUUCCCUAGAACAUACUAUAAGUUACAAAGGUAUCGUCAGGUUAAGCAAAGUUUUGUUUGAGUGUAUUCCACGUCAUAAGCAGAAUCCAUAUAAAAUAUGGUUGAAGCAACUGGUUGAGUAAUUGAUUCCAGUAACCAUCCCACAAUAAGAUUAUUGCAGUGGAUCCGUGACUGGAAAAGGGGAUCUGUGAUCUUUGGCUUAGGUAUGGUUCCAUUGACAAACCCGAUCUUGUUUCUAAUCGAGAGUGCAAGUAGAAAAGACCUACUCUAGGUGAUGUAAUUACUGGUAGUGAGUUUGGGGUAGAUAACUACUGAACCAAGGUGGUCAGUAUGAUGAAAGUAAUAUGGUGACUGGGGAUCAGCAAUAGGAGGGAUUUGAAUGGUCCAUGUGCUGGUUUGGGUUGUGGUUUGUGAUGGUCUUAAUUCAUCAUAUUCGGACAUUAUUCUAUUGCUUUAAUCAAGCUCAAUGAUGAGUACAAAAAUAAAUAAGCAACCCAAAAAAGUUGCCUAGAGGCAAACUUACUAAUUCUGUGAAUGAUGACAGAUUCCUUCAAGGAUCAAAUUCCCGCUUUGAUACCAUGAAAGAAAUAGUGAUGCAGAGAAAGGACAGCAUAGUAAAUGAGGGAAUGUUUCUGAUCAUUCCAUUUCAUAAAGGAAAUCUGUACAAAAGUAGUAUUUAUAGUCUGUACAAAAGCGUAACCUGAUGAAAGAGAAAACUAUAACUAAUCCUAAGAUUAAUUACUUCAACUAACUAAACUAAUUUUUGAAAAAUACACUUUAUUAAUUAAACACUGCAUUUGAUGCCUUUCACUGGUUCCUUCUUUAUUUUAAAUGAAACGGUGCGUCUUGAGUUUUCCUUGUCGUACUUAUGGCUUCCUCUUUCUCAUAGUCUCGAUCUCUCUUCUUCCUUCUCUUCUUGUUUCUAGUUCAGCCUUCAUCAGGGAUUCAACCAUUUAUGAUGUUCUUGGACUUAUUUUGCAGCUCACUUUAGAUAUGCCAUUUCAAGUCUCUAACCUGAUAAGCCAAAGACUUCCAUGGCAUUAAAACCCCGGUAUGGGAGUAAAGCGGUCAAUUUGAUUAUACAAAGUGAGUCAACCAAUAAAAAACAGAUGCUCGAAAACAACAUAUACAACAAGCCCUGUGACCAAGAGAAGGGUAUCAUAAAGGCCAGAGCAUCCAAAAAACAGAGGCCAAAACCUAUACAUUUACCAACCCUCAGCUGUGAUUGCAGCAAACAAAAAAUAAAGAAAGGACACAGCUCUAAUUUGCAAUUGGAAUUCCAAAGCGAUAAGGGACUGUAAAAAAGUAUGAAUGAAGCAAAAGCACACUGAAUGGCACCAUCACAAACAUCCCGGGCCAUCAGAAACCAUGAAAUCAGGGGCUCACUAGCGGAAAACACAAAAAAAAACCAUUAUCACCAAUCAACAAAGCCACGAGAUGUAGAUGACAAACCAGAGCCAGCAUCUUAACAUGAAAAGUAAACAAGAGAUCCAUCGCUCCAUCAGACCGUUCCACCAGCUUAAAAACUCAUUGGUUCACAGUGCACAAAUGCCAGCAUCAAAAUCUUUAGCAAAGGAAAAGAAAACAUCCCCGCAUCUAGAUAAGAAACAGAGGAAUUUCACUAUUGUUCUUCUACUUAUUGUACAUACAGAGAGCAACGUAACAUUGAUUGGGUAAAUUAUUGAGAGCAAAAGAUCACUUAAAAUACAAAAAUAAGGAUAAGAAAAAGGGGAAUUUCACUCUUCUUCUUCUACUUAUUGUUUGUAGAGAGAGCAACAUAACAUUGAUUGGGUAAAUUAUUGAAAACAAGGGAUCCCUUCGCUUGACAACUCCAUGAAGCAAAGUAAUUUCAACACCUUGUUUUUUUUAUAUAUAAAUAUAAUAAAGUUUAACGCAAGUGAACCACCCAAACUUGAUUAGGAAUAGGCAAACAAAAGAAAGAAAUAGAAAGCAAAAGCAGCCUUUGUUUUACCCGUGUUUUGUUGACAGCCUCAACUACUCAUUUAUUUUGCAACUUCCCCUGAAUCAUUCUUUCAUGUAAGGUGUUAGCUGAUCCCCUGUGCUUCGGGACCAAAAUAUGUUCUCGAAGUGAACUGCAUUUUGAGUAGUGGUAGAUCCUUCGGUGACGUCUUGCUCAACUUGUCGUGGUAUCCUUCAGAAAAAUUGAAAUACUGAAAUGAAAAGCAAAAGUAUUAAUUUCUUAUGAUACAAAGGCAAAAGAAGAAUUAGCUAUGUUAUAUUUUAUAAGCAUUUUAGGUCAAGUUCAUAAACGAUAUUACUCAAUCAUGGAGAUAUGCUUAGUGGAGUCCAUUUGUCGAAAUAUGUUUAAUUUACAAACUAAAAUGAUAAAAUUACCUGAAUUUGAUUACAUAUAAUAGUUGGAUUAGGAAAAUACUUUUCCUUUUUUGGUUUUUGAAGACUGAAGAAAGAGAGGUUUAGAAAUUUUAAAUAUUUGUGGAUUUUGAAAAGAUAAUGUUUAAAAAAAAGUGUGUGAAAUUAAUGUGGUAGUGCAAUUCUCUAUGUUCCAAUUGGCUUUUGCACUUGUUUAAGAUAACAUACGGUUGUUGUCAAAAUAAUUGUUUUAUGACGAAGCAAUAGAAAAAUAUUAAGAAAUUGACUUUGUUCUUUUCAUCAAUUUGUCAGCCUAGUCGACCAAGUCUAAAACCAAAGCAACAAGGCUGCACAACCAGAGGACGGGGAAUGGACAGUAUGGAUCUCGAGGAGAGUUGCAUUCAUUGAAAUGCAUAGAAAAUUUUGUAAGAUUUGUAAGAGUAAGUAAACUGUUAUAAGUGAAAACUUAAACUCAGGUCCUCACUCCAAUUGCUAGAAAGAUUUCAAAUUUUUUAUGGUCAGUUUGGUAUUAGAAACAUUUCUUCUUCUGUUCAAGGUCAGAUAGAGAGAAUUUAUUGUUUCUCAUUUCUUUAGCGUUUUUUAGGGUUUGAUUUCUAGUAAUUGAAUUUUUUUUUUUUUAGUGAUUGUUUGCUUUCUUUACGGAUUAAAUCAGUACACUCUUUUAUUUUUUUUACCAUGUCAUGUAUCAAUUUUUCUUUUUUUGAAAAGUAAUUUCAUUGCAUAAGAACAGGGGAACCGACAAACUUUACAAAAGAUGGAUUGUAUUUUCCACUUGUCCUAUAAAUGCCAACAUUGUCACAUAAUAUUGCUCUUGUAUCCUACAAAUGCCAACAUGACAAGAGAUUAACACGCCCAUGGAUUCUAUCCAAAUAAGGGAGAGAGUUUGGAUAGUGAAAAAUAAUAUUUUAAGAGUUUAAUUAAAUAUAAUAAAAGAAUAGAUGAUUAUUUAAUUUUUUUUUGAAAUAAUACAUGUACUUUUCUAUCAUUUUAGUUAAAUACACGCCACUCGUAUUCUUAUAAGAUCAGAUUUUAAAUCAAAUGAAACUAUUAUGAAAAGAAAAGUACGUUUAAGUGAUAAUUGAAUGAGUUCAAGAUAGAGUUACUGAAUAUGAAAGUUUGAAUUUCUUUAAGUGUGGAUCAGUUUAUGAGUGUUGAAAAUAUUUGGCUCAAAGACAAAAUCCAAAAUCAUAAUUGAAGGAAAAGUGUAUAAAAGAAAUACCUUUAGUUGAACCAGCUCGUUAAUUUCUUUUUGAAUGAUGAAAUUUGUCAAUUUAGGGUAAUUCCAAACUUUCAACUUCUCCAAAGAUGGUGAUGACAUGAGAGAGUUUUCCAAGCAAAUGCAACUCAAAUUUAUCAAGUUUACAAGUUGUAAAUCUUGUAGGCAAGGGAGUGCAAUGGCACAAUCAACUCCAUUCUUUUCUUUUGCCAAUUGGAAGACUUGUUGCAAUCGAGGAGAAUCAGUUACCCAGAAUGAUUUCAACUGUGGAAGAGCUUGAGCCAAAGGAAUUUGAAAAAUAUCUUCUAAUAUUGGACAAUGACUUAUUCUUAGAUUUUCCAAUUUCAGCAAGAACGAAGAAUAGUAUUUUGUUUCUAUUUCAGCAUCACAGACCAACUUGGUAAUAAUGUGUUGCAGUCCAUCACACUGAUCUAUCUUGAGUUGUUCAAGGAGAACCAAGCUUUGAGCAAGGGAUGGUGAGUAGAGAUAGUUCAAUCUAUUGCAGUAACUAAUUUCUACAAACUUCAAGCUUUGGAGGCUGACAAAACGGGUGGACCCUUUCCAUCUCCAAUUCAAUUAUGGUAAUGAAUUUAGCUUCAUAAGUGUUAAAUUUGACAACAGCAGUCCUUGAUUUUCUUUUGUAUCAUGAAGAAACUCAUCUAUUUGAAAUACUUCUUGCAACUGGCCACAAUUAAAACACUUUCACUUCCUUUAGAUUUUGUAGCGUAGAAGAUAAAGAGACCAUUUCCAUGCAAUUCCUAAUUGUCAACUUCUCUAGUUUUUGUAGAAAGCCCUUUGGAAACUGACCGUUGCACAACAUUUUCAAACCAGUCAUUUUAUGCAUGUAUAAUUCCACCAAAUUGAACAAGGAAUUGGUUGAGACAUGCCCUUCUGUUGUAUCAAUCAAGCAUUCAAGCUCCUCGCCAUCGUAAAGUGCAAGAAAAGUUAAUUCAUUAAGCCACUUUGAAUCUACAUUUGGAAUGAGAUUUUUCUGAUACAUGACUCCUUUCAGGGUAAGAUUUUUGACAUUGUGUAAUAACUCCUUCAAUGCAUGCAAUUGAACGUCGUGAUCAUAAAUUCACAACAAAAUGAAACACAUUAGAAAAAUAGAAAGGUAGAUAAUGCUCUUUAAAUCAGAAUUGAAUUUUUUUUCUAUGCAUAAAAUUUAAAACAUUCCAAAGCUUAUUAACGUUUGAAAAACAUACCAAAGCCUGGAAUAUAAAUAGUGUACACGCUGAAAUUUAUUGGACACAUGGAAAUAUGAUUUAGCAAUAAAGUACACGUGGCAUGCAUGUAAGGAAGGAAAAUAAAAUAAAAUUUUUUUAUUGCCAUGUGCUUGUUUUUUUUUUUAUUAAAUUCAUUAAAUAUUUUAUUCUAUCAUGCAACGUACCUGUCUGCUAUUGUCAAGUCAUGCUUUCACAUGUCCUAUAAAUGCUAGCUUGGCUAGGAGUUAAAAUACCCAUGGACUCUAUCCAAAUGAGGGUGCUUGGAUAAUGAAAAUAACAUUGUGAGAGCUUAAUAAAAGAAAUACCUUUAGUUGAAUUUGUUCUUUAACUUCUUUUUGAAUGGUAAAAUUUAUUAAUUUAGGACAGUUGUAAAUUUUCAACUUCUCUAAGUUGAUGAGAUGGUGAUGAGAUGAGAAAGUUUUCCAAACAAAAGCAACUCAAAUUUAUCAUGUUUACUACUCGUAAAUCUUGUCGGCAGGGGAGUGCAAUGGCACGAUUAUCUCCAAUCUUUUCUUUUGUCAUAGUCUUGAGACUCUAGAGAUUAAGAAAAUGGGUGAAUCCUCUCCAUAUGCAGCUCAAUUCUAGUAAUGACUUAAGCUUCAAACAAGUUAAAUUUGACAAUGGUUGUACCUGAUUUUCAUGGUAUAAAAAAAAUAUAUAAUUUUUUAAUUAAUAAAUAUUGAAAUAUGAAUUCAUUGUACUUAAAUAUUGAGAAGACAUAUAUUUUUGAAAAAAUAUAAAAGGAAGUGUUAAAAGCCAAUAAUUUAGAAAGGUUAGAUAGUAAUUAUUUAUAUAUUUGAUUAUUCAAUAAAAGAAAGGUCAUUAGAAAAAGAAUAUACGAGAGCAUUAUUAAAGGAAAAAUGGAGAGAUAAGAGGUACCUCUAGCUUACCAUUUCUUUGUCAAAAGUAAGUGCUUGCUCCAAUUUUUCGCAUUCAGAUAUGGAGUUUCUCUAUAUGCAACAAACUUUGAGUAAGGUAAGGUGAGAAGAUAGAUUUCAGUUUAUCACAACCUUGAAUUAUUACAUCCUUCAGACUUUGUGGGCCUACGUGAUGAGUUGGCUCUUUCCAUAUACUCUCCAAUGCUGGUGAUAGCUGCAGCUCCAACUUUCUUAAAUUUGAAAUCGUCCGCAUCUGACUUUCUUCCUUUCCAAGAAGCCCAUCCAUUUGAAACAGUGAUUGCAAUUGCUCACGAUAGGAAAUGCUCAAUGUUUCUAACUUCUUUAAGAUGCUAGGUGAUUGACCAUGACACAACUCUUUCAAAGAAGUCAUUUGACCAAUGUAUAAUUUCACCAAAUUAGAGAAUGCAGUGGUUGGACUUUGUUCUCGUGUUGUAUCGAUCAAGCAUUCCAGCUGCUUGCAAAAUGAAAGCUCAAGAGAAGUUAAUUCCUUUAGUUCGCACUGAUCUACAUUUGAGACAAUAUUUUUGUGUUCCAUGGUGACACCGAACAGAGUAAGCUUUUCCACAUUGCAAAACAGGUCCUUAAAUUCAUUUAAUGAAGAUGAGAAACAACGAAUUAUCAAGGUUCUCGAGCUUAGCCCCGCCAAAUCUUCAAGAUAUCCAUUUACAGUUAUGUUGUAGCUUUGAAGUUUAGGGAACACAAAGUUUUCUUGAGAACAUUGAUGAAUAGAAACUCUCAGUGUUAAUGCAGUCAAACCAGACAAAGAAUUCAGCUCCAAUAAGUUGACAUUGUUUGUACCUGUCACGUGUAGCUCUUGGAGUGACGGUAACUUGUUACACACAAAUACAAAAUGUUCUUAAUGCAAUAAUAUAUAGCACUUUUAACCGAAUGAUAAAAAUAGCAAGAUAAUGAAAUGAAUAAGAUAACAUUAACUUUUUUAUUUCGUCAUUCUUAAAGAUACUUUUGUACUACAGGUUGCAAUGUUUCAUAAUAAUAGCAGUGACCAAAAGCUCAUGCUAGAUGUAUAUUUGUUUGUGGGGAAAAUUACUUUGUUGCAUUCCAAAGUGAGAAAAAUAUAGUGAUUUUAAUCUACGUAAUUCCACUAAUUCUUCUGGAAGCUCAUGAAUAUUAGUUUGAAGCAAUGCCAAAACCUCGAGGUUUUCCACAUUCCACAAUGAUGAGAUGUUCUCAAGCUCACAAUUUGUAACACACAAAGUUCUAAGAUUUAUCAAGAAUUGAAGUGCUUCUAGUUUGAGUACAACAUCUUGGAGAAGUAAAAUUCAAAAGGUUCUCAUUCUUCCAAAAAAAAUUACACAAAACUCUCAAUGAAUUCUUUCCUUUUAGAAACAAAAUCAAGAGUUUUGAAAAUAACUUUGUUAGGAAGAUGAUUAAUCUCAAUGCUUCAAAAGAAAAUUACCGUACAACAUUCAAAACUUUCACUCAGACCAUUUCAUCAAUCCAUCUUUUACCAUGAAUUUAUUUUCCCCUCUCGAUGUUAUCAAAUGAGCCAAAUCACGAAUCACAUCAAACAUUUUUACAGAUUCUUCAUCGUAAGUUUUCAAUAACAAACUAGACUAUUGGAGUGUAAUUAGAGCUUCAUGAAUUUUCCUCCUUAAGACUCCAGUUGAGUCAACAUUACCAAACAAUCCUUGACCAAUUCCACAUAUAGUCAACAUCUCAAUUGAUAUUUCAAAAUCUUGUGGAAAAAGGGAACACAGCAACAAACAUGACUUGACAUUAUCAUCUUCCAAAUAAUCAUAACUAAGCUCAGACGGCUAUAGAUACCUCCACAAACAUAUUGAUUAUCCAAAUGUCUCGAGUCUUUGAGUCGUUGAUUUGCUAUUAUCCACCCAUUUAAACUUUUACCUUUUAGAGAGUUUGCCACAGUUACAAUUACAAGAGGCAAACCAUUGCAUUUACGAGCAACCUACUUGGCUACCUUCAAGGUGGGAGAGUCAUCUUCUACACCAGCUUUACCUUUGACUAAAGCCCAUGCUUCAUCUUCAGAUAAGAUUAUUUAGCUGAGCUUUCUUUUGACAAUUCAUUCGAGUGCACACUUGUUGAAGAAGCGUGGUUAAAAAUUUUUUUCAACCCUUGUGAUCAUCACCCAAACAUCAUCAAGGAUUAUAAGGAUGUUCUUCAUGUCCUUUAUUCUCAGCCACAAUUGUUCUGCUCUUCCUUCUCUAGUCGUCAUUUGAAGUUUUAAAUGUAGGAAGUCUGCAAAUUUAUCUUGAAUAUUGUUGAUGUUUGGAGUUUGGGACACGGAUACAAUCACAACUUCAUCAAAGAGUUGCUUGGCUUGCCUUCCCACUUGUUUUGCCAAAGUGGGUUUACCCACUCCUCCCAUCCCAUAUAGUCCAAUCAUGUUCACAUCAUCCUUUCUCAAAGCCUCCAUGAUCUCUUUGAAAGCAGAACUCGAGGAUUCAGAAGGCAUGAAAUCUUUAGAUGGAAUGAACUCUAUCCCUUGAAGAGGAAGACGCUGACUGACUCGUUGAAAAUUACAGGUCUCUGCUUAAAGUUGAGAGAUAUAAAGCGUCUUCUUUGCUACUUUGAUACUUAAGCAGUAUCGCCAGCCCCAACUAGGACACCAAUUGAAACACUUGUUACACUCUAUUUCUUCUUCCAAACUCUGAGCUUCUCCCAAUUCUAUCUCUGCCUUUGUUAGCCACUCCUUAACGUCCUUCUUAAUUACCUCAGUUUGCCUUACAGCCUCAUCGACAUCAUCUUGCACCUGAUCUUUUUUCAAUUGAAAAGCUUUUCGCUGCUUCUUGAAAUCUUCAACAAUUUUGGCAAAACGGAAAAAGUAAGUGAGAUAAGGUCAUGCCUAUUCUGCUGCCAGAUUCCCUACAGUAUGUAAGACUGUGAAUGGCAAUUGUAUUCAGCCUGCAACAACAUUGCCCAUAGACUAGAAAACUCAAUAUCACAGAGAGGAGAGGAAAGAUAUGGGAUGAAACAAGAAAGGGAAGCAAAAUAAAAAAACAAAAAAGAGAUGAAGGAACAUGACCCUCUCAAAGAAAUAAAAACCACAACAUUGUACACCAGCCAAUGAAAACCCACAACCUUAAAACAUGUCGGAUCAAAGCAACACCUUAAGUGCCCUUGAUGAGUGGACCAGUUUCGAGCCACAGUAGAGCAACCACACCUCACUGCAAAAUACAAUAAAAAUAAAACACAUUAAGCACAAUGAAUUAAUGUCAGAAAAUGAUAAUGGCAGAUGUAGUGAGCAUAGACAAACUAGUCAUUUCAUUUGUUUUUUAUUAACCUUCCAUGCAAUUAAAGUAAAAAAGGGUGGUCAAACAGAUUCAGCAUGCUUGCAUUCUUUCUGCUUUUGCUAAGUGCCAGGAAUAAUUAUGAAAAUAUGUAUAAUUCAUAAAAUCAUGUUUACCUGCUGUGGUUGUUGGUAAGCUCCUGGUUGCUGGUAAUUCCCGUAUCCAAGAUAGCCCCCACAGUACAUGUUAGGAUCUUGGGGAGGAGGUGCAUAUCCAUAUGCUUCAAAUCCUUGAGCAUAUCCAUAACAUCCACCAUUCCACUGGGCCUGAUCUGGUUGAGCCUGAAACUCCAACAGAUUUCCCUCCUAGUUUGCAGAAAUAUAUAUAGCAAGGUUUUAAUUACAAAAUACCAUGAUUUUAAAUACAAAACCUGAUUGCUUGAAGGACUACAUCCCCAUGAAAGUCAAAUGUUUCUUCCUCCUAAUACGAUGCCAUUCAAAACUGAUAAAGCUUGCUCCGCGUUAGUCCUGAAGUAUAUCAAAUUGCAGAAUAAAUUAAUAUAAUAUAAUAAUAUUUCACGCACUUAAAUAUUCGGAAGAAUUUACAGCUUACCUGUUAGCAUAUUGAACAAAACCACAACGCUUGUUAGCAGGAAUUUUUACAUGAACUACCUCACCCAGCUGGCUAAAUAUUUGUUUUAAUUGGUCUUCAGAAACACUAGGAUCCAAACCACCAACAAAUAUCUGCAUUUAAGCAUCUAAGAUUUCAGUUGACCACACCAUGAAAUAAGUAUAUUAAUAUAUAUAAAAAGGCUACCCACUGUGGUAUUAUUUGGAUCAUUCUCGCCAGGAUUUCCUUGAGUAUUCUGGUAAGAAGCUGCAAAUGAUAAAUACUUGUAAACUACCAUAGAAUGAGAUGAUAAAAAAGCUCAUUACUUCUCAAAACUCAAUUUAAACAUUGUUGAAAAAACCAAAGCAUUAAGAUAAUACACUUAAAAAUACUAAAAAAGUUCAAAAAAAUUCCCUCCGUGGCAUGCAAAAGAACAAAAAUGUAAAACCACCAGCUAUACAUCACUCAAAAGUUACAAUUAAAACCAUAAACCUCCUUUGGGUUACAUCAAGGCUUACCAUUACCAGGGAAAGUAAAAAGUAUCAGAUUAAAUGGAUUUCAAUAGUAGCCCAAAAAGAAAUCAUUAAUUACAUUACACUCAGGGAAUCAGUAAAGGUCCUAUUCUUUCAUUAACCUUUUACAAUAGCAUGAAAAGGAGAAAAAGGAAAAUUGAAAUCAGAGACUUAACUUUUCUCUGCACUUGACAAGAAAUAUUUCCUUUUUCUCCUUUCUUUCACACAUUUUUUGUAAGGGGGGGGGGGAGGGAGGGAGGAAGUUGUCGAGGCUUAAAUAGAAUGAUUCACAACUUCAACUUCAAAGAUUAUGUUUUAGUAGAAAGAACCUAUCUGCUAAACUAAUUUCAGAAAUGCUUUAACAUUCUCUGCGUAGACAGAAACCUAUAGAGAUUAUAUUAGUAGCCACAAAAUGAUAAGAUGAAGAACAUAUUUAGAAACUAAGGAAAUUCCUCUAAACUGAAGUGACGCAAAACCGCAAAUGACAAGUAGAAAAAGAAUGCCUUGAAAAUGCAAUAUUAAUACUGGUAGAUGCAUACACAGCUAGGCCUGCACUAUUUAGGUUUUCGAAAUAAAGCAUGGACGAGUGAUCCACUUCCAUUGAGGUUUAAUCCAUUAACUGAAAAUGCCUUUAACUACAAGUUCCAGGUUUCUUUCCUGACUCAAUUUGUCCUCAUUUGUAAAAGAACAAUAGAAUGAGGACAAAGAAGUUACUAUAACUUUUAAAAGAAGCACAGAUAUAAAAUGCAAUAGAACAAAAACUGCCCCAAGGUUCAUUAACAGAAUGGUGCAUGAUAACAUCCAUAGCAACUUUACCCAUGGCUGCUUCACCUAGUUUUGAGCAUUACAGGUUGAAUUUAAAGGAAACAAAGAGGAGUGUGUAAACAUAUGCAAGUAUCGAAAGGGAACUGAUCUAUGACAAAAUUAAAAAAAAAAAAAAAAGUUUCUAGACUGGUAAAAUAAUCUAAAGAAAGAUUUAAAGGAAACAUGUUGGGAAAACUGAAACAAAUUGUACUUGACUGGAAUACUUAAUAAGGAACUGGAAAAGUAAUUUACAAAUGUAGCACAAAUACUGCCACAAGAAAAUGAGGCUUACGACAUAAACAAAGUAACUGACCUAAAAUGAGGCCACGCAUUAAAGUGGAAUCAUUUCAGCUGAUACCAGUUCCAGGAUCCCCAAAGUGAAAGCCUCUUGGUGUCCUGCUUUAAGACAACAUGAGCUUUAUAUAAGGUUGUGAAUGUUUUAAUAUAAUUAAACGUGCCCAAGUUUACAAAGGCAAAUUGGAAGGAAAUGACUUUGCAUAAAUUCCGCUGCUCUUCAAGUGCAUAACUGAAAGAAUUCGAAUUUUGAGGAUACUGUAACAACUAACAAGUAACAACUUCAACUCAGAAAAUUAAAACCCAAAAACAAAAAUAGAAUAACCAACAAGCAUUCAACUUGUCAAGUCAAAGUACUCUAAGAUAAAUCAUGGCAAAUAAAAACUAUUUAAAAACCAUGCAACCUUCAUACGUAAAUCAAGAUAAAUAAUGACCUUAACAAAACCCAUAAGAUAGUACCUUUCGGAUACUGCUGACCAGUGACUGGCUUCUUAUUAGCAGCUGGACCAAUCCGCAUUGCCCUUGUUGAACAAUAAAUCCCGUUCAUUUCGGUCAUGGCACGAAGCUGCUCAGUUUCAUCACCAAACCUCACAAAGCCAUAACCUUUAGACCGUUCUGUAGUCCUAUCAGUGACAACUUUGGCACCCUUCACAGAUGGGUAAACAGCUUUAAAAGUCUCUUGCAACAUAUAAUCUGAAACAUCAGCAGCCAAAUCCCCAACAAAGAUUGUGUAAUCAGGACCCUCAUCUUGCCUCUUUUCCCCAUAUCCGAGUGCCGCCCAAUUCAACCUAAAAUUCUGCUCAGAAUUCGGCAUUGGCACCCCAUUAUACGACUGCAAAACCCUCUCAGCUGCCGCACGUGACACAAACUCGAUAAACCAUACCCCUCUGGUAGCCCCGUUUGCUUAUUCCUAAUCACCUUAAGCUGCAGCCACCUAAAAAACCCCAAAAAAUAUUAAACUUCCUUUAAUUACUUCUUACUGAUUUUUUUACUUAAGCAGUUAAGUUUAAAAGGAAAAGAAAUGAAAUUCAUUUAAAUAACAAAAGGGAAUAAUAUUUUGAUUUAUUAAAAUAUAAAUAAAACUGCGAAAUUUAUUCCACUAUAUUUGCUCCGUUUAAUUAAAUUUUAUUAUAUUUUUUUACUAUUUUACUAUUUACUUAGGCACUCUUAAAUCUUUUUUUUUUUUCUAAAAGCCCCUAAUUUUUUUUCUAAAAUAAUAUAAUUAACUAAUUAAUUACCUCUCCAGUGUGAGCGAAGAUGUUGAUGAGGUAAUUCUCAUCCAUCCACUGCUGAAGAUCACCGAUCCAGAGGGAUCGAAUCUCGCUGGAGCCGGCGGAGACUGAACCGGUGGAGUACUGCUCAAUCUGACCGGGCGGAGGAACGGGUUGCGGAGCCCAACCGGAAGGUGGAUGAACCGGCUGACCCGCCUGCUGCUGCUGUUGUUGUUGUUGCAUCAUCAUCCACGGCUGCGACUGCGGUUGCUGCUGUUACUGCUGGGUUUGAGACUGAUCGGCUGCCAUGGACUGCGGCGGAGCUACGCCUCCUGCUGGGGGUUGUUGCAUCAUACUCGAUAGAUAGAUAGGUAAGAGAAUCGGGAGAUCUCAGAGGAGAGGAAACCUUAGGGGUAAAUUGAAAUUUGGUGCUAAUAAGUAUAGAAAAAAAAUUUAAAAAUUAAGUAAUUAAAUGGAAUUGAAAUUUGAAAAUUAUUAAUAUAUUUUUAUGGUAUAAAAAUUAACUAUUAUUUUAUUUUAUUCCCUUUAUAAAUUUUAUGACUUUUAAUUAUGAUGAUUUAGGAGAUGUUUGAUAAAUUAUUUCUUAAUCUAUUAAAUAAGAAAUUUUUUUUUAUCAUUUCCCUUCGUCUCAUUAUCUUUGUUAUUUAUUGAUUUUUUUUUUGUUAAAUAAACUCUAACUUUGAUCAUUAUUUUUAAAAAAUUGCGAAGUUAUAAAAUUUUGAAUUUUAAAUUUUUUUAUUUUUUUUUGAAUUUUUAAUUUUAUAUAGUAGUCGUGUAAUAUGAUAAGAGAGGUACAACAUGGUAAGAAAAAGAAAUUAAAUUGAACUUAAUAAUUCUAAGUGCAUGUAGAAAUGGUCCAAACCCUUUUUAUAAUUCUUAGUGUAAGCAUUACUUAGUAAAAUUUUCUUCUAUCAAUGAGUAAUUACUUCAUUUUAAAUGCUUUUUGUGAACUUGUUGCCUGAACUGUACUACCAUGGCCAGAUCUUACAGGCUGGAGUACCAAUCAAACUCUCAAUGUUUCAAUAAACCACUUGGAACCUUCAUAAAAUAAAAAUCUACUUGGCUUGUAUAGGAAAAUUAAAGUUUAAUUUCCCAUGUCUUGAUUUAAAAUACAGAAAUAAAGAUAAGAAACAGAAAAAUUUUAAGCUUAUUCUUCUACUUAUUGUAGAUACAGAGAGAAAUAUAACAUUGAUUAGGUAAAUUAUUGAAAGCAAGUGAUCCCUUUGCUUGACAACUCUGUGAAGCCAACAUCUUGAUCAACCCAAAGCACAAUAAUUUCAACUACCUGUUUUUUUGUUUAUGUAAAUAAUAAAGAUUAGCACAAGUAAACCACUAAAAUUUGAUUAGGACUAGGCAAACAAGUGAGAGAAAUGAAAAUGGAAAGUAGCCUUUGAUUUACCUGUGUUUAGUUAAUGGCUCCAACGUACUCAUUGAUGUUUAAACAUGCCUUUGCAACUUCCCCUGCAAUCAUCUCAUAGUUCUUCCUUGUAAGGUGGUAGCCUGUAACAAAUGCUCUUGGACCGUAGAAUGGUCUUGGCGUCUUGCUUAACUGGUUGCGGUGUCUUUUUAAACAAUUGAAACAAGGAAAUGUAAAACAAAAGUAUUAAUGUUACAUGUUAUGAGAGUAAAAGAAAAAAUAGACAUAUUAUAAUUUAUAAGCAUUUUAGGCCAAAAAUUCAUUAAAAGUAAUGAAAUCAUUCACUAAAAGUGAUAUUCUAGACCAAUCUUUUUGUUGCAGUACUACUACUCAAUCAUUUAAGUAAUUUUAGUGAAGACUUUGAAAAAUUAUGCAGUAUAAUAUUAUUAAAGACUCUAAUUGCCUUUGCACAUACUAAAUAAAAGCGUAAACUUAAUUCACUAAUCAAUAAUAAAAACUCUUAAUCAUCAAUAACGAUUAUGUUGGGAGGAUAAGGAGAAUGAAUAAGGUAUUUUUAGUUUUAGUGAAUAAUAUUCUUGCAAAAGUCCAUGAAGAUGGCUUCAAAGGAUUUGGGAUCAAUUUGGAAAGGUUGUCAAUACAUUGUAGAGAGAAAUAAACGCAAAUACAGUUAGAGGUAUCCUUUUAUCAUAUUUGGAUAUUUUAAUAAGGAUAAAAAAGUAGUCCAAAAUUUAAAUGGAGUCUGGCUUCUUAACCAAAGGCUAGAGGUCAAUAUAGCCAGCUAAGGAAGCCAUGAUUCAUUCUGAAGGAGGAAGCAAAAAGGAAGCUUCUGAUGCGCCUAGUGUUAACCACAUUAGGAACGGAACCUGCAGUGGGAUUUUGAGACAACUUGGUUUUAUUCACUAAGCCAUCUUAUGCUCUGUUAUUGAAAGGUGCUUUUGAAAAAGGUGGAGCUUCAAAUGAAGAGAGAGAGAAGAUGAUCUUCAAUGUCUUAACAAGCAUGGAAAACAUGCUUUGGUUGAAGAGAAGUGAUGUGGUAACAACAUAAUGUAAUUCAGAUUUAGCAAAUUUAAUGGAAUUAUUUAAAAUGGAAGGCAUUUCAGGGCUGCUUAUGAGGAGUUUGUCUCUCAAAAGAAUUUGUGCUAACCUUUGAGGAUAAGGAGCUGUUGGAAGCGCUCAAGGAUAAAGGUUGGGAUUGGCUUAACAAAUGGUUUACUAAGGUGGAAACAUAGUUAGAGAAUUUUUCAUCAAAACUCCUUAACAAGUGGGUGAUUGCACAGGAUAUCCUUUUGAUGUGUGAAAUAGGCAUAUUAUAAAUUAUAAGCAUUUUAGGCCAAAUUCAUUAAAAGUGAUAUUCUAGACUAAGUUUUGGUUGUAGUGUCAUUCUCAAUCAUUUAAGUAAUUUAAAGACUUUGAAGAUUAUGCCUUAAAAUAGACAAGACUAAAGUUUUCAGGGUGUAUACCUCUGUUUUGGCAUGCACAUAUUCCUUUGAAUCUAUGAAGAAACCUGUAGUCAUCUUGGGACAUCCUUCUACUUUGAAAUAAUGCAAAGCCGACAAUACAAAGUGAUAUCCCCUUGGACAAAAGUCAACGAGGCUUGGUAGUUCUUCAAGUGAUAAAGUCAUUAAUUGAUCAAACUUUAUCUCUUUUUCGGUUGUCGCUUCUGCUUCAUCUUCAAGUUCAAAUACUUGCUCCAAUUUAGAGUUCCCUAUAACCCAUAACUUUUUAAGUUUUGGAAGACAAAGAGCAGAUCCAAGAGGAAGGAGACGUUUCAACUUUUUGCAAUAUUGAACAGAAAUCAUGGUCAAAUUAGGAAAGCUUAUAGGUUGGAGAUCACCAUCUGAUGAUGAACAAACUUGAUCCUCAGCAAUGAUUUGGUCCAAUUCAUCACAAUUUUGUAUUUCUAGAUUGACCAACCGUGAUAAACUUUGAGCAGUUGUAGGUGAAAAUAUGUAUCUUAGCCUCUUGCAAUCAAUCACCUUCAAAAUUGUAAGGUUUUCAAGAGUUACAACCUGAGAGACAUCCUUCCAUAUAAUCCACUUUUCAGAUAAAUCCUCCAGGUGGAGUUCCUUUAUACGUCCAUGAACCUGA